rnacentral:lncRNA from 1 species
UUUUUUUUUGGUUAAAUCUUUAACGAAUAUGAAUUUCCAAAUCAAGUUAAUUUUCUAACUACUAGUUAAUAAUAAUGUAUUUGAAAGUUUCCAGGUGCAGUACUAACAUGCAUUCAUACGCUGCAGAACCAACAGAUGAGGAAUGAGCAUGGGGUCUGAUCUUGGUAAAAAGUGUCGAGCCGGAGCCGAAGCAGGAUCAUGGGGUGCAAGUCACUUAGAAUUUUAGGGGGGCAUGAGGGUAGACAGAUCGAAUAUAAUGGGAAAAUUGCCUGCUCUCUGAUCUAAUUCCCACCACACAUGCACCACCUGUUUGCUAUUUGGCCUCCAUUCAGUUAUAUAAGACCAUCUCUUACAGAACUUAUCUGAUCUAUGUUCACUUUUAGCAGUUUUCCCAUUCGAUCACCAUACAUCUAUGGCAAGGUAAAAUAAAGAGUAAUAUACAAAGCUACCUUGGAAGAUGAUUUCAAAUCUAACAAGGUUAGUGUGUUUAGAAGGUAUUGGCCAUCGGGAGGGGAAAGUGAACAUGAUGGAAGAUUGAUGGUGGUAUAAUGUAGGUUAGUGGGUUUUGUGGGAUAGGUAUUCUGCGUGUGAAUUUGUUAUGAUAGUGGAGAGUAUAGCGUGAGUACUUAAUUAAUUGUUGUCGUGGAUUUAUUAUGGUUCGCUAAUGGAUUUCAUAUGAUGUGGCUCGAUCAUGUCUUUGUUUGUAGUUAAUCCUUAUCCGAUAAUGGAUUUAUUAGCAAGAAACAUGUCGAAUCUCUAAUGUCCUUAUGCACGACAUGGAUCGUGCUCUAGUCACCUCGCUCCUUCAUCCCUAACAAACAUAAUAAUACCUGGAACCACUAUAAGAGAAAUACUCGUCCGUGCCGGCCAUUUGAGAGCAGAUAUGGACAUCCAUGGCGGCCUAAACACGAGCAGGCACGAAAAACCCAUUAUCAGUGCCCGCUCCAUUUAGAACCAGCAUGAAUGCUUUCUAGGAUUAUUCGUGCCGUCUCAAGAUAGAGAUGGCAAGCAUAAUGAAUCUAUAAUAGCUGACACGGAUAUCAGAUCAAUAUAUUAGGCAGCAAGCUAAGGAUAAUCCAUUAUCCAUGAUGGCUUUUGGCAUGAAUAAUUUUUCCAACUCUGCAGUUUGAAUUUCAGGUUGUCUUGUAAAAUUCAUAAUUUUUGUAUACAGAUUGAGAUGGAGAUAAACUUUAUAUGAAAAAUUGUAGGUUUUAACCGGAACUACAACGUUGAAAAAUUUUGGAUUUGAAACCAAUUAGGUGCCAAAGUUGUAGACAAUAAGGGUUAAAAGGAAUUGAACUCCUUAUCGCCAUCAACGAUGUUGAUGUGGGAUGGUAAAGGAAGGAUCUCGACAGGUCGUGAAUUCGAAGUGGCUACAUGCACCAGCAUGCAUGUGCAUUUCACGAUAUAUUUUGUUAUUUGUUUGUAAAUUCCUAUUCUAACUAUCCGCGAUGGUUGAUAUAUUUUGUUAUUUGUUUGUAAAUUCCUAUUCUAACUAUCCGCGAUGGUUAAUAUAAUCGCCGGAAUGGAUACUUAUUGUACGCCGGCACGGCCAGCACAGAUAUGACGAGUAUCUGCAUCAGUUUCGUUACACCGGUCGAUAACUGCCAUGGAUGAUGUUUAAGAACCGGCACAAAUAAGGUGCUCUCCAAUAGUAAACAAUUAUGGUUCGUCGAUUUGGGUGUCCCUGACUAUGUAACACCGGCAGGCCAUAUGGGUAUAGUGAUACGGCGAUACGAGAGCGUGGUGAUAUAGUCUUUCGAAAAAACAUAGUGAUGAUAUAGACAAAAUAUUGGAGUAUCGGGUACAGGUACGACUGGGUUAGUGAAGAAUUAUUGAUGCACUGCCUCGUUAAUAAUAAAAUAAGUGUCCUUUUAGAAAAUAGUAAUGGUUCAGGACAUGAGGUUAGUGGGCAACUAGAAUUAAUUGCUUCAUAUGAUGUCAAGUCAUUCGGAAUGUUCGUUCAUCAUACAUCUAAUGGUGAGAGGAAUUAUAGAUUUUUAGACUAAAUCCGAUGGUUGAUGACUAGAUAGAUCCUGAUAAUGUAGGAUGAAUUAGUUAUUGAAGAUUAUCUAUAGUAAACUCAGAGUGUUUUAAAGAAGCAUGGGCAUUCAUUUUUGUGUUCAUUGAUCUAUUUUCUCUACCUCUGUCUUUCCUUAUUCGCCGCUUUGUCCUCUAUUGAAAAAGUUACCACUACCUACUUCCUCCGUACCAAAAUAAGUAUCCGUUUAGAAAAUCUCACAUGUAGGAUGUAAAAUGUCCUAAUUGUCCAUAAUUAAUUUGUUUAGUUGGUUUUUAAGAGCCGAGCUAGCUUAUAGAUUUCCGAAGCCAUUUAAUUAUGCAUGCAUGUAAUUAACUCAGCAUCCUCAAUGUAGGGAGGCUUGUUCCACUUCCAAUCAACUCAUGACUUAUAAAGGGUAGAGAUGGUAACCCUAUUAAAUUUUGCCAUCCCAAAUCCAUACCUACUUAAACCCGUUAAAAAAAAUCCAUAUACCCAUGACGGAUAUAAAAUUUUGCUCAAACCCGUCCUGGUUGGGUUGCCCACUUGUCCAACAGCACCCAUAUAUUGUUGUACCUCUACCAUUGCGGCUUGUAGCUUACCAAUGGCCAAUGCAUACAUGUUCUUCUCAUGAUUAACGACAAUUUAAACAUCGAAUAGAGGCAAAAAGUUUAAUAUAAUGAUCAACAAGUUCAUAGUUUAAAAAAUACAAAAAAUGAGCAAAAGUUCAUAGUUCACUACAUAAAGUAGUGGAGGGAAUAAAACUACAAGUAACAAAUUCAGUAUUUCAAGUGGCAUGGUAUAAACAUCACGUUUGUUACAAGGUCACAAAAUAAAAUGAUUGUAUGCACUAGGUUUGACCGAGUUUAAAAAGUCUUGGGUUUAUGGGUUCAAAUGAGAACUGACCUUCCAUCCAACCCCUUUUGUCCCGGUUAAUAUUUAGCCCGUGACAAAAGUAGCUUUAGUCCCGAGUCAAAAAUGUACCCCGAAGGCCACCGCGAGGGGAGAGCUUUAGUCCCGGUUGUAAACACCAACCGUGACUACAGAUCCCCUUUAGUCCCGGUUAAAAUGACUAGAAAUAUCGCAGCGGGAGCCCAACCCUUGUCCUAGUUGGAAACGCCAACCGGGAUAAAAUACUCCCCCCCUUUUGUCCCAGUUGGUAAUUCCAACCAAGAUAAAAGGGGAAGUCUUUUGUCCCGAUUGGAAACUCCAGCUGGGAUAAAAUUAUCAACCGGGACAAAAGGGGGUCUUUUAUCCCGGUUGGAAACUCCAACCAGGACAAAACACCCCCCUCUCUCGUUCCGCCCCCCCUCCACCGGCCUUUAUCAUAUCUCUUCUCUCUCUCACGCCGCUCCCUCCAACUCCCUUCCUCCUCUUGAUCCGGCCCUUUAUCUCUUCUCUCUCUCUCUCUCACGUCUCGCCCCGGCCCUCCCACUCCCUUCCUCUCCCAGGCCCUCCCCCUCCCUCCUGGCGCCGCCACCCCCCUCCCCCUCCUCUCCCGCCCUCGGCCUCCCACUCCCUUCCUCUCCCAACCCCUCCCCAGUCCUCCCCCUCCCUCCCAGCGCCGCCGCCCCCUCCCCCUUCCUCUCCCGCCCCUGGCCUCCCCCUCUGCUGCCCCUCUACUUCCCCCUCCGCUUGCCCCUCACUGGCAAUGAGGGGCGAGCAGCGGGGCGAGGUGCAGGGCAACGCAGUGGCGCACGGGGGAGCAGCGUCCAAUGGCGGCGGGAGUGCUUGCCCCCUCUCUCCCCCUUCCCCCAUCUCCCUCUUUUUUUUGCACAGGUGGUGGUGGCGGUGGCGGGCCGGGUGAGCAGCGGGUGGCAUGGUGGCGGCGGGCGUGGUGGUAGCGGUGGCGGCGAGGCAGCAGGCUGCAGCGGCGGGAGUGCUGGCCCCCUCUCUCUCCCUGUCCCCCCAUCUCCCUCCCUCUCCCUCUUUUGUUUUACACAGGUGGUGGCGGCAACGGCGGGUCGGGUGAGCAGCGGGUAGUGUGGUGGCGGCGGGCAUGGCGGUGGCGGCGUGGUGGCUGCGGGUGGCAUGGCAAGCAACGGGCGGUGUGGUGGCGGCGGACGUGGUGGUGGCGGCGGUGGCCGGGCAAGCAGCGGGCGGCGGGGCGAGCCACGGGCGAGUGGUGACGUGGUCAAGGCGCGUGUAGGGUGGGGUUUUUUUAUUUUUUCUGAAACCUUUUAGUCCCGGUUGGUUUUACCAACCAGGUCUUUAGUCCUGGUUGAAUGAACCAGGACUAAAGACCCCCCCCCCCCCUCAUCUCGUAUCCCGAAUGGUUUUUAGAGAAAUUUGGCCCCUGCCAACCAAGACUAAAGCCAAGGUUUCCAGUAGGGACUAUCUACCAGACCCAUGCAUGCAAACCUAAAAAGUAUAUUUUUUUCAUUAAUAGAUCUACAGAUUUAUGGGUAGAAAAAUUUAGGGCGUUGCUAGUGCCCGGACAUCAAAAAAUAACGUCUGCAACAUAGAAAAUAAAUGUUUGCAACAUAGAAAAUCACUUUUUGCAACAUCACAAAAUAUGUGGAAAAAAAUUAUUAGCUAUUUGUUGAUGAUGAGGAAAAAAACCGCCGCAACAUCUAUUUCAUAUUGCAUGGAACAUUCAAAUCUCUCAUUGAAAAUGCAACAUCCAGAUAAAAUACUUGCAACAUGUGUGUGAAACAUAUGCAACAUCACAACAUUUAGAUCUACUUUGCAACAUCCACAUAAAGCACUUGCAACAUUCUUCUGAAACAUCUGAAGCACUUGAAACAUACGCUUGCAACAUGCAGCAAACCCUGGCACGAGGAGCACGGCACAGCGAGAUCUGACGUUAGGAAACAGUGAAGGAGGAGGAGGAUUGCGGCGGCCGGCGCGGCUCCCCCUUGCCGCGGGAGAGCGGCGCUCGGCACCCUUCCUCGUGGAGCUCCUCAGGCGGCCAAGCCCAUUGCCGGCGGCGCCACUACAUCGCUCACCGCAGAUCGCAUAGGCCGCCACCAUUGCCGAGCUAGAACUCUGCCUCGUAUGGGGAUCUUAUCGUCACCAUCGGCGACCUUGCUUGGAUGAGGGUCGUGUGCAGAGGGGCCACACCACCGCAGCUCAGGCAAGAGCUUAUCUGGAUUGGAAGUAAGGGAGAGAGCCAGGAGAGAUAAAUGAGUGGUUGAAGCUCGAGCUCCAUUGGCUACUGUCUUGCAGGUUGCAGCACUCAGCAAGCAGGGAGAAAGAAGAGAGGAUUUGGUUGGUUGCUUGGUGGCUGUGUUGGAAUGGGUGGGAGUCAACGAGCAGGGAUAAGAACGACUGGACGUGAACUCGCUGCUAAUUGUAUCAGAAGAAGUUUCGGAUCCGUCGACAUCUGUCCGAUAUUUUUACUCUCGUCCAGACACUUGUAUUAUAGCAUUAUCGAAAAAUUUACUCUAAUAAUAAAGUAAAAACCUAUUAGAUUUCAGGUACCCAUUGUCAUGCGAGCGCUGACAAAGUUAACAUGUGGGUCUUACUUAAAUUAGUCUAAAACGUGUAAAUGCACUUUUGUGGGAUAAAAUUUGAACCCGGAAAGAUCAUUUAUUUUGGAAAGAGAGGGAGUAGACCUUAAUCUAGCGUGUAUAAACAGUUCACCAGGAUCAAAUUACAGCUAGCUUCACCCGGCCCUGAACCAUCCUAGAUCCUCGCUACAGCUAAGGAAAGGGCAAAAGCUUCAAUCAUGAUGCGAAUUGGACGAGCAGCGCUCGGACAUUCAGGUGCUGAGUAGCCAUAAAACACUCCGUUGUUCAUUAUUAGCUUUUCUCGAUAAUUGGGAUUGACUCCCAAAUACCUCAACUCAGACACAAACACGUAGCAGUGGUGGUGACACCGAUGGUCAUGACGUGAGCUCGUGACCUUAGAUCCAGCCAAGUGCUAAUAUACGAAGUACUAAAGUUUAGCAUUAAUUCACUAAAUGGAGGAUUAAAACUCCAGCCCGAGAGCAGUUCUGGUGCUCCAGCACCUUUAGGUGCUCCCGUACUCCCAAAGAAAAUUACUGCAAAAUGGUGCAUGGAAAAAUUAACCAAAAAUAUAGAUGCAUAGAUGAUGCAAGGAUCUAUGUUUAUGCAAAAUUUGGUGUUGAACAAAAUUUUGUUCAAGGAGAAACAAAAAAAAAGAGAAAUGAGCCUAUGAAUAGUGCGGGUUGCACUGUUUUUCUGAAACCCGAAAUCCGCUACUGUUUAAAAACUGGUUUCACUUUUUUUUUUCUCCUAGCACAAGUAUCCAUUGCAACUCAAAAUUUGCAUGAUGGUAGAUGCUUGUUUGUAGUAUCCAUCCAUACUUUUUUUUGCAAUUUUUCAUGUGCAUCUAGUGGUGGUUUUUUUUAAUGGGAGUAUAGGAGUACACGAACCCGUGGAGCACCAUAACUGCUGCCCUCCCUAAAAAGUUGUAAAAUCAUUAGCUGGUAGAGGAGAACUAAUGGAUGCUAAUGAAAACUAGCAGUUUAGAAAAAGAUCAAAAUACUCCAAUUUUAAUGAAAAGAUCAAAAUACUCCAAUUUUAAUGAAGGAGAGAACAAAGAUAAAAGUGACAUUUUAUAUACUUUAGCUAUCAUAUUUUCGAACUGAUAUGGACUAAAUUUAACAAAUUAAAUUUUCGCAAGCUGAACUCUGGUGCUAAAUUUAGUUUUAGCGAGGACCUUAUCCGAUUAUCCGCUGUUAACGAAAAGCUCCAAGCCGUCACGCUCGCAUCCAUCCCCAUCCCCAUUCUCCAACGGCCACCCAUGGCCACCGCCACCCUCGCCGCUCCGCCUUUCCUCCCUUCCUCACCGCCGGCGCCAGCACGGACGUGGACGAGGAGGAGGAUGAAGACUAGGCCCUUCCUCCGCGCCGCGUGCGCCUACGCGCUCCAGGAGGGCCAGUCCCGCCGCUUCCACCGCCUGCCGUGCGGCCUCGACCUCGAGGUCAUCGCCCAGCCCCCGCCGGCGCCCGGAGAGCGCCCGCCGCUGGUGUUCGUGCACGGGAGCUUCCACGCGGCCUGGUGCUGGGCCGAGCACUGGCUUCCCUUCUUCUCGCGGGCCGGGUUCCCCUGCUACGCCCUCAGUCUCCGCGCGCAGGUACAUAAUCGCGCGCGAUGUUUGUCGAAAUGCUUCAGUAGGUAGUGUCAUUGUCAUUGGUGAUUCAGGGCAAUGCAAUGACUACAAAUUCCAGCCUGUGGAUGGGUCUACAUGUCUUGCAUUUCAUCUUAGAUAUAUGAUUCAGUACACUUCAACUGAACAGUUGGUUGUUGCAUUGCCUGAUUGCCAGUAUCUGUUUGUAGGGCAUUUGACAUUAACAGCUUCCGUGACUUAGUUCGGGACUUUUGCAGGGUGAAAGUAGUGUUCCACAGGAGGCAGUAGCAGGCACACUCGAGGUAAUUAGUCUAAGCAGAAGUGGAGUACAUUCAAAGCAAUCUCAAUUGUUCUAGGUUACUUGAUGCUGUUCAGUCGGUCCAUUCUUACUGCUACUCGUCUUACUGUUAAUGUGUGACAGAUGUAUGAUGGGGUAACAUUACAUGCAAUAUAUUAAGUACUCAAAUUAUAGGUCGUUUUGGCUUUUCUAGGUUCAUAGGUGUUUAUACAAACACCUAUGAACCUAGAAAAGCCAAAACGACCUACAAUUUGAAAUGGAGGGAGUAUAUGUCUUUACCUAUUGAACACGUUAAAUGUUUUGUUUGAAGUAAUACACUGAGAGAUAUCAAACAUGUACCAUGAUCAAAGUUUCAAGUGCCGUCACAUGAGGAAUUAAUAUGUUUAAGCCAAAAAUUUCACUAUAAUACUUUACUUCGUGCUGUAGAACUGGCCCAUUUCAUUUCUUACUAGAGUUAGGCCAAUAUGUGAUUGACUUGCAGUAGACGCAUACUGGCGAUAUCGCUGAUUUCAUCCAGAAGGAGAUCCCCUCACCACCUGUACUAAUUGGACAUUCAUUUGGAGGUUUGAUUGUGCAGCAAUAUAUAUCAUGCUUGCAAGGUAGGCUCCUUCAAACUCACAUUCAUUUUUCUUGUUGAUGGCAAUUCUUUGGAUGUUUCUCCAUCUUAACUGAUUUUGUAUCAUUCAGAGGCUUAAAAGUUUCAGCUACAUAGACAUGCUAAGGCUACAUUUAAAUUGUUUCUCCAAAUGGAUUUCUUGCAUACUUACAUUUGGAGUAAAAACAGAAAGCUAAUUGGAGACACUUCAGCAUACUUGGCAGAUUUUAUCUUGACAUUAUAAAUCAGUUAAAUAGGGAGACAAACAACUAGAUUGAUUUUCCAGAGGAUCUCAAGCUUCUGUUUGCCUAGUUUCACCUUUUUACAUACGAGUCUGAGUUGUUUUGUCUAAGUGGUCAUUUGAUAUAUUUCACCCAUGCUAAGCUGAAUAGGAAUCAUAGUUUUUGACAGGUACUCCAAUUAGGUAUGAGAAUUUGUAACCCAGAGGUUAUACAAUAUUACAAUUAUACAAAUGUAACACAUCUAUGAUUCUACACUAAUUGCGCAUCUGUCAAUUCUCCCUACAUAACAAGAGAAUUCAAACAGGAUAAAAUCAGAUACUUCCUUGAGCAUUUCUAGAAAUCCUCUUUAGUCCUCUUACACAUUACGUCAAUAUCCCAACAUCAUGACUUGUCUUGAUAUGUGUUUAAAUGCUAGGCUAGGUGCCUAUAAAACAUAACAUAUUAAUUAAGUGCCCUGUUUCAAAAUUAAAAUUGCUCAUUGAUAUAGUUAGGUUAGGUAGAAGUGUAGAAUCUAUUUUACUUCUUAUCAACUGUUAAGUGUAUCACUUAAAUUCAGAAUAUUUGAAAACCAAAGUAUAAAUGAUGAUCCCUUAGUUUUAUUUCAAAGAAUAUCCUAUGUAACUUUCUUGAUUCUAGGUUCAGAACUUCAUCCAAAGCUUGCUGGUGCUGUCCUUGUAUGUUCUGUGCCUCCCUCUGGAAACAGGUAUUUCUCAAGUCAUCAAUUGCAUAUUUACAAUCUUUAUUCACUUAUCAGAAUGCAACUCAUUUCUAUCAUUUAUAUACAGUGGGUUGGUAUGGCGUUACCUUUUGACUAAACCAGUUGCUGCGGUCAAGGUAAAUGGAUCUGCAUUAUUACACUUUCUGUUGAGAUUUAUCACUAUUCACUUGGAUGUGUUGGAAUCUGUUGAGCUAACCUAGUUUCGUAAAUGUUUUGUCUAGUAUCAACAAAUUGUUCAAACAUCUAUGCUGUGUUUUAGACCUAAAUACACCAGCAAUCUCCAUUACAAAGAAGUGCUCAUUUAUUUACCAAUCUAGAAGCAAGUCAUAUUCCUUGGAUUUUCUCCAUUCUAUCUUGAGUUGUUAUUUAACAUUUAACUUUUCUGAAUUAUCCAACCCUAUAUUUGGUGAUAUUAUUUCCUUAUGCCUCACUAUUUUGCGUGUCCAUGUUGAUAAUUGUUUUGUUCAUAGACAACAGAUUGCUACUGACAUCACUAAGGUCACUAUAAACUGAACUGCGUACUUGAUAUGAUGUUAUGCACAUGUACCAUAAUAGAAACCAUCGUGUUUCUCUUAUUAUGUAUUUUUGCGAGGUUUCUAUUAAUAUCAUUUUGUAUCAGCUUAGUUAUGUAAUUGGUGACCAUCUGUAAAUUUUCAAUAAUUUUCCUAUCAGGUGACACUCAGCUUGGCUGCAAAAGCAUAUGCAAAUUCAUUGCCCCUCUGUAAGGAAACAUUUUUCUCCCCACAAAUGGAUGAUGAACUUGUGUUAAGGUAAUGAGAUCUAUGACAGUUCCUUUUGCGUUCAAAUAUAAUCUUUUGAAAAUGUUGUAUGGUGACAUCAUGAACUUGGCACCCAUGGUGCCUUAGAACUUUCUGUUUCUGAAUCUAUUAGCUAGUGAUUUAUUCAACAAUGUCUCUGGUAUAGCUGCUUCCUUGAGCCAAUAUCUCAUAGGGAUGAGCCAAUUUUGUAACCUAUAAGAUAUUUUUGUUGGCAUCAAUUCAUGCUUUUUCAGAGUAGCAGUCAUAGUAGUAAUGGUAAUCAUAGUAGUAGUGUGGUGCUCACACUUUAUUUUCUCUUCAUUCUGAUUGGAAUUUGCAUGUGCUUCACCUUCUGUCAUCCUCUUUCAUCUAAGCUUCCCCAAAUCAAAGAUUUUCAUAUGAGGUCGUCAUUGACACAUUUAUGGUUUGAAUUGUUAAUGUUUUUUUCCAAUCACAACAUAAUAUCUGCAUCACUAUCUUGAAGGUACCAAGCACUAAUGAAGGAGAGCUCAAAAUUGCCACUGUUCGACUUAAGGAAGCUAAAUGCAGCACUUCCUGUUCCUUCUGUACCAGAUAAUACAACAGAAAUUCUUGUCAUGGGCGCAAGCAAUGAUUUUAUUGUUGUGAGUGAACCUUCCUCCACCUCUUAAAUGCAUAGUAUGAUGCAAUAUCUUGCUUCUAAAAUCUUCAUUUCUGUAGCAUUUUGAUAGACCUUAUUUUAAUAAUAGUAUCCAUAUAACUGCAUUACACCGACAAAUGCCUAGGAUUUUGCAAUAUCAACAAACCAACAACUAUACAUAUUAUUGUGGUCUGUGAGAUUGAUCAUUUACAUUUUUCCCACAGUUCUGCUGAUAAAAAAAAUAACAGUAGUAUUGUUCGAAAAAUGCUCUUCAAAGAGUAGCGGUACAAAGUAUCCACAUUGUAAAUUUGAUAAAGAAGGAACUGGAAGGAACUUUUUAGUACUGCAGCAACAAGUUUUACCAUGUAACUAAUCCUUCUAUUGACUUGCCUCCAACUUAUAAUGCACACGUUCAUACACCUAUUUCUUUUGAUCAUCAGUGACUUGAAUGUUUUGCACACCAUUUUAGCAUACAAGAGAAGCAACUUGUUCCCUCCCAUCAUUAAUAACUUUGUUUCCUUAAAUUAGGAUUCUGAAGGACUUUCUGAAACUUCAAGAUUUUAUGGUGUUCAACCAGUAUGUGUGGAAGGUGUAGCUCACGAUAUGAUGUUAGAUUGCUCGUGGGAGAAAGGAGCUGAAAUAAUCUUGACGUGGUUAGAGAAACUCACGCCAUGACUAAAAUAAUUUUCAGUCCAACAGCUGUGUUCGACAUUUUGUAGCCCUGAUUCUUGUUGAUUCUUUUUGUUGGGCAUCUGUUGGUAGGGAGUUUGUAGCUAGUGCUCGGAAACUGCUUCCAGUAUUAUUGUUCAAUUGGAAUAAAGUAGAGUUUAUCCUUUCAUUGUUAGCUGGUGAGCUGGACGUAAAGCGUAGCGUCAGAAUGCAGAACGGAACGCUCAGAAUGCCAGAAUCUGAGAAUGGAACAGCUAGGCCCCCAAUCAACAGAUUCGUGGCCAAGGUCCUUGUACACACACCUUGGUUCUUCCCAAAACACUGAACUCCACACCGGGCUGGCCGAAAGCUACGUCUCAAGGUCAUGCGCUGUUGAAAUAGUGCUCUGGCCCAAACAGAUCAUUUGAUAGUUGAGCAGUUGACGAGGGACUGAGCUUUAGUUGACUUUAGGAGGGUCACAUCGGAUGUUCAUACGCUAAUUAGGACUAAACAUGAGCUAAUUAUAAAACUAACUGCAGAACCACUAUACUAAUUCACGAGAUGAAUCUAUUAAGCCUAAUAAUCCAUCAUUAGCAAAUGGUUACUGUAGCAUCAUAUUAUCAAAUCAUGAACUAAUUAGGCUUAAUAGAUUCAUCUCGCGAAUUAGACUCUAUUUGUGCAAUUAGUUUUGUAAAUAUACCAUAUUUAAUACUCCUAAUUAGUAUCCAAACAUCCGAUGUGAUGUGAUAGGUACUAAAGUUUAAGGCACUUUAAGGAUGUGUUGCCAAACAGUCUGAAAUAGUUUCAAUGGUGCUUGAGCCCAGGUGUUGUAGAAUGCAUUGAUCUGACACACUUGCAAUAGAAUGCUGCUGUUACAAAGAGGCGUACUUCGUGACAGGAUCUAAGCAAAAGAACCACCAGACCAAUGUGACUGAGAAAACACAGCACAAUGGGUGCAGUUUCAACACCAUGAGUUGCUUGGGAACGGAGGGAAAAGGAAUAUCAAACCAUGGAAGCAGCCGCCACAGAAAAAACCACGAGGAAAUUUGACACCAAUAAGGUGGGCAAUAACAUCAGAGAUCACUUGUCAUAACAGCAACCAAGUACAAAAUCUUAGCAUCACAAUUUUAGGAUCCUAAAGCAUAAACCAAAAAUACUGGAGCAUGUUCUCGGCCAAACAGCCUACAGUGAUUCAACUAGAGAACCCCAGGAUGCCUGAUAUGAAGAGAUCAGGCUUCAGUCUGCUCCCUCAAGCGACGGAUUGUGCUCCUGACAGUGACUGCACUAGCAGUGCUGCAAACAUACAUAACAGAAUUAUAAGUAUACUUUUAACAAUUUAUGGUCUUGGAUGUCAAGGAGCAAGUCAGCAAAGAAUUACUUCAUGGUAUAAGCACCACCAGCCUUGACCUUCCCGCAGUCCUUGCAUCCCCAAAUUCCAACCGCCUUCCUCUUCACGGCGAACUGGAAAGAAACACAACAGCGGUGGUAUUACGGAAAUAUGUCAUUCUUCACAUCUAUAUCUUAUAAACCAUUCAAAUAUGACAAUAAUAAACAAACAAAAUUGUCAAAGAAAUAUAUUUAAGACUAGUUGCUUUCAUGCAGCAAUAAUCAGCAUACAGUCGAUAGUUCAUAACCGUCUAGCAGUUGCAACGAAAAGACAGAAUGCAGUUAACAUAGAUCAAAAACAGCAAACUUGAAUGUAGGCCAUCUAACAGAAGACUCACCUUCCCGCAGAACUCGCAGAAGUACUUGGAGUGCUGAGACACCUCCAUCUUCUUGAUUUGCUUACGCAAGCUAGCACCAUACCUAGUUCCUACAACAUUGUAAUUUGCAAGGUUAACUUCAUAUCCAAGACGCAAAAACUGGGAAGCAUGCCUUAUUUUUUAAGAACAUACCAUAUUUGCCAACAAUUCCAGCCUUCUUGGUGCGCUUCGUCUGCAUAGGAAUUGAAAAACAACAAAUCAUACAGCUGCUUACUAAAAUUGUUCAAUGCAAUAUAACUGGUACAGGCAUAAAGACUAAGUACUAACGCAGUUUCAAGACUAACAUAUUGGACUAGUAUCAAUAUAAAGGGUAGCACACACUCAGGUAGGUUGACAUGCAACAAGAACAAAAAAUGAUUCCAAGUUGUACCACUGAAAUGUCAUUAAGUGUAACUAGUGAUUAUUAAACAUUCCACUCAAGAGGAAAAAAUGCCCUGCCUCUAAAGUUUGAUCCGUUAGACUUUCUAAUCUACCAAAUAAGAUAUUUCUAAGCAUCUAAGUUGAUAACACCAUAUUGAAGCAUCCAGAUUUUUACGAUAAAUAAGAUAACAUAAAAAAAUCUUUUAUUAAAGACUUCCAGUGAUUCUGCCACCUCAAAUACUUUCCCAUACUCCGAAGGACUCGAGACCUAUUUAGACACACUUAAGACCUGCAAGAUCCAAGAGGAAUGGAAAAUCAAGACUGCUCCAAACAUGAUCCCUGGAAAAAAUCAAGCCACGCACCUAUCCCAAAAUUAAACUAUGGAGCCUAGGCGAGCGCGUAACAAAUUGGAGCUGGAUAAAGUUCUAACACUAAGAUCUCGCGCGACACAUCCUAACAAGCGCCCAGGACGCAUCAUCAGUGCGCAGCCAAAUCCACAAAAGGUACAAAUCUUCGGCACGGGGAGAUCGGGAGGAAGAGGAGAAGCGGCGUACCAUCUCGGCGACGGUAGAGGAAGCGAGGUGCGCGGCUGUAGCGACGGCGGCUGCGGCGGCGGAGCGGGUGCGGGGAGGGCUGCGAGGUUGGCACGGGAGCCAAGUUAUAUAGCGGUGCUAGGGUUUCGCGGAAGUAUGGGUCGGGCCCUCUGCUGUUAUUUUCCUUCUAUGGGCCGAGCCAAAAAUAGACUUAGGCCUUGGUCCCUCAAAUUUAAUUGGGCUGCGUUUGGGCCUUCCACUGGCACACAUGGCACAUCGAGCACGUUCUCAAAAAAAAAAACAAGGCACGCCUCCAGCCAGCAGCAGCGUCAGCCGUCAAUGUUGAAACGAAAAAAAAAAUAGAGAAGAGAGGGAAGAAAAAUCAGACGGCCCAACCAACUUCCUUCCAAAUCCGCCCAAACCCCCCCCCCCCCCCCACACACACACACACCACCACCCCAAGCUUCUCUGCUAACCUACACGCCACGCGGACCACAAUGGUAAGUUAUUCAUGUGGGUUUUGGCAGCGGCACGAAUAAUGUACCCUCAUUCGUAUCAGCCCUGUGGUAGUAGGUCCAUCACUGGGUCUCUCACCGGCACAUACAAGGGUUGCUACAAUAGUGGCUGAUCCAAAAUAUUAAUACAAAAUUUGCAUAUUGUUGAAUCUAAGUGUAAGAAAAUAUUAAAGGACAACAUGGUGUUGUCCAAAGUACCAUGUCACCAUCUUCAUACUCCUUUCUCCUCUAGUUCGUCAAUGCUUCAAAAUGUUCCAGGAUCCAUACAUACCACCAACCUUAAUUGCAUUCCCAUUGCACAUAUAAUGCAAGUCCGCCAGCUCCACCAUCAUGAGUUCGCUCAUACCAUCAAUAGCCCUAUGCAUGUUGGUAUGGAAGCCAUCUUCUGAAUAAGUUACUGCUCUAUGUUCAAUUCGUCCUUAAACCCCGCCCCUCCGCGCCCCCCCCAAAAAAAAAACACACACACACACACUUAAUCAUUGGAUAGAAGCCCAACCAGUGGCAGGGGGAGGGGGCGUGUAGGGGCUGCCAGCCUCACCCAUCUUCAUCAAGAAUCAUUUCUAGGUAUCUUGCCAAAUGUUUUACAAACAGCUUCUUGAUUCACCGUGCAAUCACUUCCCCAGGGACUUGGGAGCUUGCCGUAGAAUCGAGUUGUGGAGCUCUAUGAAACAACCCCUACUUUCUUUAUCUUUUAUUUUUUAGGUUGUUCCUUUUUCAUCUCUACAUUCUUGUGGACUUGACAUUUUUUACCUAUCAAAUUCAUUGAUCCAACAUAUUUGUAGGAACUGUUGGUUGGAUAUCAUUUUCUUGUUGACUCAACUUUUUUAAAAAAAAUUGUUGGCUCAACAUUUUAAUGAGCUAAACCUUUUUACGUGAGAUUUGUUGAACUAACACUUUCUUAUCGACUUUUUGAGUGAUUCAAUAUUUUACAAUUAUAUGAAUAUAUAAUUUUCUUUUUGGAGUGACCACUACUUAGCCAAUUUUUGGUGCAUCGGACUUUUCUAUAUGGUGGUGCACCAUUGUUUGUAUAAGUAGUGGUCAAUUCUAUUUUUGGACAAUUUCCUUCCAAUUCUUUCCUUUUUGGCCUACUACUUACCACAUCUUUUUAUUUUUAGGAUGUUCCGUUCCAUCUCUAUUUUUUGUGGACUCAAACUUUUUUAUUUACCAAAUUCAUCGGACCAACAUAUUUACAGGAAAUGCUAAUUGCUACAGUGUAAUCUCCACUGAAUGCUACAGUGUUUAGGUAAUUUUGCUCAUAAACCUUCAUCAAAUGGCCACCCCUGGACUCCCUAAAUUAUGUAUGCCCCCUCUAAAUUUUCCUUCAAGCUCCGCCACUGGAGUGAACGUUUUAACGAGUUCAUUUAUAAGAGAUGUGUUGAAUCAACAAUUUCUUGUCGGCUUAUUGAGUGAUCAAACAUCUAACAAUUAUAGGAAUAUAUAUAUAUAUAUAUAUAUUUUCUUUUGGGAGUGAUCACUACUUGGCUAACUGGUGGUGCACUGAUUUUUGCUAUAUUUGGUGGUGCAGCAUUAUUUAGCCAAGUAGUGGUCAAGUUAUAUCUUUAGAUAUUUCCUCACACCAUUUUCAUUUUUGGGCCAUUACUCCACAUAUUUUCCUUUUUGAAUGUUCCUUUCCAUUCCUAUUUUUUUUGGUUCAAUAUUUUUUAACUCCAAAUUCGUUGAUUCAAUAUACAUACUUACAGGAAAUGUUGAUUGAAUAUUAUUUUCUUGUUGGCUCAACUUUUUCUUGACCGAAGUCAACAAGGAAGACCCAACCUAUUUUUUGUAUAAUUUAUUUAUUUCAGGUCCGUUUAAUUCGCUCCCGUGAGGAGUCAAACCCAGACAUGUUGGAUGCUACUCAGGUGAUCUAACUACUAAGCUAGAGACUCUUUCACGGCUCAACUUUUUUUUUACAAAUUGUUGAUUCAAUAUUUAAUGUGUUAAACUUUUUUGUGUGAGAUCUGUUGAAUCAACCCUUGUUAACUCAACUUUCUUCACAGAUUUACUUCAUUAACUUUUUGAAUGAUUCGAUAUCUUACAAUUAAAGGAAAUAUAUAUUUUUCUUUUGGGUGACAAAAUAGAAACACCUUUUGAACUUGAUCGGAUUUUUGUUCUAGUGCAGGGGCUUAUGGGCAUGCCAUGAAUGAUGUAGUUGCAAUGGGUGUGGACAUGAGGUAUAUGUAUGGAAAUAAAAUCAAUAGUUUUCUUUCUAUAUCUAUUUUCUUAUUUAAAUCAUCACCAUCGAAAUUUUAUCUCACUUGAUAGAUGGCUAGAUGUUUUACUUAAUUACGCUUCUAUUAACAUGAUGUCCUAUUAACAUGAUGUCCAGAGAUAGAUAAAUAAAUAUCAAUAUAGAUAGGUAGGUCAAUAUUGAUAUAUAUAGAUUGAUAAAUAUCAAUAUAGAUGUAGAUGUUGAUGUAGAUGCACAUCUACUCCUAUUGAUGCCCACUAGAACUAGAUUGACAUAUUUUGAGAUUGACGAUGUAACCACUCACCACAGACAUGAAGUUUCUUGUGAUAGUUGCAAAGAAAGUUUUAGGUGCUAGUGUAGGCACUAUAUAUCACUGUAUGCACACUAUGCUAGAAAAGAUUCGUGCUAGCAGAAAAAAGGUCCAACACAAAUCCUCAUUUGUGCUGGUGGGUGUCUUAAUACAGUCGCUAGCAUAUAUACAUCCACGUUGGCGGGCGGCUUAAACCUACCGCCAGCAUAGAUGCUUCUUUAUUGUCUCGAAGUUCUCUAAUCAUUUAGCACUCCCUAGCAAUACUUCCGGUUCAAUGCUAUGCAACAGGUCCUCCAUAUCAACAUCAAAUUCGUCAUCUACUUCCUGUGCAUCCGAUCGAUCACCAUUUCACCAUGAUUACAAUCAUGCAUCAUAACAUGAUCCGCUUCCUAUGCUAGCCACUUUCUAUGCUAGUAUCAUAACAAAUCGUUUCUGGCAUAGUGGCAGAUCAUGCGAAGGUUGCCGGUGCUAGCCACUUAAAGUUGAAACAAAGGAGGUAUAAUUCCUGAUAGGAAAUCUUAUAAACUAUUAGUCAAAAGCUAUUUCUACCUCCAUGUUGUACACGCUUCAUUGGAAAACAAGCAUUAAAUUUUUAUAUUGUGCCAACUUAUCAAAAUUAGGUCACAAAAUAUAUAAGAGUGAGGGAUAUGGGUACCCCAUGGGCCCCCACCGACCAGGAUACUAGCUAGCCCUAGCAAGUGGGCCCGCUCGAUCAGAACAUGCGGGCUAAGCAUGUGAAGAUACUUGGAGCGCAAGUCAAGGAGGUCGAGCAUUUCAGAUCAGCCCGGAUAUUGCGGGAUACUUGUUGUCAUCCGACUCGGGUUGCUUCCAUAUAACAACCGACUAGAUUAGAUUCAAACCGACUUGUAACCCUAGGUCGUCAGCCUAUAUAAGGCGGCUAAGCGCGCCUCCCAAGAGCAUCCAAUCUAUUCUUCGCACCCGCGCAAAGUAAUACAAACCAGCAAAACACAGAACAUAGGGUAUUACUUUCCGGAGGCCCGAACCUAUCUAAACCUUUGUGUUCUCGUGAUUACCUUCGAGUUCUUGAUCUCGCAAUCCUCUCUAUCUACAAAUCUACCACUUGGAUAACAUCCUGGUGGACUGCCAGGUUACUAAAUACGAUAGUUGGCGCGUCAAGUAGGGGUAAUCGCAGGAUUCUCGCAAGCGAGCUUGAUGGCAGAAGUCAACGACGUCACAGGUGAGACGUUCCUAACAUUCAUAUAUCAGAUCGAUUUGUUUUUCAAUUUACUAAUCCGAAACCGUCUUUCAUUUCCGAUCCGAUCGUGAGAACUAUGUGUCCCUGGUCGAUAACCCUCCUGGCGUCGCCGCAUCGGCGCAUGCAUGCUCGUCGAGGGGCCCUGGCCGAUUUGAGGAGUACGACGGCAUGAGGUAGGCAGCCGCCGUGAUGAUUGUUGUUGGAGUACACGUGCAUGCAGGACGGAUAGCAUGCAUGAGCAACACACGUCAGUAGACGUACAGAGAAGAUUCUUUCGGUUUCAUCCUUCAAUAUCCGAUCUAAUCUGUCCUUUCUAAAUUUCUCCUUGGUAAGAAUUAUUCUAAUAUGUUUUCUCUAUAACAUGCGACAUGCAUUAAUUACCCUCCAUAUGGACGACUUGCCGAGCACCGAAGAACGGAUUCUGAGGGUUAGAACCCGUGCACGCCCCAUGCGCUCGUAGGCAGCAUCGAUGGGAUGGCAGAUAGCAUUCGCAACCAUAUAGCAGCCCGACUUGCUGCUCCUACAGCCCGUAUCGCCAACACACCGCCGACCUCUUUGAUGCCUGGAGCCCGGCGUAUCAGUCGGGGCGAUCGAGUCCCGAUCCAUUUUGCUGUGCCAACUACUAUCCGCCGACCAUGAUAACCAAAAUGGCGCCCGACAGUGUCUAAGCCCGAACGUAAGGACGACACGCCAACUCUCCGAUUCGACUCAAGCUAAGUCAUAUAUUCAAUUAAAUAUUUACAGCUUUCAUAUACCUUCGUACGUCCUGGCUUCUCUAUAUCUCCAUGACUUCUGCCGACCACCUCGGUCACAUCCCGAUUAAUUGGUCCGUCCACUACAUGGGCAGUCGAGGCUACACCCCACGGGUGCCCAGCUCAUGCUAGUGCUUUUCGGCACAGUUUCGACUGCUUUGCGACUUGUCCGUCUCUCUUAACGGUUGCUAAAGUACUCGGGUAGCACACAUCUUAAUCUGUGAAGCCUGACCCUCAUAUGUCGCUUCCUACUAAGCAUGCUCGAGUCCGCUCGGCAACACCCCGGCAGGGUCAGGUGCUUAAACGUAACGGGCUAACUACUCGGGGAAAUUACCUGGCCUACAAGAGUAGGAUCCGCAAGAGUUUACUUCUACAACAAAUCAAACUUCCGAGUUAUUCAAUCAUUAAAUAUUCUACAUUAUACUACAUAAUGUUUGUAUUGUCCUUCUACAGCUCAGAAACUACUUGGGAGCCUCCUACCACUCGGCCUACCUCCCAGGCUUGGGGGCUGGGUGCGGGAGGCUACUCGACGUGCCUCCUACGACUCAGCCAACCUCCCAGGCUCGGGGGCUGAGUGCAGGAGGUGACUCGGUGUAUUCCUGCUGCUCAGCUGACCUCCUAAGCUUGGGGGCUGGGUGCAGGAGGCGACUCGGUGUGCUUCCGCGACUCAGUCAACCUCCUAGGCUCGGGGAUCAGGUGCGGGAGGCGAUUCGGUGCGCUUCCGCGACUCGGCCGGCUCCCAAGCUUGGAGGCUGGGUGCAGGAGGUGACUCGGUGUACUCCUGCCGCUCAGCCGACCUCCUAGGCUCAGGGGCUGGGUGCGGGAGGCGACUCGGCGUGCUUCCGCGACUCAGUUGACCUCCCAGGCUUGGGGAUUGAGUGCGGGAGGUGAUUCGGUGUGCUUCCGUGACUCGGCCGGCUCCCAGGCUUGGGGGCUGGACGCCACAGACGACUUGGCGAGUCUCCUGCUGCUCGGCCGACCUCUCUGGCUUGGGGCAGAAGAUGACUCGGUGUACUUCCGCGACUCGGUCGGCUCCUAGGCUCGGGGGCUGGAUGCCAUAGACGACUCGGCGUGCCUCCUGCCACCAGGACGACCUCCCAGGCUUGGAGGUUGGGUGCAGGAGGCGACUCAGUGUGCCUCCGUGGCUUUGCCAGUCCUUACACUCAGGGGCUAGGUGCCUACUUCAGGUUGGCGUGCUUCUAUGGCUCCGCCAGUCCUCGUGCUCAUGCUUGGGGGCUGGGCGCCUAUUUCAGUUCGGCGUGCCUCUGUGGCUCUGCCAGUCCUCGCGCUCACGCUCGGGGGCUGGAUGCCUGUUUCAGGUCAGCGUGCCUCCGUGGCUCUGCCAGUCCUCACGGUCAUGCUUGGGGGCUAAGCGCCUAUUUCAGGUCAGUGUGCCUCCGUGUCUCUGCUAGUGCUCACGCUCGGGGGCUGGACAUCUAUUUCAAGUUAGCGUGCCUCCGCGGCCCCACCAGUCCUCGUACUUGGGGGCUGGGCGCCUAUCUCUGAUCGGCGUGCCUUCACGGCCCCACCAGUCCUCGUACUUGGGGCAGGACACCAAUUUCUGGUCAGCGUGCCAAUGCGGCUCUACCAGUUCUCGCACUUAGGGGCUGGGCGCUUAUUUCUGGUCGACACACCUCUGCGGCUCCGGCUGUCCUUGCGCUCGGGGGUUGGGCACCUAUUUCUAGUCGGCGUGCUUCCGCGACUCCGCUAGUCCUCGUACAUAUGGAUUUGUUCAUGCUACGUUGUGUUUUUGACCAUUGGACCGAUUAUUUUAAUUGCUUCAAUGCUCGAGGGCUACUCCGUAUGGAGUGCGUCUUGCGACGCCCUCCAUGUCCUUCGCUUCGACUUACCGGAUGCCCGACAUCCAUCAGCUCAGUGCUCGACUUUGCUCUGCGUGUAUGGCUCUACGUUCGCUCAAAUUUUCUUUUUUUUAGCACUAUGUAGACUCUCCGUCACUAUGACACCAUCGCAGCUUCAGCCGACCACAUUCUAAGCUUCAUUGCAAUGUCCUCAAGUUCCUGUUCACCUACACAUCGCUCGGGGGCUUGACGGAUAUGGGUACCCCAUGGGUUCCCACAGACCAGGAUACUGGCCGGCCCUGGAAAGUGGACCCGCCCGACCAGAAUGUGCAAGCUAAGGAUGUGAAGAUACUUGGAGCGCAAGUCAAGGAGGCCGGGCGAUUCAGAUCAGCCCGGAUAUUGCGGGAUACUUGUUAUAGUCCGACUCGGAUUGCUUUCCAUGUAACAACCAACUAGAUUAGAUUCAAACCGACUUGUAACCUAGGUCGUCAACCUUUAUAAGGCAGCCAAGGGCGCCUUCUGAGGGCAUCCGAUCUAUUCUUCGCACCCACGCAAAGCAAUACAAACCAGCAAAAUACAGGAUGUAGGGUAUUACUCUCCGGAGGUCCAAACCUAUCUAAACCUUCGUGUUCUCGUGAUUACCUUUGAGUUCUUGAUCUUGUAAUCCUCCCUACCUACAAAUCUACCACUUGGUAACCCCAUGAUGAACUGCCGAGUUACUAAAUCGGACAAAGAGCAUGCAUUAUUUGUUUUAGUUGCUAAAACAACAGUUAUGUUGGAGUAGAUCAAUCUUAAUAAUAUUUUAUAGGAAUGAUAUUCCACUACAAGAACAAAAAUGAAACUUUUUAUUGUGAAAUUUUCAUGGAAAAAGAAAUUUAUAUUGUCAGCUGCGAGCUUCUUGUCCCCAAAAUUCUUGCAAAGACGUGAAUGCUGCAAAAAAAAACAUCCUAUAUAUUAGUUCAAACUAUUUUACCUGCUGCAUACAGUUGAUUACAGGAUAUGAUGGAUCUUUUUCCUUCCUUUGGGCUUAGGUAUUUAAUGUAAAAAACAAAGUAAAUGAUUUAUAAUUAUGUGAUUUUAAUUGAGAACUAUGCAACUUUAUAUAUAUGUGUGUGUGUAUAGAUAUAAAUCUACAUGAAUUGUAUUAAACGUGGAUAUAGACCCCGGACAAGAAAGCCUUUUCUUAAGCACAAAUGCGGUACUAUUUUGAGCUUUCGAUCCAAUCUACGUUGACUAAAAUCCUCCUGUCGCGGAAGCCUUUUCCCAGUGCGCGGAGCCCCAACGAGGAAGGUGUUAGUGCAUUGUUGCGUUGGAGUUGUUCAAGAAAGUGUAUAUUAAUAUCCCUCGAUGCGAUUCAGCAAGUUCCCGCGCGUACGCCGCCGAGUAUCUUGACUUUGUAUUGCCGCUUUUCCUAGAUAUAGCAUAGUAGUGCGUUUGCGAUAAGAUUGAAUUGACCUCUGUCUCUCCUCCCUCCUUGGAGCUUCUUGGAUUUCUAGUUUGAGCUCAUCAUAUGUUUACCGAAUCAAAAAAAAGAACAUAACAAAGUGGAAUGUCCGACUACUGUUACCAGAUUCAAUAGGCUAGGUUAUAGCUGACAGAUUUCUUUAAGAACUAGCCGCCUCCGUAAACGUUAACACCUUCCAUUUCCGGACCUUUGUUUGGAUGCCGAUUGAAUAUUGUUACAAUACGAAAUACUUGAAGGCCACACGCAAUUGACUCACCUACAUUUUAUGCUCCCACCGACCAAGGCAGUUCGAUCAAACUAGACAUUAUAGUAACCUAUAUUGAAUUGAGAACUAUGUAACUUUCUCAAACCAAGUCUAGUUAAAUCUCGAAAUAGACCAAGUUGCUCAAUCAGACAGACAUGGUGCCAAACCAGCUCUGCACGUAGCUAGUAUGAAUAAUUGAUAGUUUUAAUCUCCAAAAAGAAAGAUUCUUGCCCAUGUGAGCCUUGAGCUAUGUCGAAUCAAACCGAGUCAGCACGUACAAAACUAGGUAGACAUCAAUGAGCUUGGUUGGUGACACAACUUGUAUAACCAAAUCUGAAUAUACACAAAUUAGACCAAAUGUUACUCAACCAUACUAGAUACUCCCUCCAUUCUCUUUUGAUAGUUUAUUUCCUCUUGGCAUAAUGACCAAGAAAAAUAAAUCCUACCUAUCAUCCUACUUAUCACCCAUUUAAUCAGGCCAUUAACUAGUCCUCGUAAACAAGCGAUUCAUUAAGGCCUAGACUUCUUGAUGCCUAUGUAGCCAAUCUCGGUUGGAAGAAUGAAGAGUCACGCAUCAGACCUGAGACAACCAUUGAGUGGAUGGAUAGUUGGACUGAAAUAAGACUAUCAAAAGAGAAUUUUUUAGAUUUGGAAAUAUGCCUAUCAAAAGAGAACGGAGGGAGUAUAUGGUAGUCACUUAGCUUAGAUGUGCAAAUAAUCUGAAUAACUGAUAUUUCCUUUAAUAAAAAGAGCAAGGCCUCUCAAUGUAGAUUUAAACUUGAGCAAACAUAUACUCCCUCCAUUUUUAUUUAUGUCACAUUAGGUUUUCCCUAAGUCAAACCUAUCCAACUUUGAUCAAAUUUAUACAAAAAUAUAACAACAUCUACAAUAUCCAUUUUGUUUCAUUAAUUUCACCAUGAAAUAUAUAUUUUUAUAGUGCAUAUAUUUAAUAGUAUAAAUGUUGUUCUAUUUGUGAUCGUACUAUAUCUGUCCAGUUAAGUUUAAGAUUUUGUGUUGCUUAGAGCAUUCAAUCUUUUUUUUUGUUUUCUCCUUUUCUUUUUGCAAAACGUAGUACAAACAUAGACUCUGACAUUCAUUGCGUAAAUGCUCACCCCUAUGAAAGUACACCCUACCCCUAUGAAUUCCUUUGAGAUACUAACAAGACAGGCAAUAAGACUAACAAAGUCACUAUAGGCGAGAUAUUGUUUAGAGUUACGUCACCUACUACUUAAAGAAUAAUCAGCCACAAAUAUGAGCACCCAUGUCAGAGACUCGAACUCAAGUAGACAAGUUCCACAACAAAGAACCUAUCCGAUUGAGUUACCCUUAGAUCACAUUAACCAGGGUGGCAGAUCCAUUUUCUCUAUUGAACUUUUUUCGUAACAGCUGCGAAUAUUGUAUCGGCUUGUUGCAAAGAAUGCAACCUUAUUAAUAAAUCCUUCUAAAAUUAAGGCGGUGACUGAGUUCAACUCGGGUAUGAUUUGAUCCCAAUUGAUGAAAAUGUCACAAUAGUAUAGAUUCCAUUUCCAUUGGCCCUAAAGUUACAAGCAUCAACUUAUAAGUUGCAAGUAAUUAACUACUGCCAUGAGUAUAUAAUAAUGGUUUCUAUUCCAUGAUAAAAAUGUCACAAUAGUGUGUUGUUCUUAGAUAAAGCUACCUCUAGGUGCCUCGUAACUACCAUAAAAAAUAAUACCAUGAUAAAGGCCAAAGCCUAGGUAGGUAAACUGGGAGGUGGCAAACUGGGCAGACCGGAGAGCCGAGGGCUGUGGAGAGGGACCGGAGGAGGUGGCAGGAUGGUGCAGUGAGAUAGAGUUCUGCUGGGCUAUAGUUUGAUUUUCCCCUUGUUUACUUCACUCCCAACUCCCAACUUUAACACUAUACAAAAAAAAGAUUUCCCAUCACAUCAAACUUGCGGUACAUGCAUGAAGUACUAAAUGUAGACGAAAUUAAAAACUAAUUGUACAGUUUUGUUGUACUUUGCGAGACGAAUCUUUUGAGCCUAAUUAGUCAAUAUUUGGAUAAUAAUUCACAAAUACAAACGAAACGCUACAGUGUGCUACAGUACUGUAACAGUAAUUUGGCACCUCCCAAAUUUGCCAACUAAACAAGGCCUUUAUCCGGAUCAGCCUGACGUUUUGCUAAGAUAAGAAAACGGUAAUGUUUUAUCCGGGUAAUAGUAUGUGUCCAAUGUGUGCCUGCGCCACCUUUGUUUGUUCUUUCUAAUUUCUUUCUUCAUCCUGAGGAUGAUGUUCUUGGUUUCUUGAUAUAGUACGAUCACAAAUGAUUUUUCUAGAAACCGAAGAUAAUGUCAAGGAAUAUAUCAUUAAGACCAUGCAAAAGUGGAAGCAUUUUAUAUAAAAUCAUCUUGUGGCCUGUAGCCUUGUCCAAAGAGCCUAUAAAUUAAGGUGCAGCGCGUCGUCCCUUGUCAUUCCCAGGUGUAACGUACACUCUUCAUAACAGCACACAAAAUGGCUCUAAAGAAUGUCGUCCUUGCGAUCCUUCUAGUGGUUUCGCUCGUCUCUGCAGGUACUUACUAUAGACUAAUUUGCAUGACAAAUUAAUGGACAGUCGCAUCAUCCAUGCAUAUACACAAUCUUCCUCCGUACACAACACAAAAAAAUUGGCUUAAAAAGUUAUACAUGAUGAGUGAAAAUCCCACCAAAAUUCAAACCUACCGCUUCUUAUCAUUUUGUUCUUGUCACAAUCUUUCUCCGCUUUUGGCAAUCUGUUGAUGAUUCAAAUUGGACAAUGUUUCAACGGCAGAUGCCGUCAAAGGCCAGCAGCUGGGAGGAACCGGGCUCGUGGACAGCGGUAGCAACGAUGGCGGCGGCGGCAACUGGGUGUCUCCCAAGACCGAGUGCGCCGAGACCAAACUCUACAAGGGGCCGUGCUUGGAGCUGAUCUGUGUGGCGGCUUGCUUGCUCGAAAUGCACCAGGGUGGACACUGCAAGGGUUCAUGGUUCUGGGGGCGCUGCCUCUGCUUCACGUGCUCCUAGCCGCACCUGAAUUCCUCUUCGUGAGGCAGUUUUAAUUUCUGCGCGCGUGUACCAAGAGCAAGGAUAAUUAAAAGCGUUAAAUAUUAAGUAACAGUGAUCAUGCGUUAUGGUUCUACUAUGUGCCUGUCAUGAACUCAUGAUGACGUGAUAUGUUUCUGUUGUCUAUCGAUUUAUCAAUAUAUUUUCAACUCUGACACGCGCACUACCGCGCGCUACCGUUUAACCUAGCGGUGAAGACCCAUCACUACCGGUCCACCCAAAACCAGCGGUGAUGGGCCGGCAGUGAUGUCUACUUUUGUAGUAGUGAUACUAAUUACGGACUCUGGAAGAAAUUCUCACGUUCACUAAUUCAGAAAAAAAAUGUGCACCUUAUAAACGGUCAUGAUGCUAUAACAUGCAAAUCUUAAGCUACUGUGGCUUAUACUUUGUAGGAGAGGGAAACACACACAAGAAGAGCUCCUGCGUUGCUUCCCGCGGACAACACAGGCGGCGCCCCAGUCGCCGUCGGCAACCCACCUUGCUGCCUCUUGUCCCCACCUCGCCGCCAUCGGAAGCCCAUCCAGCUCUCGAGGACGGCGGCGGUGGGGCAUACCGGCGGCUACCGAGGACAGCGUCGGGGCGGGACAGCGCUAGGUGCCGAGCGGCGCGGUGGAGCGGCGGUGGCUCGGAUUCAGCCUCCCCGUCCCCGAAUCCGCCACCCCCGGCCAAUCCCGGCGUGGCGUGGAAAAGUGACUGUGCGGGGCCGAUGAGAAGGAGCUAGGACGCACGGAGGGCCCGGGCCCGAGGAGGACGCAGCGUCGGCAGCGGCGGCGAGGAGGAGGGACCGGGAUGGCAACAAGAGAAGCAGUGGUAGUGGCUGCUCCGGGCGGCGGUUGUCCGGCGUGUCUGCGUCAUUAGGCUCCGGCAGCAGCUACCAGUGAUGGGGUGUGCGGAGGCCUCGCCGUCUAGCGGGGGACCGACGGGGCCGGCGGAGAAGCCGACGAGCCGGAGGCCAAGGUGGAGAGGAUGAAGCUGUGGGCACAGGAGAAGACGGCGAGCAUGCUGGCCUCGACGGAGGCGGCGCGCGUGCAGCAGCCGGGAGCAAUGCACGGCGUCAAGCCACCUGGGAGCGGCGCGGUGGUGCUCGACGACGGGAGCGGCGCGGUGGUGUGCGGCGGGGGUGUCGGUGGCGGGACAUCGAGGAUGCGGCUCUGCGCAGCUUGGAGGCGUUGUGAUAACGCAGCCAAGGGUGGUUUGCGCGAGCCUCGCUAGUGACACCAUGGUGGUAUGGUGCCAGCCUGCGCAGUGGCGUGCCAACGACGCCAUGGAGGUGUGGUUGGUAGCGCGGGGCCAUCUUUGCGGUGCAGGUAUGGCAGAGAUGGCGCUAGAGUGCGCUGGAGUGACCGCACGCAUGGUGGUGGUGGUCGAGGCAUCGUGGCUAUGAGUGAGGUGGUACGGGAAGGGACCGUGUUAGCGAGGAGGAGCGAAGGGCCGAUGCUCGCUGUAAGAUUUGGGUCCACAUGUGUGGUGCAGCUGUGAUCCCGGUGACGGUAGGCGAAGGUGAAGUUUCUGGAGCGGCUCGGUGGUACCAAGUCACCCCUAACGGCAAAGCAAACCCGAAUCCUCAGAGAUUCCAGCGGCGGGAAAGGCGAGACCCCAUGCACUUUAAGGUGGUGUGUUCGAGGAGUGGUGUGUUCGAGGAGAGUCUAAGGAGUGGUGUGCGGCGGUGGAUGUGGCAAGACCCCCAUGCGUUCUGUGUUGCCUUGGAGGUUCAGGAUCCGGUGCAGUGCUUCAGUUGUUUUGGCAUGUAAGGUGCAACAGCGGUACUUUGGCGAGGGAUCUUGCAUGGCGGUGGCUUCUUCGGUGAGGUGUAGUGGGCUCCUCUUUUGACUUCUACCAACGCAAGACUGUGGUUGGGAGAUCAACAAUCGUGUGUGUGGCCUGAAGAUGACGGUGGCAUGGUGGAACAGCCGUGGUAGCUACAUGGCUUGCAGCGGACUGUGGCGGCCAGUUCUGCAUGGCAGCGGCUGGUUGGCAUGGGACAUCGUCAGGAAUGAUGGCGCUUGCGAUGAGUGUCACUUGUCGGCCAUUCUCCCGGGUUGUGAUGGUGCGGUGUGGUGAGUCGGGUGGAGUUGAGUUGAGUUGUGCAGCCGUGUUAACGUCUCAACCCAACCGGUUAUUGUUUUGAGUUAGUGUUCCGAGUGGAGUUGUACGGCUAUGUUGAUGUCCCAAUCCAACUGUCCAGUAUUGUUGUUUUGCUGUUUGUUGUUGUGCUCAAUCUGAGUGUAUUUUUCUUUUCUAAUAUAAUUGGCAGCUCUCCGCCUGGUUCGUUUAAAAAAAUACUUUGUAGAAACUAGAAAGAAAGAGUCCAAGUACAAGUACAGUGAAGCAUCUUCGAUCUUAUCUUGACUCUAUUAUUACAUGUCACGAGUUAUCCUAACGAUGGAAAAGGACUGCACCAUUAAUCCGAUUCUUUCUCUCCCAUAGACCCCAUUGUUAGCACUGUUCUUGCUACUUUAUGGACAUCAACCAGCGAAGCUUUUUUUUAGACUGAACACAAACCCUUUAUUAAUGUCGACGCUGACAUAGACCGACCGGUGAAGCUGGGUCGUAUGGACCAAUACAAUGAAGAGUGAUCGCGUCCUCGGCCCAACAUCAUGUACUCAGGCCCAGAUUGGGUGUACCCAACUGUGUCGUGGCGUGUGUGUGUCUCUGAUCACGGAUAGCUAUAUAGAUAGCUAUCCGUUGCCUGCGCGGCUGGUAGAGCUAUUUGGGUCUAUAUUUUUUUUAGGCCUGCUGCGGAAAUGCUUAUUUGAACCCAACUGUGACCCGUUUAAUUGUUUUUUCUUUUCUUUUUCCUUUUUUGGGCUGUUUUUUCUUUUCUUUUUCCUUUUUGGGGUCGUUAUAUGGUGUACUGGGCCUAGUUGGGCUGUUCGUAUUCUUCUUCUUUUCUCUUUUUCCGCAGAGAAUGGACCCAACUUGGCUUUUUUUUCUUCUUUCCCUUUCUUUUCUUCCUUUUGCGUUUUAUUUUUAAAUACUUUAUUUUUUUACCGAGGUAAGGAGGGAAGCCAACUUUUAUUUUUAACGAUUUUUAUUCCUAUCUAUUUAAUUCACUCCCACGAGAAGUCAAACUCAGGCUUGCUGAAUGGUACUCAGGUACUGUAACCAUUAGGCUAGAGGUCUUUUCGUAAUCCUUUCCUUUUCUUUUCAUUGUUUUUUUAUUUUUUAUUUGUUUUUUCUCUUUUUUAUUUUUUAUUUUAUUUUUGUAUUUAAUUUAUUAUUGGUUAUUGUAUUAUAUUUUGAUAUUUUUGUUUUUCUUUGCAUACUAAUAUGUUCACUGUGAAUAUAUAUUUUGUUCUCUUAUAAUAGUAAUCUGUUCAAGCGUGAAGCUGUUUGUUCGCCUUUGUAAAUUAAUUUGUUGGCUAUGUUAAAUUAUUUGUUCACUUUUUAGAAUAAAUUGUUUGUAUGUAAGAAAUAAAUUGUCCGCAUCUAAAUCUAUAUUUAUUUUGUAAAAUAAUGUGUUCCUGAUUAAGUUGUUCGGAUUAAGUUGUUCGGAGAUGUAGAUUUAUUUGUUCACGAUGUUCAGUUUUAUUUUUCUCGAUACAACCAAUUGUUCGUGAUGUUCCAUAUUUUUGUUCGCAUCAUACUAUGAUUUUUAUUCUUCAUGUUUAAUAUUUUGUUCGUAGAAAAUAAUAAUUUUUUCCUAUGGUUCAUACAUUUGUUCGCAACACUUAGAGGUAAUUAUUCCAUAUUAAAAAUACUUUUUAUAAAUAUCAUCCAAAUAUAGUGAAGUGCGGUCUUGUUUUGAAGCUUUUGUUGUAAAAAAUAUAAUGAUGCAAUCGGAAUUUAAUUUUAAUACUCUAUUUGAGAUUUAUAGCUUUUUUUUAAUUUCGAAUCCGUGUGUAAGUGGAUGAUGUCAUUAUUGUUGUAUUUUAUUGCAUGUAUGCACGCCGGUUCAUUUUUUUGUGAACGCGCUGGUGCGCUUAAGCUGCUCAUGUAGAUAGGUACUGCACGUGCGUGGGGCAUUAUUGUUGCAUACGGAGGGCUGUUAGCAGGCCUCCAGGUGACAAAAUAAAUUCUAUCGCUUGCAGCUACACCUAGACUCACCCUCUCUAAUCGCCUACAUAAAAGGGAGAGGAAAAUAAAAUUAUAUUAUAUGAAGUUAUGUACCAAAACUUGUUUGCUAGUUAAUUCUUCGUCGUCGCGUAUCUGAUGCGCUCCCAAUUCCCCAUUGUUGCUGUCCUAUCUAGCAGAAUUGAAGAGCACUUCAUCGUCCAUUCCGGUUCGGAAACCUCAUUCAUGCCGGUUAUCAAGCCGGUACAAUGAAGCCGACGCGGAUGAGGGGAAGAUAUAUCUGCCGAUGUAAGUCCCAGUAUGGAUAAGCAACUAUCCUUGGCACACCUUAUAGAUAUGUUACUAUCCGAACCAGACGACCACAAGGCUCAGGAUGGAUAUAUCCCACCCAGAGGUAAUUACUACGGCAUGGUUGUUGAUGGAAAACUACCAGUUCUAUUUAUGCAAUGGCACGAAUAUUGUAGUCAGAUAAAAAACUAAAUCUGGUAACUAAUAAAUUCAGCAUGUAUUCAUAAGUAAGGCUCCCGUCUUGCUUAUCACGACGGGAUAGUGGCAUAGCGCGGGCCUGACCAGGGGUCGGCAUACCCUAUUUUACUCAUCGGUUCUUCCUCAGGUUCUUCAGACCUAGUACGGCCUUGCUUGUUGUCUGACUGACGCGGGUACCCCUCCUAUGGGUACUCGUGACAGAGCAUUCCCAUGAACGCCAUCCUUCCCUCAUAGUCAUUGCUCAACAGAAUGAGUGAAACAUUGUGUUCGUGGCAAUUUCUAGAGCAGAAAGAGGCUAGAGGAAGGCGGGCAUGAAGAGAGGAAGAAGUGCGACAUACGCUAGGGUUAGAGCAGUAUGUGUUUGAAAGUGAGGAUGGCCACCCAAUAUAUAGCGCGGUGCGAUGAUUUAUUCUUUCUAACGUAAUAUUACAUAUCGAUACAGAUAUGAACUUAUUCUUACCGGGCUAUUUAUACACUGGUACGUACAAAUAUAAAUACCCAAAAAAUAAUUGUAUAUUACUAAUUAACAUCAUAUAAUAUUAAGAAAUAAAAAGGAUGAAAUCAUAUACACACACAAAUAUUUUCAGUACAUUGUUCGAAAUAUAUUAAAAUAAAAAAUACCAAAUCCUAGUAUAAUGUUAUUGAGUGCCUCUCACCUGCGCAUGUUUUUCGAUGGUGAAUGAAUUAAUGCGGUGGAAGGCUAUGAUCUUGUUCCACCAUCUCCAUGUGUGGUUGUGUACAUGAUUAACAUGCAUCUUGGUCGUUGGAAGAAUGGCGAAACGAGGCCGGUACUUUCGUCGCUGGCAAUUCUGAAGUUAGGGUAGUUAGGGUGUGAUAGGGCUUAGAAGAGGCACAUCGCUAUCAUGUACAAGUACUCUUGGUUGUGGUGCUCCCCGACAUUUGCUGUGAGCACUGUCUGCUGGGCACCGUUGGAGACGCCGAGUUGCUUCAUGACCAACCGGUUGACCUCGACGUCCAUGCAUGCUCCCACACAAUCAAUCAAUCUUGCUUGUCUCACCUAGAUAGAAAAUUUUAGAGGGCCCUAUUAGGCAGGGCUCCAGGGCUCCAUAGGUUGCAUAGGGUUGGGGGCUAGCCCGCUGCUGGAUCCGCCCUUGCCUAGAGGAGGAGAUCAAUGGGCCGAGGUGGUUCGGGGGCUGAAGCAUAUAGGUAGAAGGGGAAAUAGAAGUAGUGGAGGCGAGCAGCUCUAUGAUCGAGCUCAAGUUGGUGGAGGAGAGCUCCCAUAGAGUGGCUUUUAUAGAAAAUUGAGAUUUAGGCCAGUAAGAUCUAACUCAUGCCAUUAAUGGUGUGGGCGAGAUGGCCGUGGUGAUCAAUGAGUGGAGGUGGUAACUGCGGGCAACAACGAAGCAAUGGCGGUAGCAGCAUUUAACACGUGGUCGCGUGGUGGAGGUACCUAUAUAGUGCGGGUUGCAUGGGAGAACUAGGCAUGGCAAGGACAGCGCGUGUGCAUGGAGUACAAAAGAAUCAAAUUGAGUAAAUACAUACUCCCUCUCUUAAAAAACUAAAGUUAAUGUAGAAAUUUUUAGACACAUUAGUAAGGGGUAAAAUGACCAUAUAGCACCCUUAUUUAUUGGAGUAGUUCCUAAAAACAGAUAUGUUGUGGCUUGGAUAAUCGCCCACAAUAAAUUGCUCCUCAUCUCAUUGGAUCAUGCAAGUAAGGUACAUGCAAUUAAUGGGGGUGGAAUUAAUGCUGUUGGCCCCCACUAACUAUCCAAAAGCUGAGAAAAAAAUAUUUGUAAGACAAAUUUUAAAUAGUAGAGUGACUUGUUUUUUAAGAACUAAAAAAUAAUAAUUAGUAAUCGAUGCAAUUAUAGUAAGGAUAUCCUGAAUUGGAUACCAAUAGUACUACAUACUAGCAUUAUGACCGAGUGUUUUGUGCAUCCAAUUUUGUUCCAUUUAUUUCCAUUGAGAAUAAUCAAUACUGCUGUAAAGAAUCCUUGAGAAUAUCCAAACGUGCAGCAAGCAUUUCAUAUAAUAUCAUCUUAUAUCCUGCAGCCUGUCCAAGUGCCUAUAAAAGUGCACGCUCCCCUGUAAUCCAUCUUCAAUUCAUUGCAGUUCAACCAAUGGCCCUAAAGUCUGCCGCGCUCGCAAUCCUUCUAGUGGUUUCGCUCAUCUUUGCAGGUACAUAUUUUUGUUACAAAGAUAAUUGAAACUAGUCUUAGCAAGUACACAAGAAAGACUUUAAAAACUUAAAAUAGGUGGAAACACCACCAAAUUUCAAAUCCCUUCUUAAUACUGUUAUAUUCUUGUCAUAAUCUUUCUUCCCUUAUACCUCCUAUAAAUUUGUGUUGAUGAUUCAAAUCGGGCAUGUUUCGACCACAGAUCACGUCAAAUGCCAACCGCUGGUCAGGAGCGAAGGGCAGGAGCUCGCCGGAAACGGUAGCGGCUAUGGCAGCGGUGGCGAGGUGUCUCCCAAUAGCGACUGCAACGAGGGAGCCUUAUACCAUGGGCCGUGCCUCGAGUUGAUCUGCGCGGCGGCUUGCCUCUUGCAGAUGAACCGAGGCGGACACUGCAAGGGUGGGUUCUUCGGCGCUUGCAUGUGCUUCGUGUGCAACUGAUGGCGCCUUCUUUUGUGUGCUAUAUAAAGAGGAGGAAUAAAAGUGACGUGACCGUGUGAUCGCGUAAUGAAAUUUCUUUACUAAUAAUUACUGUAUCAGUGACGCGUUGUAUGGAUUAACAAUUUCGUGACUAUUUCAUAUGAUGUUCAUGCAUGGCCGUGACUGUCAUCUUGUGUCACUCACACUGUGUGCCUCAAUCCGUGAUCAAACCAUCGGCUCGACUGCUCGUCCUGUGAUGUGCGCUUCGUGCCAUGGCUGCUGAACGUACCUAUCCGACAAUCCGCUUCCUCCGAUCCACGCCUAAGCAGAUUUCAGCGCACGGUGUCAAUAUUCUGCUUUUCGAUCUCUUUGUACUAUAGCCAAACCCAACACAUAUAUAGCUAGUGUCCACGCGUAUGCUUAUAUAUGAUUGUCACUUUUAGGCCAACAGAAGUCAACAAAUCAAAUCUUUCCUACCGGUGGAUCAUUCAUCUCCUUAGAGCAUUUACAUUCAUCCACGUCAAUUAUAUAUCUCUCUUACGUCAUCUUAUGCAAUAUAGGUGGCGGAUGAUGUCGAAGAUGUAUGGUAGACCAUCUUAUACAAUAUAGAUUUUUAAUAAUGUGAAGGUGCUACAGCAGGGAGGUGCGAGAAAGAUAUCGUUAUUUUAGAAGGUAACAGACUCUUAAACUAAAUUCAAAAGUAUAGAAAUGUCUCACCAUUGCACAAAUACAACGACACAACUUAAAAAACAACAUGAUGUAGGGGUCGUUUGUUAAUUAGUUGAUACCAACGUAUUUGCCCUUACAAUAAUUAAUCUUAGCGAACGACGGAGUAAUAUUGUGUAUCCAUCCAUAUCUAUCUAUCUACAGUAUCUAUCUAUCAAUCAACAUAUCUAUCUAUCUAUCUAACUGUGUGUAUUCUAAUAAAUACUCCCUCUGUUCUAAAAAGAAUGACUUUUUAGGAUUUUUCAAACAGAUCAGGGGUGAAUGAAAAAGACACAUGUACCCUAGUUAGUUCAGUUUGCAUAUAGAAAAUGGAGAAAAUAUAUUUCCAUUUAAUCAUACAUGCAGAAGAUGAACGUGACAAAUUAUGCAUGAUAAGAUUUAAAUCUAGAACAUCAUUAUUUUUAAGAUAAAUUUUAAAUACUAAAAUAUCAUUCUUUUUUUUGGGACGGAGGAAUACAGAUGUUCGCAUGCAAUUUGGGCCUAACAGUGUGCUCCCCCAAUAACUCUAGCGGGCCUUUAUUUUGGACGGGCCAGGUAAAAAUGCUUAGGUCUCUAGUUUGUGGGCCAAAACCUUAUAUUAAUAAAGAUUUCUUCGUCUAAAAUUGAGCCAUCGAACCGAGUUUGAUUUGGACAUACCGGCUCCAUUCACUUUUUGACAGUACUAUUUCCUCUUGGCAUAAUAAUUAAGGAAACUUAUCAUCAUUUAAUUAUACCAUUAGCUAGUCCUUGUAAAUAAGUGAGUUAUUAAGACCUAGACUUCUUGAUACCCAUGUAACCGAUCUCGGUUGAAAGAAUGAAGAGUCAUGCAUCAGAGAGUGGAUGGAUAGUUGGACUCAAAUAAAACUAUCAAAAAUGAAUUUUCCAGGUUUAGAAAUAUGCCUAUCAAAAGUGAAAGUAACGGAGGAGAAAAUAAUAAAACACCAAUAAUUUAUUUAGGUAAUAUAUGCACCACCCCUAUUUUCUCUUUCUUCUUUCCCUUUUCCUCAGUGAGGAUGCUCUUGUUUUUCUGAAUGAAAUAUUUUUCUUUAUUUUCCAAAAAGCAAUUUGAUUCCUUGCAGAAAAUAGUUGAUGUUGUUAUCGUAAGCAUGUCCUAAAUUGGACAUUUAGAUAGUACUUCCUCUAACCAUAAAUAUAAGUCCAGCUACAUUAAUUAUAGGGGCUAUUGCAUUCUUGCCCUCAUUUUGAACUCCAAUUGUGAUUUUGCCCUUAUUUUCGUCCACUUUGUGAUUUUACCCCUACUUUUUGAAAACGAACUCCCUGUUUGCCCCUACUCUAUGAUCAGCACAUAACGGCAUCAAAUGUUGUGAAAGAAGACAAAUUUGUCCUUGCAAAUAUGCCCCUACUUUUAGAGAAUUUUGUGAUUUUGUUGUAACACUGACCCGAUCUUCUGAUAUGUAUGGUAAAUUUUAUUGGUGGAGAACUCGACAUUGAUGAUCCGGGCUUCUAAUUAGACACAAUUCGAACCCCUGCAAUCGUUACACCGCUACUCCAUUAGUUAUCAACCAAGCACAACUCGAUUGACCUCGGCACGAAGGCUUUCCUUGCAAGCGAAUCGAAGAACACAAGUAACAAAGUGAAAAAACACAAUCUAAAAUUGAAGAUGCAUAGGAAGUAAAGAUGAAUAUUGUGCACAUGGCUAAGAAAAUAAGAUACAAAAGAAAAGAAAAAAGAAAUGAAAAAUGGGGCUGCCUCCGCAUGCUAGCACGGGGAAAAGAGAGGGAGGAAUGAAGGAAUGAUAAUAUAAAAAACACGAAAAAGAGAAACAUAAUAAAAAGAUGAUGAAAAAAUAUGGGGCUCCUAUGUAUCUACCCUAUGUUGGAUAAGAAACUUACCUUUAAAGUUUAAUAGGCUCGUACCAUCCUCUUCCUCCUCCAGUCAGUCUCGUUUUCCUCCCUCCUCUCUAGUGCCGGUUUUGCUCCCCGCGCUCGCCGAUUUGCAGCUUCUCCCUCCUUUCUGACACCGCUCCCCUACACCGCUAGCCUUCUUCGUCUCCAGCGGGGUGCCAGAUCUGCCUCCACUACCCCCGCCGACAGUAACCAAGUUAGACCCGCCGCCUCUGCUACCCCCGCCGUUCUCCACUGCCCCCGGCCUAUGGCAUCCCCAAGGUUGCACCGUGCUGCCCCUACACCCACCACCAUCAACCGUGAUGCCCCCGCCGGUGACCUCGCCCACCACGUACCCAGCCCCACCCGAGGUAAUCCCGAACCUUAACCCUAACUCCACCGCUUGUCAACGCCAGCCUCAAUGGCACUGCCACCAUGCUCCUGCCCACCUCCCACCUUGUCACCCUCCCAUCUCAGACCCUGGUGCACCCUAGUGUAACGAUCUUGGUUAGUCAGCCGAGUUAAUCUCAAGACUAAUCCCAAAUCUGCAGUCUCCAUCAGCCCGACCCCUGAAAACCCAAACCAACCUGGCAACCGGCAGCUCUUCUUUAAGUCCUGAGACCAGUGUUCGUCCAAAAUCUUAGAGCUGCGGAAGAGCUAGAGACUGGAAGAUGGACCCACAACCAAAUCCCCCAGAUCUCUCGAGUCAACCGCACCAGAGCAAGCGUGCGCCCCGCUUCAGAGCUUCGCCGCCGCGUGGCUUAACCUCCCCGACGAGCCCCGCCUCGCCCAGUCGCUGGCCACGACCAGAUGGAUCAGCGCGCCUCCUUCCCAAUCGCGCGCAGAAGCGCCCUGCAAACUCUUUGCCUCACCUCGUCUCGCUCGUACCCUCGCCGGCCGCGCCUGGCGCCCUGUCGCCGCUGCGACCAGAGAUUGGCAGCUGCUGCGCCAGACCACCUCGCCUCCCGCGCUCAUCAUCUCAUCCGGAAUCCCGACCGCGCGCCCCGAUGCCUUCCGGCUUUUCCGCCUCUCCACAGUCGCGCCGCCCACGCGUGCGCUCCACGACGAUACCGCCCUCGCCAACCACGGAUCCCGCAGUGACAACUCCUUUUUCCCGCCUCGCCAGUAGCGUGCCCCGGCAAAGCCGCUGGUCUGCACCCGCUAGCGUCGCCGCUCGCCCUGUCACCUCGCCUGCAGCGCUCUCGCUAGCAGUGCCCCCUUUCUUCCUUCCUGUCACACGCUAACCGAGCUGCCGCACCCAAUCCGCAGCUUGAUGCGAAGAGACCCGCGCUCGCCCUUACCAAUCCUUCUCUCCGGCAAAACCGCGCCUGCAUAAGCUCUGUCUUCAGUGCCCAAUGACCGAAGACCCUAUCCCCGAAGCUCCGCUUCGCCGGCCAAUGGAGACGUCGCCCAAUCGCCGCCACGGCAGAGCACUCCAUCCUGUUCGACCUGAUCCUCGCGCUGCCCGAACUCCCUCUCUUCCGCACAGCUAUAAAAAGAAGUACCAGAGCUCUACCGGAGUUUCCCUUCGCCAUCGUUGCCCUGCCGCAUCUUCCUCUAUUUCGUGCUCGCGCGCUGCCACCUAAGCUCUUGAGGAACUCUCCUCUCCGCUCAACACCCGCCUUUCCCAACCCACCAGCCACUUGUUCCCCCGCAUGGUGCUAGACUUACUUGAGUCAACAAGAAGCACCGCCGCCGUCGGAGCACCGCCAGACCUCACCGCCGCCCAAGUCUUAGCACCUUUCAUCGCUCCACCUGAGCCUGUUCCUUCCCGACCCCAAGACUUUACCAGUAGGCCUAAAGUUAAGCUGCUGACCCCUUUCCGGUUCGCUCGACCCUGUCUGUUUCGCCCGACCCUGUCUGUUUCGCCGACCCUUAUCCGCCUCGCCCGAGGGCUCGGCUGUACCUUUUUCUUUGACCCAAGGGUAUCUGUGUAAAAUUUCGGGGACUUCUCUGUGCUAAGUCUGAGGACCCCGGUACAGCUAUUCCUUAGGUCUGAGGGUCAGAUCAGAAGUUUCUCACAACCUGACUCUUUUGUCUUAUUCUCCAUCAACUGAAGCUUGAACCUCCACACUUUUCCCGUAGCCUUGCUACAAGUUUCCGGGCUAAAUCUUGCAAGUGGUGUUGAAAUAACCGUCUAAGUGCUAACUCCUGCAUUGCAUUCGUGUAGAGCUAAAUCUCGCCGACAGCACAUACGAGCUGUAUCCGGUGCCAGAAGACGGAGAAGUAGCUGAGCCGCCGAUCGCAGGAGCUGAAGCAGAACUCGCAGAGGACCAGUUUGCCUCCGCCCCGCUCGAAGGCAAGCCUCGGAGCAUGACCCCAAUUUUCUAAACUUGCACAUGCCUUCCUUCGUUUGUAUGUGCAUUUACGUUACAGGAGUUGUUUGAAACCGUAGAUGCAUGACUUAGUUCCCUUGAUCUGAACACUAGUUUGAUAAGUCUGAGUAGUUGCAUUGCGUAAUAGGACUUGGUAAAAGUCGAGUGAUUUCCUGUCACUCGCGAGUUAUAGGAGUUGGUUGUUCUCCUUCUGUUUACAACUAUAAGGACGGUGGACGGGGCAGGGCCUGGUGAACUCUUUUGGUGGUCGGUGGAUCGCCCCGUCUGUCUAUAUGAAGUUGCUUAAGGUUGAAAAGUGUUGGUGUUCGUGAUCAAGUGUUUGAAAGUACUAAUCUCAUAUCUAGUAUGGGAUGGGGAAGCCUAGUACCUGAUUGAACUAGGGCAUGGCUUAUACCCCUGCUGUCCCUGGAACGAGGUUCCCAUGGUGCAUCAUGUGGGUGCAAGUGCGGCCACAGUACGACCAGAGGUCGGGACUGUGGAGUAUUGCAUGCCAAGGGAAGUUUGGACCUGACACGUGCCUGGGAAUUGAUGGGGACGGCCGACACAGGAAGCGACCCUUUGUGGUGCGCGGAUGUCAUGAGAUUAGGUUCACCAUGCAUGGUUAAGAAACUCGAAUCAAUUCGUCUGUCUCUCAUAGUUUGAGACUGCUUGAUCGCUAUGCUACACUGAGUAAAGAUGGAACAUGAUGAUGAGAUGAACUCGAUGCUUGUUCUACACAUUGUUGUUGGAAGCUAUGUUUGUUUAGCAUAAGUUGCCAAUGUAGACUGGUUAAUGAACUUAGGAUCUGGGCUAAAAUAUUGAAAGUAAGGACCCACUAUAGUCGCUUUUGGCAAAACAAACCCCUCAGCCAAAGAGCCUUGCAUGUCUAGAUGUUGGUGGAGUAGUUCCCCACUACUCGGUUAAGUCUUGUUGAGCUUAGCAGCUCAGCCUUGCUUGUGGCAUCUCUUUCAGGUGAAGUUGAAGCUACUGAGUUUGCUGCUGUUGGCAUUUGGAUGCCCUAGCUUCCUCCUGGGUGGACGGUCAAGUGGGAUCCUUCCUCGGAUGGCGGGGAGUGGGAUCACUGAUGUCCUGUUUGGCCUCACCAGGGACAUUCGACCCCGGCGCUAGCUACCGCUAUGUUCGUCUUCCGUUGUGUUUAAACCUUGUAAAACUCUGAUUUCAAACCAGUGUGUAAUAAACGGUUGAACUAAUUAUUUGAUUUGUUGUAUUCUCUGGACCGCUCACCUUCGUGUGAGCUAUGCUAACCCGGUCCUGUUUAAGUGGUUAAAUUGGAUGAAAUCCGACAGAUCAUCGAGUUAACUUGGUUAAAGCAUGUGAUUCACGUGUUAGGUGACUUAACCGUGCUUUAGCUAAGUUAAUCCGAGGUGUUCCGCCACAGCUGGUACCAGAGCAGGUUUAGCAGGACAGAGAACACAAUAGGUCAUAAACACUUUCUUUUUAAAUAAAAUUUGCAAGAAAGGUGUUGAAAAAUCUCGUACGGUCAUUAAGGAUGACCUUAGUACGAGAGGCCCUAGGGGAUUUUGGGGUAUUUUAGGUGGCUAUUACUUAUUGGUUAUUUUGCUAACCUCCAGCACUUCGCCACGUGUAUCAUACGUGUGCCGAGUUCCGCAUCACAAGUAUGCGAGGGUUGAUAGGGAGUUCUAUUCAAAGGACCCUAUCAUCGCGGUUGUUUCGCCCACAUUUAUCAUACGUGCGCAGGUUCCGUAUGUUAACUCAUGUGAAGGGUGGUAUGGUUUGAUUCCAACGAGCUGUCUGCCAGCCUUCAGUGGUAGUCUGACUCCUCCAUUGGGUCGGAUGAAAACGUGCCAAAAGAGGUCAGCCAAGCCAUAGACGCUGCACUGGUUGGACGUCGGACACAGCAAGCCGUGCACAAACAACCUGCCUUCAAGUCAUAGCAGUCGAGUAGCAAAAGGAAGAAGAUGGCCGGCAAGAAGAAGGAGAAAGUUGUCUCGAGCGCAACCUCCAUGGCGAGGUCGGCUAGCGAUGCGGACGAGGAGUCUGACACGCCGAGCCCUCCCACGAAGAAGACAAAGUCCGAGCUCCUUGAGAUGACCGCAGCCGAUGCGGAGCGUGUCAAGGAAGCAUUGAAGGCGAAGAUCCACGGGGGGUCCAGCAAAGAUGCAUCAACACUACCAGCGCCCCUACGCCCAAAGUUUCAGGUGAAGAAGAAGAGCACCAUGUAAGUGCGGUCUGCUUAUACUGUCUGUCUUGUGGUUAUUGUUGCCGCCUAUUUUGCUUGAAUGACAACUCGCAUCGACAAUGCAGGACUGUCGUGCUAAAUGUCGAAUCUAGCGUGCAGUUGUCUGAGUGCUUAGCCCAGACCGAGGGGAUGAGCAACCGCACCGUGGAACAGCCGCCACCUCCGGAGGCCGGUGCUGAUAAAUAAGGUCGUGCUGGAGAAGUUGUGCCAACUCUACCGCCGCAACAAGGCGCAGCCAACUCCAGUGCUGCAGAUGUAGACAUGAUCGACUCCGGGGUCAAGUAGGUAAUUGAUGAGGGAGCCAGAGCUGAGCCUCACCAGGAAGAGCUUCCCAGUGAUGAUCUGCCGCCGGAGAGGUCCAUCGAGGACGCUAACAUCGGCGUGCAAGGUGGAGAUGAUGUUGAUACUUUGAACUUCUCCGAGCCACGCUUUGUUGGGGACGCAGCGAUAGACCAGAAAGCUCUUGCCGAGCUACGACAGUCUUCCUUGAAGAUUACCAAGUUUUUGAAUGUAAGUCUACCAACCUAGCCGGAGAACUUGUAUCUGAAAUCCAUUUUCUUUGUCAAGCCCUGAAUUUUAGGAUGUGUGCAGGGUCUAGCCGAGCAUGCACAAAAGAGGGCAGACACGAUCCACCAAGCCAAGCACUACCGCUUGAAGGCAGUGCGCCUUGAGGACGACCUCAAGAAGGCCAAGGAGGAUGCCGUGCGGAAAGACCUGGACCACACCCUGAAGGAAGAGGUUCUCACUUCGCACCUGAGAGGUACGUUAUGCCGACCUGUUGAAUCGUGUUCGUCCUUGAGGCCUUGGUGUUGAUGUAGACCUAUCGGAUGAGCAGAUGCCACGGUGAGGGAGCAAAGCCUCAAGCAGCACCUUAAGGAGUGCGAGGAUUCCAAUGUGCACCUUCAGAAAGAGCAUGAUGUGAUGGUCCAUCGUGAGUAUACCAUAUCGCAGAAGCUAACUUAUGAAGCCAACGUGUGAAAGGAAACUGAGUGCUGCUUAGAGGCUGUUGUACAUAGUCUUUAGCAUGACCAACAUGUGAUUGUAGGCUUGGAAGUGGAGCUGGAGGAUCUUCGCAAGGCGUCCAGCUAUGUGAUGGACAUGGUCCAAUUAGAGGUCGACCUAACCGCAGCAACGCGGUUGAUCGAUCGUCUUAAGGUCGCACCUGGUCGGCUAAAGGCGUUGUUGAAGGACACCGCGGUGGAGAGCGUCAAGAAUAUCUUCGCGCUAUUGGCGACACACUUCCUGCGGCUUCUCUUGGAGCGUGCUGCAAUAGGAGUCACGGCCGACUUCAAUUCUGAUUUGCUUCAAGAACUGGUUGACUAGUACCACGAUGUAGUGGAGAACAUUAUCAAUGACUUAGACUUGUAAGAUAAAACUUUGUGGUCUAUUAAAUUGUAUGACAGGUUAUCUGAUGUAAUUGAUUUAAUCGCAUGUGGAGAAAGGAGCUCCAUCCCUCCCUUGGUACAUAUGAUAGGACAACGUGCAGCUGAGGCCUGUAUCUGCUAAGCACCUAGCCUUGCCUGACCAGCGUCUUGCUGAGAGCGAAUCUCGAGCUUGUAGGAGGGGUGAACUCAAGGUUGUCUAGGUUUCGCGGGCUAGGAUGCCAACCACACGCGUUAGUCAUAUUGGCUUGACAGGGGGAAGAGAACAACGCGAGACCCGAAGGUCGGUGCCUGCGGGAAGCCACCGAGCUUCAGAGCGAGUGGUCUGUCAAACAGGUUAGACAACUCCCGAGCAUCAAGAACAACUCAAACAUAGGAACAGUAAGGUGGUACAUACGCAUAGAACCUAAGAGGCUUUAUUUGACUUCUUUGAUGAUGAAUCAGCCCUCCCAGGGAGCGGCCAACUUGUGCAUGUCCUUGGUGGACUGGAUCCGGCAAAGCAACAAAUCACCAACAUUGAAGGAGCGUUCUCUGACAUUCCGACCGUGGUAGUGCUAUAUUUGUUGCUCGUGGCGUGCAUGCUGGAUCAGGGUCGCCAUGCGAUGCUUUUCAAGGCUGUCGAUGUCGACCCACCAACUUGUUUUUGCCUCGCCUUCCUCAUAGUAUUGGAUGUGUGGGGCGCCAAAGACCACGUCGGAUGACAGGAUGGCCUCUGAGCCGUACACCAUGAAGAAAGGGGUGUAGCCGGUAGCCCAGCUCUUCUGGGUUCGUAGGCCCUAGAUGACAUGGGGUAGUUCGUGUAGCCACUUGGUGGUGUACUUGGACGCGUUGUCAAAGAUGCAAAACUUAAGGGACUGUAGGACCAUCCCAUUCUCGUGUUUGACCUAACCGUUGCAGCGUGGGUGCGCUACUGAGGAGUAGUACACAUCGAUGAGGUUAUCCUAUCAAAAGUCCCAUAAUUCGGAGCCUGUGAACUACUUGCCAAAGUCAGUGACGAUCCUAUUUGGCACUCCAAAGCGGUGUGUAAUUUCCUCCAUAAACUGAGCGGCUUUAGCCGACUCGAUGCUGGUGAUAGCCUUGAUCUCAAUUCACUUGGUGAAUUUGUCAACUGCCACAAAGAUAUGGGUGUAGCCGCCCGGAGCGGUCUUGAAGGGUCCAACCAUGUCCAGCCCCUAGCAUGCGAAGGGCUAGAAUGGUGGGAUGGUGCGCAGGGCUUGGGUUGGUAUAUGUUGCUGCUUGGAGAAGAAUUGACACCCUUUACACCUUUGGACGAGCUCCUUUGCAUUGGCUACCGUUAUUAACCAAUAGAAAUAAGAGCGGAGCGCCUUGCUGACCAAAGUGCUCGAGGUGGCGUGGUUCCCGCAUGUUCCCGAGUGAAUCUCGUGAAGGAGGUCGAUACCCUCGUUGCGCAGAAUGCACUUCAUCAAGAUACCUAUGGAUGUAGCCUUUCUGUAGAGCUACUUGCCGAUGACGACAUAGUUUGCACUGCGUCGAGCUAAUUUUUUGUGUUCUAUUUUGUCCUCUGGAGCCAUUUGGUCGGUGAUCAAGGCUAUGAACAGGGCGCGCUAGUCUUCUUCUAUCUCAGUCAUCAUGACGUUAGUGGGAGUUGGGGCACCAGCGCUGCCCCAGUCCGGGUCCAGAACCUUGAUGGAUAGUUUCCAGAGAUCUUGUACAAAGACGCCAGCCAAAACCUACGCACGCUUGGAGCCGAGCUUGGACAGGACAUCGGCAGCGAUGUUGUGGUCCCGGGGGACAUGGUGGAACUCAAGACCAUCGAAGUGGGUCUGAAGUUUUCAGAUUUCUGCACAGUAAGUGUCCAUAGACUCCUUGGUGUAGUCCCAGUUCCUUUUUACUUGCUCGAUGACGACCUUGGAGUCGCCGUACGCAAGGAUGCGCUUGAUCCCAAGGGAAACAGCAAUGCAUAGGCCGUGGGUGAGAGCUUCGUACUCGGCGCCCUUGUUGGUGGCCUUGUAGUGAAUAUGGAGCACAUACCUGAGCUGCUCACCUUUGGAGGGAUAUGAAUAGGACCCCUGCGCCGACUCCUUUGAGGUUGAGGGUGCCGUCAAAGUACAUAGUCCAGUGUUCUGGCCUCUCAAGAGAGGGCGACUUCUAGAUCUCCGUCCACUCGGCCACGAAGUCAGCCAGGAUCUACGACUUGAUCACAUGACGUGGGUAGAAAUCGAGGUCAAACUUGCCGAGCUCCAUGGACCACUUGACAACUCGGCCGUUGACAUCCCUAUUGUGAAGGAUUUCGCUGAUGGGGUACGAUGAUACUACCCAGAUCUUGUGCGCCUGGAAGUAGUAGCGCCACUUUCUAGAGGAAAUCAGAACUGUGUAGAGCAAUUUCUGAACCUGAGUGUAGCAGAUCUUGGAGUCGUUGAGGACCUCGCUAAUGUAGUACACCGGCCGCUGCAACAUGUGGGCAUAGUCGGGCACUUCGCAUUCCACAACUAGCACGGUGCUGACAACAUGCGUCGUUGCGGAAAUGUACAGGUAAGGCGUUUCGUGGUCGGCCGGGGCCGUCAUGAUGAGAGGAGUGGUGAGAAAAGCUUUGAGCUCUUUGAGUGCCUUGCUGGCCUCGUCGUCCCACUCGAAUUUGUCUGCCUUUUUGAGCAGCUUGAAGAAGGGCAGACCCUUUUCGCUGAGUUUGCUGAUGACGUGGCUAAGGGCCGCCAUCAGGCCAGUAAGCUUCAUGAUGUCUUUCUUGUUGGAUAGUUUUUGCCAUAUUUUUGAUUGCGUCCACCUUGACGGGGUUGGCUUCGAUGCCGUGCUGGCUGACCAUGAAGCCCAGGAGCUUUCCAGACGGGACACCGAAGACGCACUUGCCCGGGUUGAGUUUCCAAUGAUAGGCUCGGAGGUUGUUGAAGGUCUCCGCAAGGUCGACUAUGAAGCUUUCCACAUCCUUUGUCUUGACAACCACAUCAUCGACGUAGGCCUCGAUGUUCCUGUAGAUGCCAACCACCAUCAUCGGCGCUAGCAUUUUUCAACCCAAAGGUUACGGUGUUGUACCAAUAGAUGCCGAAGGGCGUUAUGAAUGCCGUCCUGUCUUGGUCGGCAAGAUUGAGGGUGAUUUGGUGAUAGCCUGAGUAGCAGUCAAGGAAGCUCCCAGCCGUCGAGUCUACGACUUGGUCGAUGCAUGGAAGAGGGAAGGGGUCCUUAGGUCAGUACUUGUUGACGUCAGUGUAAUCAAUACACAUUCUCCAUUCGCUGGUUUUCUUUUUUACAAGGACUGGAUUUGCCAACCAGUUAGGAUGCUUACAUUCACGGAUGAAUCCGGUGGCUAAAAGCUUAUUAAGUUCUACCCUAAUGGCCUCCUUGCGAUCUUGGGUGAAGUGGUGAAGCUUUUGCUUGACCGGUCUUGCAGUCUUGCUCAAGUCCAAAGAGUGCUCAGCCAGCUCCUACGGGAUGUUGAGCAUAUAAGAUGGCUUCCACACGAAUAUGUCCGAGUUUUUUCGGAGAAAACUGGUGAGCGUGAGUUCCUAUUUAGCAAAGAGGUUGGACCCUAGGAGGGUCAUCUUGGUCGGGUCUUCCAGGCCGAGGCAGAGCUUCCUAACCUUAGGGUUAGGUUGCAGCGUUGUGGGCGUCAGCUCCUCUCUGGGAUCGUGAGCUGGUCCUUAUCCAUCUUCUGGACCUCGGCAACCAUGGCGGUGGCCUUGGUUGAGUACUCCAGGGCUUCAACGAGCUGCACCGCCUCUGUGUCGUACUUGGACGAAGUCUCGACAUCGUCGUAGAUGGAGAGGAUACCGUUUGGUGUCAGCAUCUUUAGGACAAGGUAGGUGUGAUGCGGGAUCGCCAUAAACCUCGCUAGCAUGGGCCUGCCAAAGAUGGCAUGGUAGGAAAUCUUGAAGUUAGCCACCUCAAACGUGAGGUACUCCGUGCACCGUUGGCUUGCAUGCCAAAGGUGACGGGCAAAACAACUCGGCCAAUCGGAUAGGAUCCUUUGCUGGGGACAAUGUCAUAGAAAGGUUCUUCACAAAGAUGGAACCGCUCGAAGUUGAAGUCCAUGCGCUUCAAGGUCUCGGUGAAGAUGAUGUUGAGGCCAGUGCCACCAUCGAUCAACACCUUAGGGAGUAGGGCCCGGUCUAUGGUUGGGCAGACCACCAGCGGGUAGGACCCGGGAUCUGGAAUGUUGACCCAAUGAUCUUCUCUGGAGAAGGUUAUGGGCUGCUCUGACCAGCGCAGAUACUGGACUAGCUGUAUGGAGACAAAGUGCACCUCUCGCUGGUGCAGCUUCCGCUUGCAGUUGCUGCAGAAAGCCUUGGGGCUGCCCAUGAUGAUGUUGACCUGCCGUUCCAGUCACUAGAAUUCCCCGUUCUGGUCGGCGCCGGGCCGGUGGGCGUCUGGGUAUGGCUGGUUGCGGCGCUCCUCUUGGUGCUAGUCAUUGCGGUCGUCGCAUUGGCGGUUGUCGCGGUCAUCGCGGUUGUCACGACGGUGGUUGCGAUCGUCGUGGUAGCAGUCGUCGCGGCGACGGUCAUCAUGAUCGUUGCGGUCAUCGCAAUGGCAGUAGUCGCGACGGUUAUCGUCCCUGUGGUAGUCGUUGCGGCGGGGCCGCUUGUACUCCAUCGGGGCGCUGAGCUCUUUCUUGAGGACUAUGCAGCCCCGAAGAUUAUGACGUGCAUCCUUGUGGAAAGUGCACAGAGCGUUCAGGGUGUAGUUGAACUCUUCCCGGAGGAAGAUGGCCGGUCAGGCCGGGUCAGCUUCAGCGGGGAGGACCUCAGGGGCCCUUUUUCGAAAUCGGGAGGAUUCCAGCCGCGCUUGGUGUUCAUCAUGGGUCGGCUGGUCAUGGUCGUUAUUCUUGUGCUGCUUGUUGUCCUGGAAUUGUACUUGCGCCGCCUCCUUGAUGUCAGCCUGGAUGUUGACAACCUGCAUCAUCUGCCCGAUCAUCUUGGGGGUAGCUUCAUACAAUUUACAGAACAUAUUGCAGUUCGUGAGACUAGAUCGAAAGUACAUGAUGAUGUCAUGGUCCUCAACGCCAGCUAGCCUGUUGUGGUUCUCGAAGAAGUGGUUGGUGUACUCGUGGAUAGAUUCAUUCUUUCGCUGGCGGACUUGGCCAAGGUUCUCCGUGUUACCAGGUCGGCUAUAUGUAGCUUGGUAGUUCUCAAAGAAAGCUCUAGCGAGCUGACCCCAGCUAUCAAUGCUGUUAGGUAGGAGGUUUUCCAGCCAUAGGAGCGAGGUGGGACCCAUCACCAUUGGGAAGUAGGCGGCCAUCUGGUCGUAGGUGCCGUGGGCGGCUUUCACCACGGUGUUGUACGUCUUGAGCCAGAUGGUAGGGUCGGAGCGACCAUCAUACUUUUCAUUGAUGGCUGGCUUGAACGAGGCCGGCCACUCAACAGCCCAAAGACGAGGAGUGAAGGCGGUAAAGCCGUCGAUCGCCGUGUUGUUGUCGUCGUCGAGGUUGUAUACAACAGGUGGAGCCCUGGGGCACCUGUAGUUGUCGCGCUAAGGCGGUGCGUAGGCGUCUUCAAGUGCGCUGUACAUGCGGUCGUAGUCGGCGCGACGACUCACCUCAUCUUCUAGCGGCGGUCCUCGCUUUCCACGUCACAGUUGAGUCCAGGAACAUCGUAGUCGCGGUCAUACUCGGUGCGGCGGUGAAGCUCGGCCUCCUCCCGCUCCUCGUGAUAGUUGUUAAGGUCGGGGCGGAGGUCGCAACGGUCAUGUAGGUCAUGCAGUUCUUCGCGGAGAUCACAUUGCCAACCUGUUCUACCAUGGUCCUCACCAUCGCCUCUCCUGCCGCCGCGGCGGUUGUUAUGGUUGUCGUUGUUGGCGGGUUACUCCACCUCUUAUUCAUGAACUGGAUCCAGCUAAUCUCCCGCGCGGUUGUCACCUCGGUGGGGUCGGAACUGCUAUGCCUGGAUCGGCUCUGGGAGAGGCGGGUAGCAGUGGACCGGGAGUGUGCGGACCUACGGUGGGUCCGCUACUUGAUCUGUGUGUUGGUGAAGCGGAGACGCGCCCGACUCCGCUGCAGUUGCUCCGAGUCUGAAAGGUUUUCCAAGUCAGCGAAAACAGCCACCAGGUUGGCUGGGGUGUGGUGAAGAUGUUCUAGCCGGCCUGCUCGAGGUCGGCUUGUAGAUUGCACGCGCGCACAGGGCGCCUGCGCCUAUCCCGAGCACCGUCCUGGUCGGCGUUGUUACCAUCGUUGCACGGUGGUUGGCGCUAGUCGCCUACUGCCUCCACGUUAGUAGCAGGUUGCUGCUGGGCGUUGGCUUGCUCCUGUUGGCGCCGUACCGCAUGAUCCUGGAUCCUAGCGUUGUGGCCUUCUUCCUGAGAAGAAGUUUCGCCAUCCCUGGGUGGCUCAUCAGCGGACACCAUGAAAGCUUCGCGAUCUAGAGUGGAGGAGUUGCUCUCGUUGUUGCUUCCAUAGAGAUUCAGCGUCAAGACAAUGCGGGGGACUUGGAACUCGCCACAGUUUGGAAACUGGGCGGGUGCGGGUGGGUCUCCAGAUUGGAUCUGGAAGGACUACACGAGUUUGGCGGAAUACACAGCUGCCGAGUUCCAUAGACCGAAUGGGACGCGGGAAGGACCCUGCGCCGACCUUGUUGAGCGUAGCGCCACCUCAGAGAGAUCAAUGCAUUCAGCAAUUGUGUUGCUGAUGCGAUCUAGCCCCAUGAUCAGGUCAGAGGGCGUGGAUGGGCAGGUCCUGCAAGGAUGUGUGGAACCCUCUCGGAGAGAGAGAUCGCCGACCUGCUGGGCAAGCGGCGUGAUGAUUCUUGGAUGGAGAACUUGCUCCGCUAGAGUAGAUCCGAUGGAUGCUGAGCUAGCGGCUGGCGUCGAGUCGACGGAAGAGGUGGUGGAGUCAGAGUCCACGAGCAUGCUCCCGAAGCGGAGUCGGAUCGGGUUGGCGAGGAAGUUAUUCAUGCUCUCGAGUAAAACAACGCCCGGGGGGAUGCAUCGAGCUCGCUAGGGAGGAUCUCACAAUCACCCCUACUUGGUGCGCCAACUAUUGGAUUUAUAAGCCCAGCAGUCCACCAGGGAGUUACCCAAGUGGUUGAUUUGUAGGUAGAGGUGAUUGUGAAACCAAGAACUUGAAAGUGAUCAUGAGAACACGAGGGACACAAGGGUUUUAGACAGGUUCAGGCCUCCAUAGAGUAAUACCCUACGUCCUGUAUGCUUGGUGGCUUGUAUUGCUUGAGAAAUUCGAUGCCCUCGGGAGGCUUCCUUGUCCACCUUAUAUAGGCUGACGAUCUAGGGUUACAAGUCAGUUUGAAUUUAAUCUACCUGAUAGUUACAUGGAAGGUAAUCUGAGUCAGACUACAAUACGUGUACCGCAAUAUCCGGGGUGAUUUGAAUCGCCCGACCUUCUUAACUUGUGCUCCAAGUAUCUUCAUAUUCUUGACCCACACAUCCUGGUCGAGCGGGCCCACUUGUUUGGUCUGGCUAGUAUCCUGGUCGGUGGGGACCCAUGGGUUACCUAUAUCCCUCAUGCUGCAAAAGAACUCGGACACCCGACUAGUGACCUCUUCCUGGGUAACCUUAAGUUGUACCUCCCGGGUUGGAUCCAAUGGACCCGAGUACUCGUACGUCGGAUGGACCCUGUCCUUGAUCGGCCACGUCAACCUUUGGCAAAAAUUGAUACUCAUAGCUUCUGCUGUGAGCCCACGCCCCUUCAACUCGGCAGUCUCCUUCAACAGCUGCUCCACCUGGACCAUCUCCUUGGAGGUCGGCUAGUUUGACCACUCCGGCCUUGUCACGGGUGCGAACUCGAGGUGGGGUGGAAGCUCGGGUUUCUGGUUGGCGAUGAUAAACCACUCCAUGUGCCACCCCUUGUUUGUGUCAUUCAGUUGGAGAUCAAAAUAGUCGAGGACCCUCUUGGGGCGCAGUGAACAUCCACAACCGCCAAUCACUCUCAUCUUCCCCUUCAUUGUCACAACUUUCAGUGGGAGGGGGGAUUCCAAGAAAUGCCUCACAGAGAUGGAUAAAAAUGGCGAUGUCCAGGAUUGAGUUAGGGUUGAGAUGCACUAACUCAAUCUUGUAGUAGUCGAGCUGUCCACGGAAGAAAUCUUCAGCGGGGAUCCCAAAUCCUCGCUCGAAAAAUGUUGCGAAGACAACAGCCUCGGUCCGGUCCUCAGAGGGGAAUUCUUGGCCCGCGGUUGCCUUCCACUCUAGCAGCGUCUUGGGGCCAAGAAGGCCACACUCCACAAGGGCCUAGAUCUUCUCUUCCAUCAUCACGGACUUCACCUAAUACGUCGAUGGAUGUGGUGCUUGCUCCACCACCAUCUCUUUGGUCUCCACUCCUCGAGGUGCAGAUCGGAUGUAGGUGGGUCUCUUGGCUCGCAUGUGACGUGAAAUGGCGGCGCGGCGGUGGCGGCUGGCGUUUUUGGGUGAAAGGUGGAGGACGUGGCCUGAGGCCGCGGUGAUGCGACCUAGGGUGCGUGGAUGCGGCGGCAAUGGCGUUGGCGGUGGCGGUGUUUGGGGGCAAGAGGAGUGGAAAUGAAAAGGAAAUGGCACCCCUUCAGCUUUUGAAGGAGUUGACGGUGUAAACCUAGCAACGGAAUCUGCGGAUCCCCCUUUACAGCACACGCGGUGGAUGGAAUCUGCAGGUUUUCCGUUAAGUCUCACGGCGUGCGUCCGUGGCUCUGCUAGUCCUCGCGCUCGGGGGCUGGACAUCUAUUUCCGGUCGGCGUGCCUCCUGGACUCUGCCAGUCCUCGUGCUCAGGGGCUGGGCGCCUAUUUCAGGUUGGCCUGCCUCCUCAGCUCCACCAGUCCUCACGCUCGGGAGCUGAACGCCUAUUUUUGGUUGGCGUGCCUACUUAGCUCCGCCAGUCCUCGCGCUUGGGGGCUAGGUGCCUAUUUCAGGUCGGUGUGUCUCCUUGGCUCUGCCAGUCCUCACGCUUAGGGGCUGGGCGUCUAUUUUAGGUCGGCGUGCCUCCUUAGCUCUGCGACUCCUAGCGCUUGGGGGCUAGGCGUCUAUUUCCGAUCGACGUGCCUACUUAGCUCCGCCAAUCCUCGCGCUCGUUGGUUGGGCGUCUAUUUUCGACGUGCCUCCUUGGCUCCGCCAGUCCUCGCGCUUGGGGGUUGGGCGCCUAUUUCAGGUCAGCAUGUCUUCUUGGCUCUGCCAGUCCUCGCGCUCGGGGGCUAGGUGCCUAUUUUAGGUCGGCAUGCCUCCUUGGUUCCGCCAGCCCUCGCGCUCGGGGGUUAGGCACCUAUUUCAAGUUGGCGUGCCUCCUAGGCUUUGCCAGUCCUCGCGCUCGGGGGCUAGGCACCUCAUUUUGGUGACCAACGAUACAACUACUCGGUGCUUUAUAAUAUUUCUUGACCCUUGGACCGAAUACUCUAAUCGCUUCAAAGCUCAGAGGCUACUCCACAUGGAACGCGUCUUGCGACGCCCUCCAUGUGCUUCCCUUCAAUCUCCGGGAUGCUUGACAUCCUGAAGCUCAGCAAUUGUUUGCGUCACGCGCAUUUGGCAAUACGCUUGCUCAAAACACAAUAUUUUCUUCUUUUUUGAGCACUGCGCAGCCUCUCCAUUAUUAUGACGAAAUCGCAACUUCAACCGAGUUAACUACAAGCUUCGUUGUGCAUCCGUCAGGCUCCUAUUUGACUUCACAUUGCUUGGGGGCUUGACGGAUAAGGGUACCCACGGGUCCCCACCGACCAGGAUACUGGCCGACCUGACAAGUGGGUCCUGCCCGACCAUGACAUGCGGGGCAAGGCGUGAAGUUCCGUGAAGUACAAGUUUGGAGGCCGGGCAAACUGAUUCAGCUCGGAUAUCACGAGAUACUUGUUGUAAACCGACUCAGAUUGAUUUCCUUAUAACAAUCGACUAGGAUUAGAUCCUAUCUGACUUGUAACCCUAGGUCGUCAGCCUAUAUAAGGCGGCUAGGGGCACCCCACCCCACAAGGGCACUUUAACUCUUCGUACCUACGAUCAUCAAUACAAUUCACCAGAACACAGGACGUAGGGAGUUACUCUCCGGAGACCCAAACCUGUCUAAACCUUGCAUCGCUGUGUUACCAUUCGAGUUCUGGGUCUUAGAAUCUCCCCCGCCUGCAAAUCUACCACUUGGGUAACCCCCUAGUGGACUACCAGUCACUAAAUCUGACAACGAGUGAUUGAGAGAAAAGGCAGGGAGGCGACGGGAGAUGAUAGAGAUCAUGCGGUCUCCGCUAGCAUACGAAUCUCAAGCACUGGAAGAUCAUUCCAAUGUUUUCUUUCGUAAGAUAGAUAGGAUCUCCAAGAAAAAUAAUCGUAGACUGGUUGGACCCUUGGGCUCCUCAUGGUACUGUUGCUGGUGGGAAAGGAAAAAGUCCUUUCGACAUCCCUCAACUAUCAAUGUAAUCCGAUUUUAGUCCUCCAACAGCAAAACCAAAUGUUUUAUACCCUCAACUAUCCAAUACCGUGCAAAUCACGUCCCCGCUAGUUUUUCACUGGUUUUGACGCUGAAUUUGCAUGACGUGGCAUGGGCCCAUAUAUCAGGCAACUAUCGAGGAGUGAAGCUUAACUUCUUGAGCUGAUAGUUCAUUGGACCGGUCAGUCGAGCCACCAGUGCCUAGGACCGCACACCGGUCUCAUUAUGACAGUGACGACCCUAGUUGUGGCGGGCAUGACCAAGAUGGAAUGCUUCUUGACCACCGCCUGCACGCUGCUCAACCUCUAGGUAGGUAGCUUUUACUACCACCGCCAUGGCUCCUAGCACGAUGAUGACGACUUCAUGUCGCUGUAGUUCAUCGAAGGGCGUACUGCGUCAAGACGGAGUGGUCGACGGUGGUGCCGCUAGGUUGGAUCUCAUUGCACUCCAGCGCCGGCGAAGAAGCGAACAAUCCUGAAGGGAGUGACGAGCAAGCUCCAUCCCACCGGAUCCCGGGGAGCAAGAUCUCCGUGACCCCACCGUCGCCGCGAGAAGCUCCAACCUUACUGCAGCAAGGAGCUUGGGAGCCACCACCGCCGCCCUGAGCUUGGGCCUCGCCCCGUCCGUGAGGAGCUCCAGCCUUGCCGGCCCCAAGGAGCUCGAGAGCCGUUGCCAUCGCCACCGCCGAGAUGAGGGAGAGAUGGGAGAUGAACGAUUGAUAUGUGGGUCCACCACCACAUGUCACUGACAUGUGAGCCCCAGUUGCCACGUCAUGUAAAACAACCACCAAAAACAGCAAGGGAUGCGAUUGGCACAGUAUUGAAAAGUUUGGAGUGUAAGAUAUCUGGUUUUGUAGAUGGAGGAAUAAAAUUGAACGACGCCGAUAGUUGAGGGACGUUGAAACGACUUUUUCCGGUGGGAAAAGAACCGUGAAGGCUCAAAUCGGCUAGCCCGUGGUGGACGCUCUGUAGCGUGCUAGCAGCUAUGCAUAUGGGCCAAGAUAGGCUCAGGCGCGCACGGAAUAAUCAAGUUUGGGCUGAAUUCGCGCCACUAGCCCACGCGAAUUCGCUGCAGCAGGACCUCCAGAAACCCCCCGCCCUCCGCGUGUCCACCGCACUGCGCCUGCGCCCACGGGGAACCGCCCACCAGUCAGUCUAUCCACUGCGCCCCUGCUCCCACUCCCCCACCUUCUCCGAGAUGCCGCCCCUCCCCUCCACCGCCGCGGCGGCGGCGGAGCUGCCUCGCCUCCGCCUCCGCCUCCGCAUCCCGCUGCUACCUCUCCCUCUACCGCCUCUCGCGCCCCGCCACCACUGCCCCCACCCCCUCGUGCCCCUCCGCCGCCACCACCACCCUUCCCCGCACCCGCGCCUCCUCCCGCUGGCGGCCGCGCUCCCUCCCCCACCCCCCGAGGAGCUGCUCCCCUCGCAGGCCACGGGGCUCGUCGCGGCGUCGCAGGCCAACUUCAUGCGCGUCAUCGUGGACGCCGCGGCCCCGGGGCUGGAGCACCACCGCGGCUCCGACCUGCUCUGCGUCGUCCGCGCCCUGCUUAAGAAGAUUCGCCGCCGCGUCCUCGUCGGGGACCGCGUCCUCGUUGGCGCCGUCGACUGGACCGACCGCCGCGGGAUGAUCGAGGACGUCUUCGAGCGGAGGUCCGAGGUCGCCGACCCGCCCGUCGCUAACGUCGACCGCCUCGUCGUGCUCUUCUCCCUCGACCAGCCACGCCCCGAGCCCGCCACACUCACCAGGUUCCUCGUCGAGGCCGAGUCCACGGGGAUUCCAUUCGUGCUCGUCUUCAACAAGGUCGAGCUCGUCGACGAACAGGUACCAUUUCAACCGGUGCCCCGUGUGGCUAUUCACUCGGAUAGUUGCUCAACUGAGUGGCGAAUCUAGGAUUUUAGGUCAAGGUAUGCAUCCAAAAAAAUGAUACACAAUUCGGUAAAUCCAUUUACCAAUUCGGUAAUAAGGUUUAAAUUCAUGGAUAAAGUAGAAACCAUAUCCAUUAAAUACAAUAUAAAUAGUUUCAAAGCCAAACUGAUAAUUGAAAUAUAUGCAUAGAGUACCAGAGACUUACAACGUUACUAUAAUGACGUUUUUAUUCGACGCUUCCGAAGGGACAUAAAUGUCUCAAUUAUAUCAUCUUCAUCAACUUCAAAGAAAAUAUCUCGCUCAAUAAAAGUGACUAGACAAUCAUCCAAAAGACUAUCUCCCAUCUUAUUUCGUAACUUUGUUUUCACUAAAACCAUUGCAGAAAACACCCUUUCAACACUUGCUGUUGCCACAGGUAGAAGCAAUACCAAUUUAAGAAGCUCAUAGACCAUAUCAUACACUUUAUGCCUCUUUGUUUGGACAAGCUUAAAUGAGAGGUCAACAAUAUUGUCUAGACCUUUGAAUCUAUCAUCCUUCCUGAUGUCAUCAAUAUAAUUAUCUAGCUGCAAUUCAAGUCUGAGCAAAUUAUUAUUUGAGAAGUCCUUUGGGUAGAACUUAGCUAGUCUGCGUAGCUUCUGUGCAUCAAAAGACUCAAAUGAAUUAGAAGGAUUGAAGGCUGCCAUACAAGACAUCAACUCCAUGUUAAUCUCAUCAAACCGAUUAUCAAGUUCUUGACUUAUUUGAUCAAUGACGCCAAUAUAUACUUCUCUUCUAAAGUGGUCAUCAUUGGUUUGCUUUCGAGCACGAGAUUUCCUUGCUGAUUUUCCAUAAGGAACAUAAUCACCAUCCAUAGCAGGAACAUCAACACCAUGUUUAUCACAAAAUGAGGUGACCCUCUCAAGAAAAUUAUCCCAGCCAUUUGACCUCAAUUCUUGCAUUCUUUUCUUUGCCACAUUAACAAGUGAUACUGCAUUAAGAAUGUCUUGCUCCCUUCUUUGCAAACACUCAGAUAACUCAUUUGUGUAUCCAAGAAUAAUAUACAUUAAGUGUGCAAAGAAAACAAACUCAAAGGUCUCAAAUGCUCCCGUCACAAAAUGUAUUUUGGUCCAAUCAUCCUUAUAUGUCGAAUCAUCCCCAAGAUCAACCAGUACAUCGUGGAUUGAUUCAUACAUAGUAAUGAUGCUGCAUAUGGUUUUGUAAUGAGAUCCCCAUCGAGUAUCUCCAGGUCUAGGCAAACCCAUCUCUUGAUGUAAUCCAGUUCCAGAUUCAAUUUCACCACAGUCAAGUGCUUUCUUGACAUUCUCAAGCCUUGCAUUUCUAAGCAUGUCAUGGCGCUUACAAGAAACUCCAACAAUAUUCAACAAGAUAGAUACUUGAUAAAAAAAGAAGCUACAAUCAGUAUUUCCUUUAGCAACAGCAACAAGAACCAAUUGGAGUUGAUGAGCAAAACAAUAAAUAUAAUAAGCAGAAGGUGAUUCUUGCAUGAUCAAUGUUUUCAACCCUUUAAUAUCUCCUUUCAUGUUGCUAGCCCCAUCAUAUCCUUGACCACGGAUUUGAGUCAAACUCAAGCCAUGACUUAAAAGUAAAGCUUCAAUUGCAUUCUUCAGUGAUAAAGAGGUAGUAUCAUCUACAUGAACAACUCCAAUAAAAUGCUCACAUGGCCUUCCCAAUUUAUCAACAUAACGCAAGCAAAGAGCUAGUUGUUCUUUAUGUGAUAUAUCACUAGACUCAUCAGCUAAAAUUGCAUAAGGCUCAUCACCAAGUUCUUCAAUUAUUUUCUUUCUAGUUUCUAGGGCACAACAGUGAAUAAUUUGCUUUUGUAUGUCUGGGCUAGUUAAGGUACAGUUACCUGGAGCAUUCUCCAAAACAUACUUAUUCACUUCUUCACUAUUUCCGGCAAGAAAUUUCAAAAGUUCAAUGAAGUUCCCUCUGUUGCUAGAUUCUUUACUUUCAUCAUGUCCACGAAACGCCAACCCUUGAUGCAAAAGAAACUUGAUACACCUAAGUGAAUAAGUCAACCUUUUCUUAUAAAGUCGAAGAUCCUCAUCACUCCACUUCUGAAUAUUAUAAUCAAUUGCUACCUUGGGAUUUGUAAAGCCAAUAUAUCUCUCUUGAGCUGCGAUAUGUGACUUGGAACCCAAAUGUUUGAGAAGUGCCUUCUCUCCUAUAUACCAAUUAUUCCAGCCAUCAACAGUAAAUGCCUCUGACCCUGUGCCCUUCUUGAACAAGUAGCAUAUAAAGCAAAAUACAGCAUCCUUUUUAAUACUAUAUUCAAUCCAUUCAUGAUUGUACAUCCAACAAUAAUUGAAUUGACGAUUUAUUCCUGAAAUCUUUGUUUUCGAAAAAUCAUGUGCAAAAGGCUUGAAUGGACCUUUAGUAAUAUAUGCUCUUCGAAUUGCAUCUUGAUCAUUAGUAGGAUAACUAAGAAUGGGACGUCUUUCACCUGGAUCUUGUGGAAGGCGAUUGAUGUCAUAAACUGGUGGCACAGAAGACGGCUGCGGUGGUGGCGGUGGUGGUGGCGCUAGGAUAUGAGUUUCAAUUUCCUCAACUACUCUCUCACGAGUUUGCUCUUCCACCACAGGUACAACCGGAUCAGAAGAACGAUUAGAAGUAGUAGCAGCUGUUGCUGCCUUCCUCUUUGCUUCAUGCUUCUGAAAAAGAGAUGCAAUGUUCCCGUCUCUCUUCAUAACUGUUUAAAUAUUACAAAGAACACAACACCAAACAAUUAAAUAAAUUGUGCUUGUACACGAUUGAACUGACACAAGUGAUUAUGGAUCACUCACAUGAUACGACUAUACGAGUCCAGAACAAAAGAUCAAUCUAGAUCGACUUUUCUGUAGGGUAAAAUCCUCCACCUUGUUGCGUGCUAGAUGAAUCUAUAAUUUAGGGCUAAGCAAUUAGUAAUUAAAUCAUACACGAAUAAAGAUGUUUUUAUAAAAGCCAAAGAACGUAGAACAAAUAAUUCACCAGAUGCCAGUGUUUCUCGAGAUCUUGAACGAUUAUUGGCCUGCGCCCUGCUGCUGGAUGCCUGGACUGGCCGCUGGCUCGCUGCUGCCUGCUUCCGGCUGGCAAUCGACUAAGUAGUAUUGCCGUCGUGUGAUGGCGUCUCCGUCUCGUCUCUCCGUCUCAGCAGUCGGCGGUCUGCAGAUUCCGGGUAGGGCACGCUGUACGCCGCCCCGCAAGCCGCACAAGAGACAAAGCCGAACUGCCGUGUGCUGGAGACCUGGAGUCCGUUGCGUGAGGAGGUCGCAAUCCGUGUGGGCCGCGUGGGCCUGACGGUGGAAUCGCAAGUCUGCACGAGUCGGCCUCCUCUGCUGUCCUGCAACCUGCUCUCUCGCUUCCAUUUUCUUUUUUCUUUAUAUAAAAUAUGUAUGUAUAGUAAUUACCUUGGUGGAAAAACAAGGUAUGCUGCAGCAUAUGCAGCAUACCCUGUAGCUCCGCCCCUGCAACUGACUGUGGAUCAGAUUGGCUGGACCGUAGCAUAGCACAUUGCAUUGGAGAUACGAAUUGUGGGCUGUGAAUAAGGAUUUCCCUAGUUCAUUUGACAAUUUGCUGUGAUGUGCUCGGUCAAGUGGGAACAGGGGAGAAUGGUUUUGUAAAAAAAAAAAGGAUGCCGAACAAAUUUCAACCCCGAUAAUAGGGGUCAGCAUUCCUGCUUUAAGGUGUUAUUGGUGGCUCCUUUGUCAAUCAAAUAGUCAAUAAUGCCACUAAUGUGCUCAUAUUAGACCUCCAUAAAACUCAUUAAGUUGAUCCACCCUGUACACUGUAAAUAUGUUUGGGGACAUUCUCCUUUAGAUACAGAAAAGGUCACCUGUAUAUGCAGUAAUGCUAAAUGCUGACAGUAUUCUCCAGCUUCAAUCUGUCAUGGGUAAAGACUUACAAAUCCAAGCACAUUACCUUUUAUUGAACAAUCAACUAUCAGAGACUUGGUACACAAUACGUACCUGAAGAUAUAUCUAUCGUUUAGAAACCCCAUCAUCGAGGUUGGUGUCCUGUAUUUGGAGCUAACCUGGAGCUAGUAAAGCAAGCAAGGGCCAUUCUACUUAUGCAUUCAUGAUUUUGUUUUCCUUGUCCAUUAUUCUGAUCUGAACAAAUAGCAUGUCUGCAUGUGCAGUUGCUCGACUUUCAGUGUUCUUCAAUUGUAAAUGUGUAAUAAGAUAUGUAGAUUAUUGCAUUCAUUGCAUGCACUCUUUAUGUGUUCUGUUUUCUAUAUUAUAUGGUUGAUUGGUAUUCUUUUGCUUUUUGCUGCAGACAAUAGCUUACUGGAGAGAUAGGUUAAAGAGUUGGGGUUAUGAUCCACUCUUUCUAAGUGUUGAUAAGCAAUCUGGAUUUACUGCUCUUGAAGAGAUGUUGGAAGGACAAACAACUGUAGUUGUUGGUCCAAGUGGUGUUGGGAAGUCCAGUCUGAUCAAUGCUUUGAGGUGCAACCAGAACAUAUCAGAAGAAGAUCCAAUACAUAAACUCCUUGAGCAGGUGAUCUAGUCAUUUCAUCAUUUAUACUGUUAGAGUAUAUUAGGCAACUCUGGAUAUGGUUAGUUUAGGAUUGAUUGUAAUCCCGGGAUAACCUUCCUUAUCUCUAGGAGAGGCUACUUGCCCUCCAAGCCAUGUACUCCUAUAUAAUCAGCCCAUGGGGCUCAAGCAAUACAACCCACGCAUUAUACACAAUCGUACAUAUACCAUUUGCAUGAUUAAUUUUUUUAAUCAUUUUCUGAAACUUUGAUUUGUUUUGUGGAAAUUGGCCCUCUUUCAUCACAUAACUUCUUAGCAGUGGAUGGUGAACGGCUUAUUAGGUUAAUAUUGCAUUGAACUAGUACAUGUUAUGUGGAAUUGGAAUCAAGUACUAAUUCUUACUUGAGAAGACAGCAUUUGUGAUUGGCCUGUAUUUGCAAUUUACUUUGGUUUGAAGAACUGGUGGGACGAGACUUGCCAAAGAUGUGCAAUGUGGUCUGUUACUUGAUAUAGACAUGUUCUUUGUUUUUCGAAAGCACUUUGCAAUCUGAAUAUUGCUUGUGUUUCAUGUCUUCUCUUUUCAUUGUUACAAAGCUUCACAACAUAGUGCUAGUAAAAUAUAGAAUCUGUGUUGUUGAGGGUACUGAUUUCUUUUUCUUGUGUGCAUCAUUCUCCAGAAUAGUAAAUGGUUUGGUGAACAACGUGUUGGAACUGUGUCCAAGAAAAGCGGUAAAGGAAAACACACAACACGCCAUGUCUCAUUGCUCCCUAUACCUGGUCAAGGCUUCCUUGCUGAUACACCUGGAUUUAACCAGCCUAGCCUGAUGAAAGUGACCAAAAAGAGCCUUGCGGAAACAUUUCCUGAGGUUUGUUUUGCACUGUUCUUAAUUUUGUUCUGUUUAAUAAAUUCUCAAUUGCAGCGUCUGCGUACUCACAAGUCACAGCAUGGUGUUGUGAAGGCUAUAUUUCUGUUUGUUAUGUCGUUUUCUUACUAGUAAUAUUCAUUGGGUAAUCCAGAUAAGAAAGAUGCUGAAAGAGAAUGAGCCCUCGAAAUGCUUAUUUAAUGAUUGUGUUCACCUUGGUGAGCGUGGAUGUGUUGUGAAAGGUGACUGGGAAAGGUAUCCAUACUAUCUCCAGAUGCUUGAUGAGAUCAAAAUUAGAGAAGAAAUCCAGCUACGGACAUUUGGAACAAAAAGAGAAGGUGAUGUCAGGUAUGCUACAAAGAUGUCACUGUGAGCAUUAUCUUGUAUGGUAGAGCCCUCUCCUGUAGUUGCAUAGUUGUUAACUUUGUACCUGUGGAAAGUCAGUUUCCUAGAAAGUUUACUCCCAUAAGCAAAUAUGCUGGCAACUUUGUAGGAGAUGUUGCUUUCUUUUACUUUUCAAACUGGUGAACACUAAGACUGAAUUAUGGUAAAUAAACAACCAUCUCUGAUACAAUAAAACCUAGUGUUAGUAGGUAUCUGUUGGUUCUUUCUGUAACUGACAAUAUAGUGUAUCCAUCUUGAAUCAGGUACAAAACAGGUGUCAUGGGAGUGAAGCAAGCAGAGCCUCGUCUUGAACUCAAGAAGCACAGGAGGGUGUCUAGAAAGAAGAUUAACCAAUCAAUUCUUGAUGAAAUUGAGGAUGACAUUGAUGACCGCGAUGAUGACUACCAGUUUGAUGACGUCAAGCAGCGUUCUAGGAAACGAUAAUCGUCUUUCAUCUGAUGAUCUAAUGACUACACAAGUCUAAUCAUUGGCAUGAAGGAAUCUAUGGGUGCUGUCAUAGUUUGUUUGCGGUGCUGUACUGUGCCCUUGAGUGGUUGAGCUGAUCACUGUAAAUAGAUGCACACUAGCAGUCUAGUGGGGAAACCGUAGACAUUUGCACCUGACCCUUAAUGUUGAGUGCUUUGUUUCCUGGCCCGUGGCAGAACAGUAAGACCAAAGUUUAGUUAACUUAUCUCCCACGAAUUGGUUUCAUGCACUGCCAUGUUGCUGGCGAGGUCAGUGGCAUAGCCUUUAACCUAAUUGUGAUAUGUGCUGUGCGCGUGUGGUUUACUCCAUUAAAAUGGCACACAGUGAUUGUACAUGGAAAGAAUAUAUUUGAUUGUAAGUUUGGAUGAAUGGAUGGUACCGAUGUGUGCAUGAACAAAUCGGAAACAAAAUGUCAACACAUAGAUGUUUUACUGUGUAAAGUUGAAACUCAUUGAUAGAAAAAUUCAAAAACAUAUUCUUGAAGUUGUUAUGAAGUCUAUUCGUGCAUGCCAUUUAUCUCGCCCAGGCAGAGGCCACUGGGAUCCCCUUCGUGCUCUUCUUCGACAAGAUCGAGCUUGUCGACAAACAGGUACGUAUAUUCUUUUCAUUCCAGUUCGAUUGCCUAGAUUGUACAUUCUAGUGUAGCACAUUAUCCAUUUCACUAGGAUAUGAAUUGGUCUGUGGAUAAGGUUCUUUAAAGCUCAAUCGACGAUUCAAUGUCAUGUGCUUAGUGAAGGGGGGAAGGGUGCACAAAUGGUUUUGUGAAAAAUUGAAGGUUAUGAACGAAUUUCGAAUUCCGUAAUGGUAUCAGGAAAAAACAGUUUAACUUGCAGGGCUAACCUAUCCUCCACAGCAGUGUUUCUAUCAGUAUCAAGUACCAGCAUUGAGCAUCCCUUUUCAAGAACUAAUUCUUUUAAGGGAGCGAUCUCUCUCAACUAAGAAGGAUUCCAACCUGAAGCUGUCACUUGAGGCCCUGUUGUCAAUUAAGUGGUCGAUAACACCACUAAUGGUGCAUGAAUUGGGAACAGUUCCCCUACUGCAGAUAACUAAAUUAUUUGUCCUACAGUAUAAUGUGUGAAUACCCUUGGGACCAUUCCCUUUGGAUACACAAAAGAGCAUCUGCCUUCUACUUGUAUAGUCGUUGUGAUAAGUUCUAGGCAUUAGCUUCAGUUCUGUCAUGGGUAAAACAUACAAAUACAAGCACGUGUACUCUCAGAAAAAACUGAUGCAUAAUACUACACAAAUGUUUCAGAAAAUCAUCAUCAAGGAUGAUGGCAUGCAUUUCGAGCUUUCAAGAGGCUGCUAAAGCAAAAUGAUGGUCAUCCAUCCAUCCUUUAUUUUCUGCAUAUUUUUUAAUGUUAAUUUGUACAAUCUUUUGUAUCAUAUUUACAUUUUCCUCAUUCUUUAUUUAUAUGGUUUGGUGAUAGCUUUUGCGCCUUGUCCUACAGACCAUGAAAAACUGGAGAGAUGUUUGAAGAGUUGGGGGUUAUGAUCCACUCUUUUUAAGUGUUGAUCAGCAAUCUGGAUUCGCUGCUCUUGAAGAGAUAUUAGAAGGACAAACAACCGUAGUUGUUGGUCCAACUGGCGUUGGGAAGCCCAGUCUAAUCAAUGCGUUGAGACACAGCCAGAACAUUUCAGAAGAUCCAAUACAUAAGCUUCUUGUGCAGGUGAUCUAAUCAAUAUAUAAUUUGUGCCUCUCUUCAUGAUUCCAUUUUUGUACCAUUUUUCUGGAGUUUUAAUUAGCAUCCAGAUCUGUACCCAACGUUUCUCAGUUUUGUGGUCUGUUGGCGUUCCUAUAAAAUUGUCCCACUUUCGUUUUAUUGUCGAUGCUUGAUAUAUGAAUUUUUUGGUUGAUAGUAUAUUACAUUAGUCUCUCAUGUGGGACUGAGGAAUAUUUCUGAUUUACAAGAUACAAAAGCCUAAAAUUCAGGAUUUGUACUGUAGUUGCAAUUUGGUUUGGCUUGAAGAAGUGGUGGAUAAUGCUGUCAAAGAAAGUGAAUCGUUAAGAAUCAAUACUUAGGUGUGACCAAGUUUUGUACAGGAUCAGGGAGGAUAUAGAGUUGAGAGUGGGAGCACAACAGUAGAGACCUCCUUUGUUUCUUGGUGUCUUCUGUCAAGGUGUUCUAGCCAGCUACUUAGCAGUUGUUUUCUUAGUUAUGUGGUUUUAUUAGCUUUCCUAUAGAAUUUUCCCUUUUCCAUUUUGACCCUGUGGUAUAUGGAUUUUUUUUUAAUAGUAUGUUGAACUAGUGUUUCAUGUGGAACUGAGGACUAAUUCUAUUUUCAAGAUACAAAAGUUAGCCUUUGGGAUCUGUACUGUAGCCUUCUGAAUUUAAGCAUAAGUACUUAGGGUGUGCCUGAACUUUCCACGGGAUCAGGGAGGAGAUAGAAUUAAGAGUGAGAGUGGUACUGUAGUGGUCUCCUUUCUUUCUUGGUGUUCUGUGUGAAGGUAUUUAGUAGAAGUUGCUCUGGACAGCUACAUAUCAGUUGUCUUUGAGUUUUGUUUAGUUGUCUUGCUUUUGUGCUUAAUCCAGUGCACUGGCUGGUAAUCAACACGCUGAAACACUCUUUUCUUAAUGUGAUUUGCAGAGCUCCUGCCUCUUUCAAAAGCAAAAAAGGGCAGUCUGGUACGCACGUGUCUGUCACUUCUUUCAAAGCACGUCACGUAUUAUGUACUUUUUGUGCUUGAUCUCGUCGACAACUCUUGUCACUGUCAUGAGGUUUCACAAGUUUGUUGCAGUAAAUUCCAAAUUGCUAAUAUCUGUAUUGAUGAUGGUAUUGAAGUCUUUGUUCGUGCACAUCACUUUCCAGAUUAGUAAAUGGUUUGGUGAGCAACGCGUUGGAACCGUGUCAAAGAAAAGCGGCAAAGGAAAGCACACGACAUGCCACAUCUCGUUGCUUCCUACAGCUGGUGGAGGUUUCUGUUAAAGCCCAUAUACUAUAGGCCCAUGGCCCACAUAUUCUCUAUAUAUAUGUCUCCACUAUUAGCAUCUCAAUAAUCCUGAAUUCCAAGCAAUCAAAGUUCAUUACAGCAAAGGAAGGGAAGGAACGUGGUCUUAUUGAUGCCCUUUGCUCGGGUGAUGAAUUGAUAAAGAUGUCACACCAUUGAGCUCUGGAGAUUGCUAGUUGUCGUAGAACUUGUAGAAGUUGAGUGUGGUCAGGAUCAGGAAGGCAAUGCCAGGGAAGAAGCAGGCCACCCGCCACGAAACAGUUUCCUUGCUGAUACUUCUGGAUUUAACCAGCCCACCCUGCUGAAAGUGACCAAACAGAGCCUUGCAGAAACAUUUCGAAAGGUUUGUCAGGCACCGUUUUUAAUUAUGUUUGUUUAGUUACUACCCCUUACUUUUCCUUUUAUACAAGGGUGUAUUAGGGUUUGAAAAAGGUCAAGCUUUGUAAGUGAGCAAAAUUUUUAUCAAUAGGAAGAUUCAUGUUUCACAAAUCUUUUAAUAUGAAUAUUGAUUUAGUAGCAAUUGAUGGUAUAUCGUCAGAGAAAUUAAUGCUAAAAGCAUACUUUUGAAGACCGUGGCUGCAUUUCAGUUUGUUACUUUGUUAUGCCUUUUGCUUGCUUGUAAUGUUCAUUUGGUACUCCAGAUACGAAAGAUGAUCAAGGAAAAUAACCCUCCAAGUGCCUAUUUAAUGACUGUUCAUCUUGAUGAGCAUGGAUAUGUGGUGAAAGGUGACUCUGAAAGGUACCAUACUAUCUGCAGAUGCUUGAUCAGAUCAAGAUCAGAGAAUCAAUUCAGCUACGAACAUUUGGAACAAAAAGAAGUGAUGUCAGGUAUGCUAUCAAGAUGCCGCUUACAAGCAACAUAUUAUAUUCUAGACAUCUAGAGACUAGAUGUAGAGUUGAAGAUUUCUCUCUUGUAGUUUCAUAGUGAAAAUUACAUAUUUACAUUUUGAAAGUUUACUUCCCAUAAGGAAAUGUCAGAUGUUUUUGUAAGUGAGAAAGCUUUUCUUAACUUAAUAAAGCAUUGUGCGCUGUUACUGUACAUGAUUUUGUUAAACAAACAAUUAGUCCUUGUACAGCCUAUCAAACAAAUGAUAUUUUUAAUAAGCACAGGUUGGAAGGUUCUUUCUGGGUUGACACAGUGAACUGAGGAAGGCAAGAAAAUGGUCUGCCAAGUCUUUCAUGUUCUUUGUUUGAGCUAUUAUUUAAUUUGCUCGGGCUCAAUGCGUUUACAAUAUGAUACUAUCCUCAGGUGAUGCCCGUGGCAAUGAUGGCCACUUUCUGGUUAUACUGUACUACCUCCUUUUCUUUUUGUAAGGCGUGAAGGCAACCCAAGAUUCAAAUCUUCUAAUGUACUCCCCCGUUCCAAAUUAUAGAUCGUUUUGGCUUUUCCAGAUACAUAGUUUUUGCUAUGUAUCUAGACAUAGCGUAUAUUUAGGUGCAUGGCAAAAGCUAUGUAGCUUGAAAAACCAAAACAACCUAGAUUUUGGGACAGAUGGAGUAUUAAUUUGUAGAUUACAAGUUAGGAAUCAUUGGAUUCAUAUUUGAAGACACUUUCAUAUGAUGUCAAUUUCAUGGUCCUAAGCAUUAUAAUUUAUAAGAUUAUGAUGAAUGUGUCAUUGGAUACUAUACCGGGUCAGACCGUGCCUUACAUUUUGAAAAGGAGGGAACACUACUGUAGAGUUUUGCUCUGGUCAACUUUGUCUUUGAGUUUUGUUUAGUUGUCUUGCUUUUGUGCUUAAUCCAGGGCACUGGCUGGUAAUGAACAUGUUGAAACACUCUUUCCUUCUAAUGUGAUUUGCAGAGCUCCCGCUUCUUUCAAAAGCGAAAAAAGGGCAGUCUGGUCUAUUAGGUCCUGAUAUGCACGUGUUUGUUGCUUCUUUCAAAGCACGUCACUAUUAUGUACUUUUUGUGCUUGAACUCGUCGAAAACUCUUGUCACUGUCAUGAGGUUUCACAAGUUUGUUGCAGUAAAUUCCAAAUUGCUAAUAUCUGUAUCAAUGACGAUACAGAAGUCUUUGGUCAUGCGCAUCGCUUUCCAGAAUUGUAAAUGGUUUGGUGAGCAAUGCAUUGGACCUGUGUCCAAGGAAAGCGGCAAAGGAAAGCACACGCCACGCCGCGUCUCACUGCUUCCAUCACAAAGUUUCACAAGUUUUUGCAGUAAAUUCCAAAUUGCUAAUUUCUGUAUCGAUGACAACACUGAAGUCUUUGGUUGUGCACAUCGCUUUCCAGAAUAGUAAAUGGUUUGGUGAGCAACGCUUUGGAACUAUGUCCAAGGAAUGUGGCAAAGGAAAGCACACGACAUGCCAUGUCUCGCUGCUUCCUACAACUGGUGGAGGCUUCCUUGCUGAUACACCUGGAUUUAACCAACCUAGCCUGCUGAAAGUGACCAAACAGAUACUCUCCUUGCAGAAACAUUUCCAGAGGUUUGUCAGGCACUGUUUUUAAUUGUGUUCUGUUUAGUAACUACUCCCUACUUAUCCUUUUACAGGGUGUAUUAGGGUUUGAAAAAGGUCAACCUUUUUACAAGAGAAUUUUGUAUUAAUAGAUAGAUUCAUGUUUCACAAACCUUUUAGCAUGAAUAUUGAUUUAGUAGCAAUUGAUGGUAUAUUGUCGCAGAAAUUAAUGGUAAAAGCAUACUUUUGAAGACCGUUUCAAAUCCUAAUAUGCCCAUGAAAAUAAAAGGAGAGUGGGCUCAUUUGUAACAUCUGACCGUGUACAACAUUGCUUUUAAAGCAGCAUUUCUGUUUGUUAUGCCUUUUUCUUACUUGUAAUGUUCAUUUGGUACUCCAGUGAAGAAAGAUGCUCGAGGAAAAUGAGCCCUCCAAGUACCUAUUUAAUGACUGUUCACCUUGGUGAGUAUGGAUGUGUGGUGAAAGGUGACUCUGAAAGGUACCAUACUAUCUGCAGAUGCUUGAUCAGAUCAAGAUCAGAGAAUCAUUCCAGCUACGAACAUUUGGAACAAAAGGAGGUGAUAGGUAUGCUAUCAUGAUGCUGCUUACAAGCACUAUACUGUAUUCUAGACAUCUAAAGACUAGAUGAGGAGUUGAGGAUUUUUGGAAAUUACAUAUUUACGUUUUCGAAAGUUUACUUCCCUUAAGGAAAUGUCAGUUGUUUUGGUAAGUGACAAAGCUUUUCUUAACUUAAUAAAGCAUUGUGCACUGUGUCCUAAAAAAUGUGCACUGUUACUGUACUUGACAAUUUGUCCUUGUACAGCCUAUCAAACAAAUGAUAUUUUUAAUAAGGACAGGUUGGUAGGUUCUUUCUGGGGUUGACAGUGACUGAGGAAAGCAAGAAAAUGGUCUGCUGAGUCUUUCGUGUUCUCUAUUUGAGCUAGUAUUUAAUUUGCUCAGGCUCAAUGGGUUUACAAUAUGAUACUAUCCUCAGGUGAUGCCCGUGGCAAUAAUGGCCACUAGCUGAGUUAUACGGUACUCCCUCCUUUUCUUCUGUUAAGGCACACAAGCAACCAAAGAUUCAAAUCUUCUAAUAUACUUCCUCCAUUCCAAAUUAUAGAUCAUUUUGGCUUUUCUAGAUAUAUAGUUUUUACUAUGUAUUUAGACAUAGUGUAUAUUUAGGUGCAUGGCAAAAGCUAUGUACCUUGAAAAAGCCAACGACCUAUAAUUUGGGAUGGAUGGAGUAUUAAUUUGUAGAUUACAAGUUAGGAUUCAUAUUUGAAAACACUUUCAUAUGAUGCCAAUUUCAUGGUCUUGAGCAUUAUAGUUUAUAAGAUUACGAUGAAAGUGUGUUGUUGGAGACAACACCGGGUCAGACCCGUCUUACAUUUUGAAAAGGAGGGAACACUACUGUAGGGUUUUGCUUUUUGAUGAUUCUGUUGAUAAAUACUUUUGUAAAGAGUAAAGUUAUUUUCCCAAUACACUAUCUGAUUAACCGCUUGUCAUGUACUCAUGUGGUCAUUUAUUUACUUAAAUUGAAUAUAUAUAACAUUCUAUUCGUAUCUUUCUUUUAGCCUUAACUACGUAACUAGUAGUGACAUAAGAUUAUUGUACUAAACGAUGAAAUAUUUUCUUAAAUUGCAUAUGAUAUUUGUUAAUAUCUUUUAUUGAGAAUAUUUUCAUACAAGUUUAGUGCUUGUGCCAAGAUGGAUGCUAAAUUUUAAGUUCCUAACAUCAAAACACAUACGUCUUGAUUCAGGUACAAAACAGGUAUUAUGGGCGUGAGCAAGCGGAGCACAGGAUGGUGUCUAGAAAGAAGAUUGUGUCUAGAAAGAAAUUAGCCAAUCGAUUCUCGAUGAGAUUGAAGAUGACAUUGAUGACCUUGAUGAUGACUACUGGUUCGAUGUCAAGCAACGUUCUAGGAAAUGAUAACUGGUUCUCAUCUGAUGACCUGAUGACUACUCGAAGGAACAUAUGGGUGCUGUACAUUUUUGGUUUUGUGGUGCUACCGGCCCUUGUGCAGUUCAGCUUAAAUUGAAGUGCAUUGGCAGGGGACCUGAUAGUAGACGGGUGCUCCUGAUGUUGGUGAUGAACAUGCUUGUUGAUUUCAUCGCGGCAAGACAGUGGGAAGGAAUGUUACGAAGGCUCAUGGUUUCGUGCCUCCAGCAGCAGCACCGUUUCAUCAGUCUGUCCAAUUGUUUGAGGGAUUUGUGCCUGCGUCAGGAACACCCGCUGACAGGCAUUAGCCGUGCAAAUAUGAUUGAUUCACCUGAAGAGUCGCAUUACUUCCGUUAGUAGAGCCUAGAGGUUGGCUGUGAGGAUAUUAAGGAACCAGUAAAGUAAUACUUGCCUGACCAAGGAGCUGAGUGUGACAGUUGUGAGUUGUGCAAUGUGCAGCUCCGGUGAUUCCAGGCCACCUCUCCUAUUUCUAAGAAACUGAACUGAUUGGUGAAAGUUAGCAUUUACAAACAAAAGGUUAACUCAUGUAACUGUGCGCAGAGUCUACGGUCCGCAAGGAAAUUCUGGAGCAGGUAAAGAAGAGGAAGGCUUCCACGGCUCCUUUAAUUUGUUUAUUUUUUUAAUAUAAUCGUUGUUGGAGGUGAAGUUGCUCAAAUAUAAUGUCGGGUUCCGUUUGGAACCUAGAUGGAAUCCAACAGGUUCUAUGAAGAUUCGUUUGUGUACACACACAAUGACACAAACGAACGAGAAAAAGGCUUGUGACGGCUUGAAUCGAGCGUGCCACGGUGCCAGGUUCAUUCCCCUUAUCUACUGGCCUGCUCGAGUCAGGACCUGCCCGAGUCCAGCACUCAGGAGUUCAGGUAUGGUAAAUAAAAUAGUCAGUAACAUCCGGUGAUUUAGAUAGCUUUUCUUGUCGCGUGCCGUGGUAACCGGACGCCGAACAGACGAGAUAGCAGCCGUCACCUCGCCAAGGCUCUAUCUGUUGCCCCUGCCGUUGCCGCUACCAGCUUGCCACUGCUUGGCCUUGGCUACCUGCCACCGGAAGGAGAAGAAAAGAAUUGCACGCGCAGGGCCAGGUGGCGCCUCCCCUGGCCGGCCGCGUGUCGCGCAGGGUCAACCCCCCCGGCGGCCGGCGGACGCCGCGGACGCGCCUGCGGCAUGCCCGUGCGAGGCCCGUGCCCUGGGUGUAGCGGCACGAGCCCAUCGCUUUCAGGGGGCGCACACUUAAACAAAGCCCCCUGACGACCGGCCACUGCAUCCGGCCCUGUUUCCGGCUGGAUGAUGGAUCCGGCCAACCCGGUGAUGCCAUGCCAUCCAGCGCUCCUCUCCUUUCCUUUUCUUAUUGAUUGCAAUAGUAUAAUUCCUGAUCUAUGUAUUGUUCCCUGGCGAUUAAUUUGUUGGCACGGCGACAGCCCUAAUCUUGUGGCUCAAAGUUGGCCUUCCGGCGGUGUUCGCCAGCUGGCUCUCUUGAGCUUGGCGACAUGGAAAUUAAAGAGUAGUCAAUCAGGUGCGUGAGCUCACGCAUCUCUCUAAUCUUUAUGUCCUGUCGUUUCAGCUGUAAGCUUAAACUAGCACGGUCGCAGUGCGAUGUGCGCCGCACCGGGAACUGUUCCGGAAGCUUCUGGUCACAAGUUUGGUCUCUGCCUCCCCCCAUGUCACACACACGCACCUGACGUACACCCCCCGGCCCAUAUCGUUGUUUGAAGUGGUUGAGCUCUAGUUUUGGAACAUCUGGCCUUGAGUCAUUUAAGCAAGAAAGAACGAAAGAAAGAAAAUGUAAAGGAAGGGCCAGAGUAUGACAUGGUCGGAUGAUGGUGACUGGUACGGUACCCAUGCAUGCAUGCUCAUCCCUAUCUACGUGGCGGGCGGGCCUUGAAAGUUGAAAGGAUGCGGAAAGUGGAGCUCUUCACCGUUCCACAGCUGAAUCUUUUCAAUCCUCCUAACCUCGUCCUAGCCCUCCAGUCACAAGUAGUACAGCCAGUGUAAAUAGUAAAGCCAAUGUACAGGGGGGGUUUUUUUUGGAAAAACAAGUUGGAAUAAUACUCCUUUUAAUGAGGUUAUUAUUAUUGCAAAUGUUAGCGUCAAUAUAGUGGUUGAAAUGUAAUAUCCUGGAAAUUUUCAGGGUGCUCAUCGUCGUUGUUCUUUUGGGACUAUAUAUAACAUCAUGGUUAGGUUAAGUGUGAUCAGACGAUUCAUGCAUGCUAAUCGGUCGACUGUUAUGAGCCAUCACUUCCACCAUACAGAAGAUGAGCGUGAUCUAUCACAAUGCAACACGAAAUGCUAGUACCAAUACCGCAGUGUCGUAUAAAAUCAUCAGAAAACGCAGAGCCACAAGGAUGAACUGACUCAGCACUGCAAACUUUUUGUAGCCAAGGCUCUCUACUUUUAGUAUGAGAACAAUAAGCGCAGAGCCACAAGAUAUUGAAAACAGUGAGUCAGCAUUGCAAUGUUUAGUUUUAUAUACGAGACAAAACAUUGCAAGAUUUUAUAAGUGAGACCUAAUUAUAUGACCUUUGAAUAGUACAAGGACAAUGCGCAGCGCCACUAAAUGAUAAUGCCCCAUCGUUGCAAGAUUUCAUAAUCCAAGCUAGCCAGGUCUCACCUUUUAGAAUAUGAAUAACAAGGUGUCCCUUGAUAGGAACACCCUAACAAACACGGUUGUUAAGCAGAUUUCGCGUUUUGGUUGUGGUAGCAACCUAGAGAUGGAUGUAUAUAGUCCAGCAUAUGCACUACCACCUGAAGUUAUAUGUUAGCCUAUACUAAAUGUGGUUACCUCAUAUAGUGUCAUCCAAGACAAUUUAAAAAGGAGCAAAACUAUGAGAAAAUGUAUGAACCAACCAAAUUAAGUAAACCCAUGCAAUUAGUAGUUAGGAUUCAGUUCCCUCUCAAGAAAAUGAUUGUGCUAUUGGUCCAUAUUACUGAAUAAAAUAGUGGAGAGAGCAAUUCAACUUAUCUAUCAGUUCACAACCACUUAUAUAAAGGUCUUAGAAAGUACCUUCAAUCCACUACUAAGAAAUGAUUUUCGCAGUUACCCACCUGUUUUUUUCACUACUACUGAAUAAAAUUUACAGGCACCUGAGAAGUUGAUGGAGGCCCUCAUCUUGAGCCCCUUGUGGAAAUGCAAAAAUGGAACCUCAUUUGGAAAUGGUAAAAAAAUUGCUUUUUGUAUCUUCUUAAUUACAUUGAGUUGGGAAAUAAAUUUUAAAUUUUAUGGAGGGAUGUAUCAUGUCUACUCCCCAUAUCUAGUAAAAACUAUAAAAUGGUUGCAAACUUUUAGAACUAGUGAAAAUGAAAUGGUAAAAUUUUCUUAUUUGUACCUUUUUUAAUUAGGUUGAGUUUGUUAAUAAAAUUUUAUAUGGGGGAACAUAUCAUGUCUAGUCCCCAUCUCUAGAAAAAUAUGAUCUAAAAAUUGGUUGCCAACUGGAAGCUUUGUGCAUGUGAAAAGCGUAGAUUUCCAUAUACCUUAGUUCACAGGCAGAUGGCUGAACACUUGUGGAAAUGGGUUACCACCCGUCUGCAAAAAUGGAUUUUUUUAGUAGCGUUUGUUCUCUCCUAAGCAAGAACUGUUAUAUACAUCACUACAUGUAGUUAUGUACAUCAGACAAAUAAUCUAUCUCGUGGUUCUUGUUCCAAACAGCUCAUACCUGAGAUGCAUUAUAGGCCCUGUUUGGCACAAUAGCAGGGGGAGCACUUCUCAAAUAAGAUGUACUAAUAUGGGAAAAGUACUUCUUAAAUAAGAUACACUAAUAUGGGAAAAGCGCUUCUCAAAUAAGAUGCACUAAUAUGGGAAAAGCGUUUAUAUGAGAAGUGGGUCUAGUUCAGUUUCUACGUUUUAAUAUAAAUGGAAGCUGUGGGGAGAAGCGCAGCCAAGACAAGCUGAAAAAAAGCGUGUUGUUUGGCUACUAGUUUCAGCUUAUUUUGACCAUAAGCAGGAUUUAAGCUGUUUCAAAUAGGACCACAUAUAGUUAGCUAUUUAGAUUAUUAGGAUGAGCGGUAUGUUUUUCUUAGCAUGUAAGUCGCAUAACUGCCUAAGGAGACAAGGACGACUAUAUAUGCAGACUAUUCAUAUAUAUGCAUGUCUUUCUUAGUGUUUUCUCCCAAUUUAUUAAGAGAUUUUAACAAGUACCCUUUUAUUUCAGGAGAGGUCGUAUGUUUCUAUCUAACAGUCAAUCUACGCAGAUCGGCAACACAGACAUUGUUACGCACUUUUGCCCACAAGUUUUUAAUUACUGACUUAAUAGUACGAUGGCAAGGACAAUAAAAUUUUGGUAAACAAACCAAAGAUUCCCUCGGGUUGGCGUCGAGUGUUUUAUAUUCAUGGCACUAUCUUCUGACCAACGUAGUGGCGACGGUGACAUGCAGGGGUGUUUUCCACGGACUAAAUAAGUUUUUCUCGAUACGAGUAUUAGACAUAGAUUAAUUAUAAAAAUAAUUGUACAGAUGGAGGUUAAUUCGUGAGACGAAUCUAUUAAACCUAAUUAAUUUAUGAUUAGUAUAUAUUUAUUGCAGCAUCAUAUUGUCAAAUCAUGAACUAAUUAGACUUAAUAGAUUCAUCUCGCGAAUUAGCUUCUAAUUUUAUAAUUAGCUCAUGUUUAAUCCUCCUAACUAGUAUCUAGAUAUUCGAUGUGAUAUUCGAUGUGAUAGAACUAAGUUCGUGGAACCAAACACCCCUUAUUUUUAGUGCCUAAUCUUUCAUUUCCUGUCCUGAGCUGCUUCUCGCUGGAGAUGAAAUGGCCCAAUCGAUUCAAGGUCAGAGCGUAGUUAUUCUUUGUCACUUCUCUUAGCAUCCAACUAGGUCAGAGUGGUCAAACUAGGAGAACUACUCUUACCAAAUCACUGGUCUUUAACAUGUACAACAGACGUUCAUCUCUUAGCUUUGGCCUUUUUUUAUCCGUUCAGUUGCCUCCUUUUAAAGUAACUGUCACGCAGCUCCGAUCCAUGCAACGAGUUUAGUUUAUUACGGCCUCUUUUCGCACAUCUUCUGUUCCGUUCUUACCAUAAAGCUAAGUCACUUUCUGAAAAACUAUCGGAAGCUUGUAUCGAAAGUAGCUUACUGCUGCAACCGAUUUUACGAAGAAGAUUCCCACCGCUAGAUGAAACACGUCUAGUCCACUCAAGUUUCAUGCAACAUUUUUAGAUGAAACACGUCUAGUCCACUCAAGUUUUAUUUGGGUCAGACAAAAGGAUUGCUAGCAAGCUCGGUUCUUUCAACAAUCUUCUCACUAAAAAAUUGGACGAAAAGGAUCCCAAGCCAUAUAAAAGUGAGUUUGCAUGGCUUCCUUGAAUCAGCAUCAGUCAUCAUAACACAUCCAGAAAUUGCUCACUCAGUGAAAAGUUAACGCUCACUUUACUUCGUUUUGGGCCUGAUUCCUCUUUCUUUGUCUUGAAGUUUCAUGGAGAAGUAAUACAUGCCUUAGAAAUCUUGUGAUUUUUUUCCAGAAAUUUUAUGACUUUUUGGGCUGCUUUCAUGCCGUAGUACGUUUGAAUGAAAAGGGAGCACCUGAUAUGUUCUCAUAAGAAAUCAGGACAUAUUGGUUAGAAAAAGGACUGUAGAAUUAAAUUAAUAUAUUAGAUUAUCAAGUGGCGCUUUUUACUUCAGUACUACAGUACGUUAAUUACUCUUAUGAGUAUAGUUAAUUGAUAGUUUUUCGUGACAUGUACAGUAUAGUUUAUUGAUAGUUUGAAGACCUCACUAAGCGAGCCAAUGGGGAAUGCUUGAAGGUCUCUGUGCAAAAUCUACUCUUCCUCGUUAUGGUGAGAAUAAAUAAGCCAAAGCAAUACUAGUAUGAAUUCUCAAAUGAGGAAGGGAAAUACAAAUCGUGAUUCCUUGCAACGCGUUGCUAUUUUCUAAUGUUGCCAAGAGAUGUAACUUCGAAUACUGCUUAUUAAUUUCCAAUCAAUUAUUUGUUUGGUUUUGAUAAUACGCAUUACAGGACGUCGGAUAAAAAAGAAGAAGAGAGAAACACACUAGCACACCCUGACCUUAGUAUCUACGUAAUCGAUAGAGUUUUAUCUAAUGAGCUGAAGAGUUGCCAGGAUCCUUCGAGAUGCAGAUGUCCAUAUGGCAUAUUCGAAUAUAUGCAUGCCUCUACCUAAUAAUCUUUUACAUCGUCAUUAACAGAGACAUUCCGCUGAGAAUGGCUACACUUAGGUAAAAGAAAUGUUGCCUACUUAAAAACUUGCAAAACAACUAUACUAAAAAAAAAACUGGCACAAAGCACACCAGGAGAGUACUAAAUCGGCAACUUCAUAGUACUAGCUACCCCAGCCUUAAUUCAAUCUUUUCAAACUGCAGUUGUAAAUUACUUUUAAUAUGUCGUGUUUGGAUAUUUGAAAAAUGGUAUGGCGUCUAUUCAUUAGAAAUGUGUAGUCUCAUAAAAGUACAGUGUCUUACUAUAUUUUAUGAAUAUCUUAUGAUAAAGCGUACUAAUCAAAGUUGUCUUUACUAGUGAUGAUUAGUUGUAAGUUAAUGUUUUAACUUAAGCUACUCUUAUCUCUUUUCAGGCAGUGAUGGCAGACGAGAUGUGGACGGGAGUUUUAAAAUCAUUUUUAUCUAACAUACUUUAAAAUUAGAGCUUUGUUACAAUGCUUUUAAAGUACCACAGGUACUUUCCUUUCUUAUCAUUUUUAACAAAAAAAAAAUUAAAUAGAUUUACACAUAAUUAAAAGGGUAUUAUAGUAAUUUCACUUUAUUUUUUACUUGGUCCCACCAAAUUAGUACUUCUCUUUUAGGUAUUUCAUGAUACUUCAUUUGUUUCCACCGUUCGAUAUAUUUAAGACGGCUUUCAUUUUUUCCGAGCACUCUAAAACUUCUCUUAAAAUUAACUAUGAUGAUUGCCGCGGCAAAAGGGUUGUUUUUAAAAGUCAUUUAGCUUGGGCUAGUUAUAAAAUGGUAGAUUAAAAUAGAUUAUUUUUUCAAAUAAACAUUGCUUCCCUCCAAUUCGCUUCGUCUUAGCCGAGAGUUGGUAAUUCGGCUGCUCCAAGCUAUAUAAAGACCUCUCUCUACUUGCCACCAUUGCUCUCGCAGGACCACCACCAGCAGCAGCAAAGUCACCACCAAGCAGCAGGCACCAACAACUCGUCGGUCAUGGAGCACGAGUUACUCCAGAUGCUGCACCUGCCGCCCCAUGAGCUGGGCCAGGACCACCUCACGGUCAGCGCGGCCUUCUUCGACGUCCACGGCGACGCGCAUUUCCCGGGCAGCGGCGGCGGGUUUGCCGGGGCGGUCGCCGACGACGACUGCAGCUGGGUCGAGGACCUCAUGCAGCUCGGCGACGAGCUGUUCGGCGGUGCCGGCGCUGGCUGCGACGAUAACAAUGCCGCCGGCAUGGACGAGGGCAACCGGCAUCCGUGGCAGUGGAACGGCGGCGACGGGAGCCCUCCUUCCGUGGAGCAAGGCGCCGGGGAGCUCGCUUCCGAGCCGCACCGCGACGAUGACGGCGGCGACGGCGACGGCGCGUCGCCGGUGACGAGGAAGCGGAGGGACCGGUCGAAGACGAUCGUGUCGGAGCGCAAGCGGAGGGUCCGGAUGAAGGAGAAGCUCUACGAGCUCAGAUCCCUCGUCCCCAACAUCACAAAGGUACGGUCUGCUGAAACACGGAUUUUGUUUUUCUUUCCAGCCAGCCAGAGCUUCUGCAAAUGAUGGAUUGCACGUUUAUUCAUUGUAAAAAGUCCUGUGUCCUGAUUGGAAUUAAUCUUGUGAAACUCGUUCGCUGAUUUGCAAACAAAUUUAAUUCAUGUGCAGAUGGACAAGGCCUCCAUCAUCGCCGACGCGGUGGUGUACGUCAAGAACCUGCAGGCCCACGCCAGGAAGCUCAAGGAGGAGGUCUCCGCGCUCGAGGCGCAGCCGAGGUCACCCAGGCAGGGGCAGCAGCAGCAGCGCAACCGGCGCGCGGCGGCGGCGGCUGCGGCGGCCGGCCGGCGCCGCCAGGAACGCGACGAGGACAACGGCACGGCAGCCUCCGGCGCGCGGGUGACGCACUUGGGCGCGGCGCAGGUCGGCGAGGGCCGGUUCUUCGUGACGGUGGAGUGCGAGCGGCGGGACGGCGUGGCGGCGCCGCUCUGCGCCGCCGUGGAGUCGCUGGCGUGCUUCCGGGUGGAGACCUCGAGCCUCGUCCGGUCCGGGACGGACCGUGUCGUGUCAACGCUCACGCUCAAGGUACCGUUAGUUCUAGCUACACGAAUGCUUUGGCCUGUGGACAACUAAUAAUCGUAAUUAACUUGAGCUAGUUGUUGUGGAUCAGUUAAUUAAUUAUAUGUUUGUGCAAAUAGUAGUAUAGUUGCUGAUGAUUCCAUCGUCCAUGUGGAUGCUGCAGGUGAACGAGCAAGUAGGGGACGCGUCGGUCUGCGAGGGCUCGGUGGUGAAGCUCUUGGUCAUGGCGGCUCUGCUCAAGGAGGGCUUCCGACCCGAAGCGGCGGUCGAGAUCUCAUGAUCCACCUGCCAACUGACCAGCUGAUGUUCAGGCUCGGUUUUAGAUCUCCAACUUAGGUCUCAGAUCAUCAUCCACCCGCUCUCUCUGUCUAGAUCUCGCCAUGAAUGUCGAUCGAUCCCGCUGGUUUCGUUGUUCGGUUUCGAUCCGUCCUGUGUACCAGCGAGUGAGAUGCAACGCCAUGUGAUCAGCUCUUGCAACUGCCACUUUAUGUCUAAGCAUAAAAUCACUGUACCAUACCGUACCGUGGAUCCGUGUGUGUGUGUGUGUUGGAACUGGAAUCAGUGGUACAGAACAGAAGCAUGUCGCACUGGCUUUGUGAGCACAUCACUGUUUGAUGGCUCAAAAGAAUCUGUGUUCUCCACGAAGGGAAGUGCCAUGGAGAACACGGGGAGAGAUGAAUACAUUAGCCGUGGGCGUUACUAAUCAGUGCGCGUUAGAUCCCCGACAGCCACGACUUUUCUUUUUGGAAAGUUUAAAAUCCUGCAACUUUCCAUUUUCAGAAUAUCAUAAUUUAUACACAUAACUUUAAUGCAUAACUUCAUGAUAUAACUUGUAUGAGAUAAUUUUUUAACGCAACUUAAAUAGCGUGCAGAACUUAUGUAUACAACUUCUAGGUACAAUUUGUAAAGAUAACUUCAAAUUUUAUUUUUUUAGAAAGUUGUAACCUAUACGUACAAUUUGUAUGCAUAAUUUUUUUCCUAACAACAAUUUAGGUGAUAAAUUUCGUAAUAUAACUUUUAUAAUAUAUAUAACUUUGUCAUAACUUUUGAGAGAAUGUGCACAUAACUUAUACAUAUAUAUACAAUAUUUACAUAUACAAUAUUUACAUGUUAUAGAAAAAAAAUUGAAAAUAAAAAAAACAGGCGCGGGCCAGCACAUGGUGGGACCCCGCCGUCCGCGUCGCGCGUUAACCGUUCCGUUCCUUUUCACGGCUGGUAGGUAACUAAAUAAUCACUUGAUAUCUACGUUCGUUAAUUUAAAACCAUUGUUCCUUCAGCGGCGAUUCAUCUUUUGACGCCUGGAUCUCACUGAAUUCCGGUUCUAGUCAAACGAGGUUCUUCUUCUUCUUUCCUUGGAAAAAACGAGGUUGGAAGGUAACUUAACAAUAAUUUCAAAUCACAGUAGUGAUCACGAGAGAAAUUAAACCAUGAUUCGUACCUCAUGUAAAUUUGUAUACUAUUUCAGUGCCACGUAAACAAAACCAUGAUUCGUCACCAAUUAAUAGAGCCUAGGUGGUGGACAGAUUCCACUGGACGUGUAAAUUGUAAAUUUUUAGGGACGAUGUGAGUAGAGAAACAUUUCAAAAUUGUAACUUGUAUCUGUUCUUUUUAUGACUCAUCGGCACCCCUUUUCCCGUUGUAACACGAACCGGUAGGGUACCAUUUGUUUGUUGCAUUGCACUUGCCCACCAUGUGAUCCACUGUUGUGGACCCGGACGACCACAUGCAGACUGGAACAGAAACAGAGAAGGGCGCGGCAGUUAGGUUCGUUAAUUUGAAAGAUUAUCCUCCUUCUGGCGAACCAUCUUUUAACACGUGGGUCCUACUGACCUGGAUUCAGCCCAAUUCUUGUCUGUAUCAUUCAAAAGGGGUUAGAGGUGACCUAAUUAAUGAUCUCCACUACAUAUAAUUAUUUGGUUUUUCCAUGUGCCACCAGCAAUUGAUUCGUGUGUGAUACAAUUAGAAAUUACAACAUCAUCAACUGAAAGUUAUGAUUCAUGCACAGAAAAAUUAGAUUAGACCUAUUUCAUCUCAAAAAAGACAUCACAACUGCAAAGUAAAUAUAUGAAAAACUGAAUAUGCAAAGUAGUUAAAUUGGCCGAUGUUUGUUCAGUUUUUCAGUGGAGGAUUAAGAAAUAGCCUCCUCUCUCAACUUCCAUCAACGUAAAAUAUAAGAAUAUAAUUAAAUUGGCACCCAAGAAUAGCCUAAAAAAAGAAAAUUUGACAAUUUAGGAACUUGGUAUUCCGGGACCGGGUUCGGACAAUUCCGAAUUACCUGAUCACCUCCUCCGAUCCAAAGUCUCUCACUCCCUCGCCUCUCGAUCUUCAGCUGCACAAGGCUACCACCAAUCAUGGUAUAGCACCAUUGCAACCGCCACAAACAGCUAAGAGGCCAUAGAGGUCCCUGUUCCCGGCCCUGCCUGCACGCCUCCGUUUUCCAAUUUAAUGUUUCUCCUUUUGUUGAGAUAAACCUAACUUCUAUGUAAUUUUUCGUUCUUGGUUCUUUGUACUAGUUGUGAGCGUAAUCAGUUCUGGUUGUUUCCAUGAUUGGCGUCGUCUGUCACAAAGAUAAUCUGGCAGGAUACAAUGGUGGCCUGAAGGAAAGCGCAUAAUCAAGCACCUGAAGAGCAGCACCUCCCUUGUCUGAUCUUACUUUGUUUAAAAGUUAGUUCCCAUGUUUGUUUGUUUGAUUGAAAUCUUCUCUUAUUAUUAUCUCUCUCUUUUCAUAGUGGUGGCAGAUAAGAUGUGCACUGGCUGUUGGCCCUGUCAAUCUCUAGGAAAUCUAAAAUGAGCAACAAUUAGGAAUGGAUGGAGUAUAAAAAAAUUUCAAAUUAACAUUCUGACCCCGCGAAUGGGCUUGCAGCCCAGUGGUAAGAGCUAGCCAAGGUUGGCUCCUAUCAAAAAAAAAAAAAAAACAUCCCGACCCCCACCGGCCACUGGAGAUGCUCAUUGCAUGCCGCCACUGACUAUCUAAAUCCCCGUCGACCUUCUUUUAAAUAAAUUAUUAAGGUUCCCCGGUUGCUUCGUGACAAGCUAUUACCGUUCAUAACUCGGCCAGGUCUUAACUAGCACUCCCCAAUGCUUUAUACUUUAAUAAUGUAGCAUCUCUCGACAGUAUAGCAACGAAUGUGUACUGUGCACAUCCCUCCAGUCAGCAUCAUCCUAAUUGCUGACAACACAUCGCGAAAUGGAAUCCUAGUGGUUUCACACCUCGAGAGAGAGGCUCGAUCUAUAUAAUCUACUAAUGAGCUCACCAUUCGCGGCUCUUGACUCACACGCCACCGAGAGAGGGAUCAGACGCAUCGCAAUCGCAAUCGCAACCGGCCACCAUGGACAUGGAGCACCAGCUGCUUCUCUUCUCGCCGCAGGAGCACUUCAUGGCCAGCCCGCCGGGCUUCUUCGCCGUGGGCGCCGGAUACUCGGCGCAUUUCCAGACGGGCGAGUUCGUCGAGCCGGUUGGCGUCGUGGCGACCGGCAUCGAGGACGGCGCGUGGGUGGAGGACCUCAUGCAGCUCGGCGACGAGCUGUUCGGCGGCGGCGAUGUCGCUGCCGUCGCCGGCACGGGAGACCACGAGCCGUGGUGGUACGAAGACGACGGCGGCGGCGGGUCGGGGUCCACGGACGGGCCGCCGGCGAGCGUCUCGCCGGGCGGCUACGGGAGCCCUCCUCCCUCCGGGGAGCAAGGCGCCGAACCGCACCGCGAGGACGGCGGCGACGACGCGUCGCCGGUGACGCGGAAGCGGAGGGACCGGUCCAAGACGAUGGUGUCGGAGCGGAAGCGGAGGGUCCGGAUGAAGGAGAAGCUCUACGAGCUGCGGUCGCUCGUACCCAACAUCACCAAGAUGGACAAGGCCUCCAUCAUCGCCGACGCCGUGGUGUACGUCAAGAACCUGCAGGCGCACGCCAGGAAGCUCAGGGAGGAGGUCGCGGCGCUCGAGGUGCGCCCGAGGUCGCCGUCGCCCGCCGGGCCCGGGCACGAGCAGCACGGCGGCCGCACGGCGGCGGCGGCUGCUGCUGGCCGACGCCACCACCGCCCCGCGGCGGCCGGCCACGGCGCGCGGCUGAGCCACGUGGGUGUGGUGCAGGUCGGCGACGGCCGGUUCUUCGUGACGGUGGAGUGCGAGCGGCGGGACGGCGUGGCGGCGCCGCUCUGCGCGGCCGCCGAGUCGCUGGCGUGCUUCCGGGUGGAGAGCUCUAGCCUCGCCCGGUCAGGACCGGACCGCGUCGUGUCAACGCUCACGCUCAAGGUAUUGUUGUUGCUGUACACGUUCAAGUUUGCUUGGCGCCAAGUAGCUAAUUUUCCGUUAACUAACAAUUAAGCUCCAAUUCUCUGCCCCCAAGUCAAGUUUGAAGUUUUAUUAAUCAAAAUAAUAUACUUUAAAUUUGAAAAAAAAGAUUUAACAUAAACAAUCUCAAUGUAUCCCUAGCUCGAGCUCCAUGAAACCUUAGAGUUUGGAUUAUCCAGCUCCAAAUUAUUCUUAGAACUGGAGCUCUUCCAAACGUACCCUUUAAUAGUACUUGGUUUUAAUUAAUCAAGGAUUGAUCAUUUACGAACAAGUGGAUUUCAUCGUGCAGGUGAGCGAGCGAGUAGGGGACACGACCAUCGGCGAGAACUCGGUGAAGCUCUGGGUGAUGGCGGCUCUGCUCAAGGAAGGCUUCCGGCCCGAACCGACGGUCGAGAUCUCCUUGCGGUCCACUUGUCAACCGAUCAACUGAUGUUCAGACUCUUGCUUGUAAAACAAGUUAAGUGUCAACUGAUUUUGUUAGUUUCCCCUCUCUCAGUCGUGCUCUAGGGUGAUGUGACACGUGUUCUCGUUCGUCCAACCCUUUUGUGUGAUCUGGACCGUCCACCUACCCGGUACCUGUGUGCAGUGUCCUGUUGAAACCAAUGGUACCGUAGCAUAUAUUCUGCGACACAAUGGGGAGUGGGAAAUAGAAAUGCAGAUGCAUUCGUACGUCAUGUGACUCGUGUAUGAGCGGAUCAUGGGCGGAGCUAUGGCCCCCCUGCCUAACGUAAAUUUGUACAUUUCCUUGAUUUUCAGUCCUCCGUCCCAUUGAUACUCGAUUAGCACCACUACGUUGACAAGAAAUCCUCUACCUGCUGGUGCAUAUUUGGAUACUCUUCAUUCAUUUCCUAACGUUUUAUUGUUUCUAGUCAUGCCUGUUAUUUCCUAACUUUAUGUGGUGCAGUGGACAGGUGGGGCAUGGCAUCUGGUGACGUUGGUAUCGUCUUCCAUGUCUUUGGUGCAUUGCAUUACAUUCCAUUAGAUCCUUUAGGUCGAUAUGCAAGUCUAAUAAAAUGGGCAGAGGCUUAAAAAAAACAAUAUGCGUGGGAAUAAAUAAGCUCCAAUUAAUUAACUUCAAAUAGAUCACCACCAAUAGAUAGGUUUCAUUUUCAGAAAACAAUUGGCAGUGUUUUUAUAUUUUUUUAUUUAUGAAUUAGUUAUGAUUUUUUAAAAAUUAAACUAUUUUUUUAUAUCUUCAAAAAUAGAAAACCACCCUCGAAAGUAGCUAGAGGAUCAAAUUUGUUUAGUUUCAACAAUUACCUACUGCUUGGUGUUUGGUUUUAUAGUUUAGGGUUAUAGUUGGAAGGUAUAAAUUAGAUUUUUUUACGCCGAAGUAUGGACACUUCAGCCUGAAACACAAAUUUCCAUUAUAUCUGACUUUUAUUAAGUCGAUCAGGUGGAUGAGGUUAGGAGCAGAGCUGGGCCAGACUGACGCCUAGGGUCACUAAUGGACUAAUUGGAGCUAGCUGGACCUUGGACCUUAAGCUACAGUAACUACAAUAUGGACCCUGGACGAGAUGGCUUCAUAGCGAGAAGAGCCAAAACUAGAGUAAUGGAGGUUUUCCCGUCCUUGGACACUAUUUUUACCAACGUUGAAAAUGACAUAAGCAGUACAUGUUUGACUUCACUACCCAAGUAUCCAAACUUUGGCUAGAUCUUAGCAAUUUACACAUGCUUUCACUGAAUUUUCGGUGUCAGGUGUAACCAAAUGUUUGAUUUUUCACUGCUUCGAUGCCUUUAAAUAAUAACCCAUUUAAAUACAUUAUUCAAAACUGGAGCCAUCACUACACAAUGGAACAAAUAUAAUUUACUUCAUUUUAUUCUUACCAUAUGAUAAUAUCCACCCUUUUUAUUUUCCGAAGAAAAUCCAUGUUACUCCCCUCACCAAUCCACUUUGUCCGCUUAACCCCUUGAACAAAAUUUAGACUCAUUUUACACCCUCAAACUAUUUCACUCAGUCCAAUCUAUCCCAUAAUUAGAUUUAUCUUUCUUGUUUCUUCGCAUACAAGUUGAGUUUUAAUUUCAAAUUUUGCCAGCUGACUUAUAACAUGAUACCCUACGGUAGAAAAAUAUUUUAGAAUUUUUUUAUAAUUAUUUUUCAUACAGAUUUGUAUAUCUAAAAUCAAUUUUGUAUUAAAUGUUCUUAGCCUAUGAAAAUAACCAUGAAAAAUUACAGUAAAAUUACUUAACAUAAAACAUCAUGUUCUGUGUCAGCUCACAAAAUUUGAACUUAAAAUUUAACUCAUACAUGGAGAAACAAAAAAGAAAACACUCAUUAGGAGUACUUUAGCCAACUGAAAUAGUUAAGCCUAAAUUUUUCUUAGGGAGUUAAGUGAACAAAAUGGACUUUUUUCUUAUUUCCUUGAGUUCAAAUAUUUUCACAUCUCACAAUUUGGACAGGAAAAAAACAAAGCAUACAAACGGCAGAACAAUUAAAUUUCCAAAGGCUCCCCUUCUCAGCCCGGCCCACAACUCAGGCCCAACUACCCCUCCAAGUCCAACCUCUCCGAGUCAAACUGUUGUUAACUUGUUAUUGUCGGAGGAUGUAAAUUAGAAUUUCUUGUCCGAUUUCAACAAUUGAAUGCUGCUUGGUGUCCCAUUUUUGUAGUUCAAAGUUGAAAAGAACUGCUGUUAUUGUUGGAGGGUGUAAAUUAGAUUUUUUUCAACGCCAAAGUACGAGUACUUCAACCCUGAAACUUCCAAUAUACGCCCUCCAUCCUUUAAUAUAUGACGUAAUAUAUGACGUUAAUUAGUUAAAAAAUAAGCUAACCAACAUCAUAUAAUAGAGAACGAAGGUAGUAUCUGUUUGAAGAGCCACAAAACUUGAGUACUUCCUCCGUUCCAAAUUAUAGGUCGUUUUAGCUUUUAUAGAUACAUAGAUAUUAUUAUGCAUCUAGACAUAGGGUAUAUCUAAGUGCAUAACAAAGUUUAUGAAUCUAAUAAAGUCAAAACGACCUAUAAUUUGGGACGGAGGGAGUAUUUUAAAUGCAAACUUCCCCGUCCUUGGACACUGCUUUUUACCAACGUUGAAAAUUACGUAAGCGGUGCAUGUUUGACUUCGCUAUCCAAACUUUGGGUAGAUCGCAGCCAGCUCAGUGAGGUUACAUCAAAGAAGACCGAAUAUAUAAUAUAGCAAUUUACAUAUUCUUUCACUGAUUUUUUUUUUGCUUUCGAGUGUAAUCAGCUGUGCUUACAAUUACUCAGCAUAUUCGUUAAAAACAAUAACUCAGUAUAAAUUGGUUCAUGGCGUUGAGUAACCCAUUUAAAUACGUUAUUCAAAACUGGAGCUAGCUCAUAAAAUAUCACUACACCAAUGGAAAAUUAUAGUUUACUUCAUUUUAUCCUUAUCAUAUGAUAAUAUCCACCGUUUAUAUUUCCCUGAGCACAAAUAUAUUCAUAUCUCCCGAGGAACAAUUUGCAAAAAAAAAAAACGAAGCAUAUAAACAGCACAGAAAUUAAGUUUACAAAGGCUCCCCUUCUCAGCCCGGCCCACAACUAAGGCCCAACUACCCCCUCCAACCUCUCCGAGUCGCAGUCGCAGCCUCCUGUCACUCGCGGACUCGCCAGUCGCCGCCAUGGCCUCCGGCGGCAACCCCAACCCGACCGGCGCCCCGCCCCAGCCGCGCCCGCCGCAUCCCCAGCAGCAGCCGCCGCCAGGCGGCUCUCCGGCGACGCCCAUGACCCACCUCCGACCUCCCUCCCUCGCGGGCUCCCCGUUCCAGGGUCUCUUCCGCACGCCGCCCUCCCACAACCCCGCCUUCCAGAUCCACAUGGGCGCCUCCUCCUCUCCCCAGACCCCGCUCAUGGCUGCCGCCGCCGCCGCCGUGGCGGCGCAAUCGGCCAAGCGGCCCCCGCAGAAGCCCCCCGUCCGGCCCCCGGCUCCCGGGUCUGCCGCGGCGGCUUCGGCGGCAGCCGCGUACAAGGCAGCGGCCGCGGCGGCAGCGGUGGCGAACUCCGGUGGCGUCGACCUCACCCCCGCCGCGCGACGCAACAAGAAGCGCAAGCUCCCCGAGAAGCAGCUCCCCGACCGCGUCGCCGCGCUGCUCCCGGAGUCCGCGCUCUACACGCAGCUGCUCGAGUUCGAGGCCCGCGUGGACGCGGCGCUGGCGCGGAAGAAGGUGGACAUCCAGGAGGCGCUCAAGACGCCGCCCUCACUCCAGCGAACGCUCCGCAUCUACGUCUUCAACACCUUCGCCAACCAGAGGCCGCUCAGCAACCCGCUGCCCCAGAACGCCGACCCGCCGACCUGGUCGCUCAAGAUCAUCGGCCGCGUGCUGGAGGACGGCGCCGAGCUAGAUCCCGCCAGCGUUGUGCCCAAGCACAACCCGGUGUAUCCCAAGUUCUCCCAAUUCUUCAAGAGGGUGACCAUUGCGCUGGACCGGUCCCUGUAUCCUGAAAAUCCAGUGAUCGUCUGGGAAAAUGCGCGGUCUGCCGCCCAGCAGGAAGGGUUCGAGGUGAAGAGGAAAGGGGAUAAGGAGUUUGUUGCUAACAUCCGGCUGGAGAUGAACUACAACCCAGAGAAGUUCAAGCUGUCACAGCCACUGAUGGAGGUGCUCGGGGUUGAGGUGGACACUCGCGCGCGGGUGAUUGCUGCCCUCUGGCAGUACAUCAAGGCAAAGAAGCUUCAGAACCCAAAUGACCCUUCCUUCUUCAUGUGCGACCCUCAAUUGAAGAAGGUGUUUGGGGAGGAUAAGCUGAAGUUUGCAAUGCUGUCGCAGAAGAUAUCUCAGCAUCUGUCUGCCCCACCGCCCAUCAACUUGGAGCACAAGAUUAAGCUCUCAGGGAAUGAAGCGUCCGGAAGUGCUUGCUACGAUGUGCUGGUGGAUAUACCCUUCCCGCUGCAGAAGGAGAUGAUGGCAUUCCUCGCCAACACAGAGAAGCACAAGGACAUUGAGGCUUGCGACGAGGUGAUAUCCACCUCGAUUAAGAAGAUCCAUGAGCACCUCAGGAGGAGAGCAUUCUUCCUGGGUUUCAGUCAGUCCCCUGUGGAGUUCAUCAACGCCCUGAUAGCUUCUCAGAGCAAAGAUUUGAAGCUGGUUGCUGGGGAAGCGAAUAGGAACGUUGAAAGGGAGAGACGUGCAGACUUCUACAACCAACCAUGGUAAGCUCUAAUAGUGCCUGUGAUUUACCUGGUUUUUUCUUACUUGAGCAUCAUGUAUCCAUGCUCUAACAAGGUGUUUUUUGGUUCCACAAUGAAAUAGGGUCGAGGAUGCCGUUAUAAGAUACUUGAACCGUAAACCAGCUAGCGAGGGACCAGGCGGUGGUGCUGGUGGUUCUUGAGGAGAGGAAUUCUCUAGUGCCCUUUUGGUAUAGGAACAAAUUGUCUUUUCUUUAUUAGUAGUAAAAGUCGGCGGUGUUAGUGAGGAGAUUUGUUCGGUGCGGUGAAAGUAUGUUCGGGCUAGUCACUGUAUGUUGUGUUCUAUAUUGCUUAACUGUUGUGGAAAUAUAAUGUCAAGUGCUGAACUGAGCAUAUGAUGUUGUAUUGUUGUGAGUCGGUCAUUGUACCGACUGAACGGAUGACAGGCCACAACUUUGCUAUGAAUGGCGCUGCACUAAUUGCCACUUGUCAAUGGGUAAGUGACCAUUGCUACUUGUGGUGCUGAUGGUUUUGACUCUGGAAAUAGUUUGGUGGAGGGGACCUGAUACUGAUGGAGUCUGCCUUUUGUGUUUGAAUGUGGAAGUGGAGGGAAAUGGAAAGAGAUGUCUGCGGUGUCUUUGUCCUUGUCCUUAGUAGUGCCUCGGGGGGUUAAUAAUUAAUCACAACUGUGUGUCCACACAACCCUUGCUAGUAGGGAUGCAAUUUGAUUUAUCUAGGUCAUUUUGUCACACAAUCCAUGAACUAAAGUUGUGUCUCAGAACUACCCAUUGGGUAUCCAGUAUCCACUUUCUAUCCCUAUAUGCUGGUAACAAUUUUUUUCUUGCUGUUAAUUCGGGGCACUUGAGCAGCAGAAAUGGCUUUGGGAAAAAAAUGUCGUUGAAUUUAGAGGCAGUAUCCUACUACUUUAUUUUCUUUGUAUUUUAGACUUUUUGUGCAGAACUCUGGCUAUGCACCGUCACUAAUCAAGGAUUAGUCCAAAUUAGUCCUGGUGGUUCUCUUGCACAAAAUGUCAUAGAGCAUCUACUCUCUGCGGCUCUGAAUACAAAUGCUCAGGAGGCUGUCCAUCUACUACUGCUGAACCUAAGUAUAAUAUUUAUUUAUAGCAUAUUACCCCGUUGCACCUCGGUUAUUACAUUUACUAUCUUUUUUAUAAACAGUUUGUGUAUUAGAUUUUGCAUAUAUAGGUUAUGCUGCCUGAUUGGAACUGAUGGAUCAGGUACCGCUGAAAUCGUUCUGUUUGGGAUAGUAACCAGACAAGUUGUUGGAAAAAACUGAUAUCUCUACUUCAACCUGCAAAUAAGAGCCAGAUCAGUGAUUCAGUGGAAGCUCUUAAGUUUCUCCUGUACAUAUUCUUCCUCAGUUUGCUGCAUCCCAGAAGUAUACAUUCUCCGUUUCAGUGACACAGAGAAGUUGACUCAGACAAAUGUCUCUUUGCAACUAAACUCGGUUACUGCCUUCUUUUUGGAAAACAGUCAUAUAUUCCAAAAACAGUAUCUACUCCUUCAGAUGUAUCUGCCCUUGCUGCUUUUCUGCCGACCAUAUCUGGUGAUUGUGAUGCACCAUCACCUAAGAAACAGCGUUUACUUCGAACUGUAAGUAUUUGAAUCACUCAUUUACUCUCUGCAUUAUCUACAAUGCUGACAUAUUUUGAAUUGUAGAAAUUGAUGAUCAUAUGUAACUGCAAGGCAUUCCAGCUAAGAAGGCCCUGGCAUUUUCAGCUGAAGCUGGAGAAAAGAGAGUUGAAACACUUCUGAUAUAGCAGCCAAGGCAUGAGGAUGAAAUGGUCCGUGAUCUUCAUUUGUCGUGAUAAUAUGGACUGCUCUAUUGACACAGUUUACGUUUAUGCAUAAAAUGCCACUUCUUGUUUGAGGAUGGUGCCGAUCAGUCGCCAUUAGGUGAUGAAGCUCCGGUAAUCGUCAAAGUCAAAAACUAUGUUACUGACGAGUCUACUUCUAUCCAAGGUAUACUUUUGAAUAUAGCUCAAAGUGUGUUCCCUAGCUAUGAUGCUUGGAAAAUAGCGCGGUUAACUAUUUUCCUGCAUUUUUGUUUGAUUCCUCAGGGCAGGCAAAAAUCCUCCGAUCCACUUCCAGCUGCUGCAACAAAAAUAAGAUCUGCAAUCAGCAGGAAAGGCAAGCACUCCAGCUAGGUGUGUCAUCAACUAAAUUUUACUCUAUUUUCCACGUUAAUAGCUAGGAUACAAACUAUCAGUUCCAUUUUAUUUGCAAAUAGAAGACAAUACAAACAGCGAUUGAUGAUACAAUACCUCUCUGUCCUCUGUUUUCUUUAGACAGAUGCGGUUUCAGUGAAGUAUGCUUCUGGACAGGAAUGUGGCCGGGUUUCAGCAGCCAUGCUACCAGGUCCCGUUAUUCUGCUUCUGAAGACUUAUAACUACUAUUCUGUAUCGAGUGCAUUUUAACCAAUUGACGAGAAUAUUGAAAUGAAACAUGUCCAUUUGAAAAUGACGUGUGAGCACUAGUGAUGUUGAAGACUGGAAGAUCAUCGCAGGAGCAGUUGAGCUGCUGCACAUGGAUGGUGUGCAUUCGCAGGGAGGUGUUUUCGGGUGGUCGGCAGGCCGCUCGCGCUCAAGACGGCGGCGAGCCCGAUCUGGUGGACGGCGACGAGCAGGAAUCGGGAGGGGACCGAGGCGGCAGGUGCAGCGACGCCGCGAGGUUAGAACCUAGGGUCGAUUGGACUCGAUGGAGUCAGUGACCCUGUUGCCCCUCUCUCGUUUGGGGUCGAACCGGUUCGAUCCGCUCGCUAAUUUCAGGAUUCGGAGCGAACUCGAAAAUGGCUCGACCCGCUCCCUUUGCAGGCCUACUAUCUUAAACAUAUUGAAAUGAAGCAUGUCCAUUUGAAAAUUACGUGUGAGCACUAGUGUGUGUGGAAGGCUGGAAGAUCAUCUCAGGAGCAGCUGAGCUGCUGCACAUGGAUGGUGUGCAUCCGCAGACCUGCUGUCACAAAACCUUAGUUUAUCCCGUUGAACGGCUCUGGUACCGUACAUCUCGGUUUCUAAAAAAAAAUGGUUGCAAAACCGACACCGCAAUGUUGGCCUGUUCGGAACAGCUGACUGCAGCUGCGCGCCGUGGCUGUAACAAAAAGCCAACAGCAGCUGCAGCUAGCAUGCGGGUAAAAAUUACUUUUUACCAUGCAAUUUUUUUAUGCCUCAAGAUAAAGUUGCGUAGUUGUUUUCUUAGCUGGAACUGCAUGAGCUGCAAGCUGCAGCCGAGCAGCUGUGCAGUUGCAGCAACAGCCGCAGCAGAAGCAGAAGUGAGCACGCCUGUUAAUUUUAGCCCCCGCAUGCUUUCUAGCACGAUGUGUUGCUGGGCCGGUGGGUUCCACGCGGACCUCACCCAUGUGCUGCGCCUUGUUUUUUCUUUUCAAAAUUUUCUAUACCAUGUAAAUAUUAUACAUACGUAUAAGCCUUAAAAAUUAUGUGCAUAAUUUUUUUAAGACCAUUCUUUGAAAAGUUAUGAUAAAAAUUACGCAUAUAAGUUAUGUAUAUUAUGAAAGUUGUAUUACGAAAUUUAUCACCUAAAUUGUUAUUAGGAAAAAAGUUAUGUGUGCAAAUUGUGCAUAUAGGUUACAACUUUCUAAAAAAUAAAAUUCGAAGUUAUUCUUACAAAUUGUACCUAGAAGUUGUACAUAUUAAAGUUGUGUUAAAAAAUUAUUUCAUGAAAAAUUAUAUUAUGAAGUUAUAAGUUAUAUUAUGUAGGUAUGCAUCGAAGUUAUAUAUAUAAGUUAUGAUAUUUCACAAAUAGAAAGUUGCAGGAUUUUUAAUUUUCAAAAAUAAAAAAGAAAGUGCGGAUGGAAAUGGACUGUCGAGGAUCGAUGGUCAGCACUCCUGGCGCGCGCUAAUUAGGAUGCCCCCACCGACACCCGCAAGAUCCGGAACUUGCUCCCAUGAAAACCACACGACACUCGCUAGUUACCCGGCUCACAGCUGCUGCCUCGCCUUGUGAAGGGGAGAUGCGCGGGUGCCAGCUCAUCACGCCAUCUUAUUAUUACAAUCCCCGUGUUCCUUGAGCUCGGCCUGUUGUCUCCGUCCAAGGUCACGAGAUGCCUCAUCUGACCGUCCUAGAGCAGGUGCACGGCGAUCAAUCAUGGGCUAAUAAUCGUGCCUUUUAAUGAGACAUUAGGCCCUGUGAUUGCUGAUUAUCGAAUCACGAGCUGGGAUAAUUGAAAGUAGCAGACGACGAGCUCAUCCGGCGGCUCGGCUCGGACAAUUCCAUGACGCUGCAAAAUCCGAUCCGAUCCAAUCCGAUGGAAUGGAAUAGCCCUCGCCUGAGUAGAAAAGAUUUGGCUGGCGUCAUCGACCUCGUUAUAAAAGUGCAGGCCGUGCGUGCCCCAUCCAUCAUCAUCAUCAUCAUCAUACUGAAUGAAUCUUAGCUUUUGGACUUUCUUCAUAAAAUGUGUUCAGAAAUGUAAGGACUUUACCCAAUAUGCUUGCUACUACGAAUUUGGGGAUAAAUGGGUCUAUUCGCUUCAGCUUAUAAGCCGGCUGAAAAGCUAAAACGGCUGAUUUGUUGUGAGAGAAAAAUACUAUUUGAUGGCUGAUAAGCCGAUUUUCAGCGAGCAGGUCGAAAAAAGGAUCCAACUCUAUCAGAAAAUGCCAAUUAUUCUAGAAGACGGGUUGCUUGGAGCAAGAACUCCCCCACUCUUGCGGCUGGCGCUCUCUAUCCAUUGACUAGUACUAGUUUUCUGGGAGGCGCCCUCUUCCCAUCAAACAAACAGGCGGCAGGCGAUCCCCCGCCCCCGCCGGCAUUCCCACGACAACACGCCGCGCGGCACAGCUCAGGCUCAGCUCGGCCCCCCAUUUGUUCUCGCCCGCCGACUGCCGUGCCGCCGCCCGCUUCCGGCCGCCCCCGCCUCAAUCCGUCCGCCCCCGCCGUCAAUUACUCCACCACCACCAGCAAUUCCUUUCGCUUCACCGUACCCACCCCAUCCACUUGCCUUACUUACCCGGCCGGCGCUCCCAAACCCUAGCCUAACCCGCCGCCGCCGGCGGCGAUGUCGGCGCCCUCGUCGCCCCCGCCCCCACCGCCGCAGGGGGAGCAGGGGGUGGGGGACGGCGGCGGGCUCCCCGUGCCGGUUCCCGCCGCCGUGGUCGGCGACGACAAGGUCCUGGCGGCGGCGCAGCACAUCGUCAAGUCGCUCGCCACGUCCAAGAACGCCGCCGACGACAUGAUCCGCAUCCUCUCGGGAUUCGACCACCGCCUCUCCUCCAUCACCUCCGACCUCUUCCCGUCCCCGUCCCCCGCCUCCCCUGCCUCCGACCCGGAGGCCUCGGCCGAGCAGGAACCCGCCGACCCCGCCGCCUCGCUCGCGGCCUUCGAAGCCGCCGAGCAGCUCAUCCACCUCUGGGACACCACCCCGGAGGCGCUCGUCUUCGAGGCCCCGGAGGACGACGCCGCGCACUACCUCGCCGCCGUCGACGUCGCCGUCGACCACCUUCACUCCCCCUCCUCCCCCGCCGUCUCCGGCCGCGCGGGGGUCGCCGUCCAGCUCGCCAUGGCGCGCCUCGAGGACGAGCUCCGCCACCUCAUGCUCCGCCACGCCGUCCCGCUCGACGCCAGCGGACUCUUCUGCUCGCUGCGCCGCCUCUCGCUCGGAUCCAUGGACGACCUCGACACCUCCUCCGAGUUCGACCCAGCCACCCCGCACAGCCAGGACGGCGGCGCUGGGCCGGACACCGCCCGCAGCGCCGGCAUCGCGGGGAACAACCCCUUCGACGACCAGGUGUUCGACCUCGUGCGCCCGGAGGCCGUGGACGAGCUGCGCGCCAUCGCGGACCGGAUGGUGCGCGCGGGGUACGCCAGCGAGCUCGCGCAGGUGUACUGUGCCAUCCGCCGCGACCUGCUUGAAGAGUGCCUCAACGUGCUCGGUGUCGAGCGGCUCAGCAUCGAUGAGGUGCAGCGCAUCGAGUGGAGGCAUCUGAAUGACAAGAUGAAGAAGUGGGUCCAUGGGGUCAAGACGGUUGUCCGCUCCCUGCUGACCGGUGAGCGGCGGCUCUGCGACCAGGUGCUUGCUGCGUCCGAUGAUCUCCGGGAUGAGUGCUUUGUUGAGUCCACCAAGGGUUGCAUUAUGCAGAUCCGCAACUUUGGGGAUGCGGUGGCUGUGUGCACUCGCUCGCCAGAGAAGCUUUCCCGGAUUCUUGACAUGUAUGAGGCGCUUGCUGAGGUGAUCCCUGAACUGAAGGAGCUCUUCUUUGGGAGUUAUGGUGAUGAUGUCAUCCAUGAUUUAGAGGGGGUUCUUGAAAGGCUUGGUGAUGCAGUGAAGGGUACCCUUCUUGAGUUUGGGAAGGUCUUACAGCAGGAGUCAUCACGACGGCCAAUGAUGGCUGGUGAGAUCCACCCAAUGACGCGUUAUGUGAUGAACUAUCUUAGGUUGUUGGUCGUUUACAGUGAUACACUUGACACACUUUUGGAUGACACUGGUGCUGGAGAUGUAGAUCAUAAUCCUUUACAUAAUGGCACCGAUGAGGAUGAGGAGUAUCUCAAGAGCUUGACCCCACUUGGACGCCGUAUGGUCAAACUGAUAUGUUACUUGGAGGCGAAUCUGGAUGAAAAAUCCAAACUCUAUGAGGAUCCUGCGUUGCAGUGCAUAUUUUCCAUGAAUAAUAUACUCUAUAUUGUCCAAAAGGUGAAGGAUUCCGAGCUUGGUAGGAUUUUGGGUGAUCAUUGGAUCCGGAGGCGCCGUGGCAAGAUUCGGCAAAAUUCGAAGAGCUACCUCAGGGUUUCAUGGACCAGAGUUUUAUCUUAUUUGAGGGACGAUGGUCAUGGAAGUAGCGGGAGUGGAAGUUUCGGCAGCAGUGGGAGCUCUAGCUCUAGGAUCAAAGAAAAAAUUAAGAACUUCAACUUAGCCUUUGAUGAGAUAUACAGGAGUCAAACACUGUGGAAGGUACCAGACCCUCAGCUCCGAGAAGAACUCAAGAUAUCUAUAUCUGAAAAUGUGAUCCCAGCUUAUCGUGCUUUUACGGGAAGAUACGGCAGUCUAGUGGAUAGUGGAAGGAAUUCAGGAAAGUACAUAAAGUACACCCCAGAGGACUUGGAAAAUCAUUUGUCUGAUCUAUUUGAGGGGUCACUAGGUUCUGCCAACCAUUCCAGGAGAAGAUGAGAAUUUCCUAUGAAGGGAUUUGGCUACAGGUAUGCUUUUGGUACAAGGGACACCAUGAUGCUCAAAUGCUGGAGUGAACAUGUGCUGAAUUGGUUUUUGUCCCAUUAGAUGUACUGCGAUGUAGUUCAAAACAGGACCCUUUUGUUUCACAAUUGGUUUAUGUGUACUACUAAAGGAUGUACAUGUUUUUUGUCUUCAGUAUAUUCUUAUAUUUUCUUGUUUGUUUGUCCAAGGCCCCAAGCUAUAUUAGUUUUACAUCAUUUAGAAGGUACUGCCUAUUAGAGUAUAUCAGAAAUAUUAUGCGCUUCUACCUCUGGACUCACAUAUUGCAAAAAAUGGAUUAUUUAGUACUGAAAUAGGAAGAGAAUUUUGAGAUUGCAAGAUUCCUUUAGAAUAAUGAAGUGAAACAGCCAAAUCUUAUAAAACCCUUGAAAUUAUGGAUUGCAUAAUUGACACAGGUCUGCUAAAUCUGCUUCAUUGUCAUGUUAAAGUAAUGACAAGCAUUCAGUGGAAUACCUUGUCUUAAAUCUACUUGCGUUUAUUUAUUAUGAUAAAGCCUAAGGCGGGCUCCAAGUCUUCUCUUGCAAGAUACUGAUAUUAGUUAAUUUCAUCUUGUAGAUCCACAAACAAAGUUUAGUGUGGUUGGACUGCAGGCUACUAUGUAGGAACGGUGGUCUUUAAUCUCUUAAUACCAUACCACCUCCUUUCAUAUGAGGUGCUUGUGCAUUUCAAUAUUCAAACUUUGUAAUUGUUUAUCAAUAAUAUUUUAACAGCACAGUUUACAAACGAAAAAGAUGGUAACACUUAUCAUAUUAAAAAAAUAUCUAUUAGGGCCAUAUCUUUAUGGCCUGAAAUGAGCUUUCCAAAUAUAAUUUGAAGACCGUGCCAAGUCAAAUCGCUCCCUGGAAAGGUUAAUGAAGGCAGUAAACUUAUAGAAAUGAAAUUCAUACACCUGCAUGGCUGGCUGGCAUCCCUUGCAACAUUCAGAUAGAUAUUUUCCCAGUAUUUCUAGUACCAAGAUAUUGCAAACUUGAGAGUUUCAGAUAUGUCUGCAUGGAAAUCAGCAACCUAGGUGCUCAAACCAUGGCCUAGAUUAUCUGUCCCCUUAUUACUAGCUAGUCUGCUACUAUUAUUGAUACUACUAACUUUUUUUUUAAUCUUUUUUACUCUGUUAUCUGUUUAUUUUUGGUGCCUCUUAAUGCAUUUCACCUCUAGCCUACCUGAACUUGCUAGGGAAUAAAUGCUCUGUUGUUUUAGUUGUUUCUGGUGCCAAUAUCAUGCAAACCUAAGAGUUGGCUUGUUGGUGUCUCUUAAAUCUGUAUUUGAGCAUUCCACAUACUGCAUCAGACUAUUUCUUUAUUUAAAACGAAAAUAACUGUUCUUAGUUUGUUAAUGCUAUUAGGAUUAAACAUACACAUUCUUACCAUAAGUCAAGUGAAGGUUAAAAAAUUAUGUAUUUUGAUUGUUCUCUGGGGUCUGAAUGUUUGUAUAUGUUUGUUGGAAACUGUUAUGUAAAAUGAGAAGACAGUAGACAGCAUUUGCAGCAUCUCAUCCAUUUGUUGUUUUCCUUGCUUAUGCUUGCCCUUGCCUCAGCCUCAGCUAAGUCAACUUGCAGUUUACUUAAGUGGAUUAAUCAGGUCCUUAUGAACUUCCAUGUUAUAUAGAAAAUUUAUGGGGACACCGAUAUUGCUCCUAUUAAAUGAAUGUGUGAGUAGAAAUGUCGACUCCUGCAGCAGAGGAUAUCCCAUGUUCCAAUGGGAGAAAUGUUGACAACAGUUACCUAAAUGGAAGCUCAUUAGUUGUUGAUCUGGUAGAAAUUGACUAAACGAGAGAAUGGUGACUUUUAUGGAUUUGAGCUUCCAAAAUUAGGAAGUGUACCAUUAUUAGCAACUUAUAUUGCAAAAAUCCUGUUGCAGCGAAACCCCUUCUAAUCUGUACCAAUUAUGCAAGGCUGUAUUGCUUCCUUAGGAAUGAGGUUUAGUGCUAAGCUGGAUUUAUAUUUUGCAAGAUCCUGUUGCAUUAAAGAUAACAUAUAUUCUUACAAUCUUACCAUUACUCUCCUAUGUAGUUCACUUUUCUUAUUGUAUUGACCAAGAUAAAUCUUACGUGCAGUUAUAUAUUUGUAUGGAACUCCUCGGUAUUUAGCCUUUUGCAGACAAGACCAAGUAAAAUUCCUUCCCUCGUCUAAAGGAUUAUGGACAAUUUUUGGAUGAUUAUGUCAUUAAGGUGCUCCCAUUUGAUAUUCUUCUAAGAAUCCAUUGACAACUUAUAGGUCUGCUAAAUUUUACUCUUUGGUUUAGGCUAUAUAUGGAAAUAUAAUUAUUGGAAGCUGUUUGCCAAUGUUAUAAAUUGGCUAGCUUUACUGUUAGUGCUAAUGUUCUAUGCCAAAAAUACCUAGUCCAUAUCUUCAUGUACUCUUGUUUAAUUCUAAUGUUUGUUCUUAACCAUGCCUAACAUCAGCAAGUUUGUUCUGGAAAAAAGAAGGCUCUAAUUCAACUAGAACUUGAGGUUUUGGGAUAUUAGUAAGUUCAACUAGAACUAGAGGUUUUCAACUUCUGAGAUAUCAAUAAGUUCAUCAGUUUGCUGCAUACUGGUAGCCAGCCCUUUAUGCCUGAACUCAAGAGUUGAGAAGCUCUCUUCUUUGCAUUUUUUUCAUGCACGUGAGCCAUAUUGUUCUGUUUUUAUUAUUGUGUAUGCUAGAACAGCGUAUUUUGCUUCUGAACUAAAUAUUGAAAGGACAAGGAUGGAGCUGAACUAUUGACAAUAUUAGUGCUUUGACUGUUUUCACUGCAGGAAAAUUCGUCGCCAGUUUUUUUCUGACAGAAAAUUAGAAGUUAAACGAUCACCAGUUCACUGGAUACCUCCAAAUGUUCCCUUCGAAUAUAUACUGCAAGAUGAGUUGAAUGUAAACCAGCAAGUUACUGCCCAUCAAAAUUGUAACCUACACCUAGUUCUGUUCAGUUUUCUUCCACAUAAUUUUGAAUUGUUCACCCUCGGCUUGUACCAUCCAAAUAAGGGCUUUCUUAGUUAAUUGCAGCUUCACAGUUUGUCACUUUCUGGCUUGAAUCUCCAUGUAAAUAUGCACCAACAAAUAAAUUUGUCUCCAGUUCAUAUUUCUCAAGCGCAUCAUGACUCCCAAGCAAGAGACAGAUGGAGGUUGAGUUCUCUGGCAUUACCAUUAUGCGGGGAAGCGAGGAAUUUGAGUAUCAACAAUGCAAAUUUAAUCCUUACUGAACAAGUAAACUUGAUUAUCAUUUAUUAAAUGUGGAUGUGAGUUAAAUGUACAAGGGUUUUACCUGAUUAUGCAAGUCUGUUUGGGGUUCAAUUUAGUAUGAACUAGCUACCAGUUGCAAAGCAAUGUCUGAAUUUCACACAGCACAAUGCUUGGUUCCUUGGUGGUUCACUGGUUCUUUAAUAUUGAAGUACUGUAGUGCUGCAUUAUUUGCUCUUCGGCUUGCGGAUUCGCAUUUCUAGUCAGUAUUCAAAUGUUUUCUAAAACUAAAACUAAGGAGUAACAACUUAGUGAAACUGAAACCACAAUCUCCAGUGUUGUAUACUGAUACUGAAUUUCAAUUUUCUAGAGUUACUUGGGGUCCUGAAUUUGUAAAGUACUUCGUUAUGAUGCAUAGGCAACAGAAAUGGAGCAUUGAAUAUCGGAGUAAGCAUGGAGUUGAUAUUUUUAUUUUGGAUCAAGCUGGAGUCUACCAGCAGCAUGAAUUUACCAAGCAUGUCACAGCGAAAGAGUCUGGCUCAAUGGUUAAAAAGAACACUAAAAGCAACAUUGCCCUACAGAAUUUUGCUUUGGCGUGCAGCAUGAUGAAGAUGAAGGCAAAUCAAGUGAAAAUCUUUAGCAAAACAGAAGAGUGGAGACAGGAUUGUACAAAAACAAAUGAAAAAAGGCUCAGGUAGUCCCCUAGUUAUUCAGGGUACACCACUUCCAUUCAUUAACGCUUUAGUCUUUUGUACGUCCUUGUCGGUAAUACUCUGUUUACUUGAGGAGGUUCAGAAAAGGACUACACAGCAAGGAACCUCCAGAACAGUUCAUAAUGUACAUUUGCGCAGGUAUAUCAGUGCAACUGGACCGUGAUGCGGUGUCAUACAGUGCUGUUUGCAGGCAGGGGAACAACACCAUCGAAGAAAUCCCCAAAGUAGUGGCGCGGCUCAUGCACCAGCUUUGAGAUUAUGUCCCUCAAUGUGAUGACCCCCUCAGU